rnacentral:lncRNA from 1 species
UGUGUCAAAAGUAUCCACAGCUUUAGUUUUCAGUUCAAACCUUGGCAAGGUUUUGGAGAACUUGUAAGGCCGAGGGUUUUAGAACUUUUGUCUUAGAAUGUGUUUGGGGUUUAUUUCUCCCUUCUUCCCGGAACUGAACCUUCUUUUUGAAGUGGUGAGUAUGCCAAUAAUUCUUGACAUCAUUAGCAGUCCUCCCUGGAAGUCUACCAGCAAUUAAGGACCAUCUAUACAAGCACAACAACAGAUAAGGUAUCAACUGAUGAACAGCUCUUUUGUCAGUUCUAAAUUCAAGGGGGCUCUUCUAAUUUGGAAUAUAGCUUUACAAUUGAUACAAUAAUAUCAUGUCACCAAUAUGGUUAUCAAGCUAGUUAUGACUUGCCUGUUCCCCAACAAAUUGUGAAGCCUAAUCACGAGAUCAACCUCGUCUAAUGCAAACUCUCCUCUCUUGAUAUUCGGCUUCAAAUAGUUGACCCAUCUCAAUCUGCAGCUUUUUCGGCAUCUAUUCAAGCCUGCAAACUCAAGAAAACAAAAUUCUUUAAGCAAAACAAAAGGGGAAAAAGAACACACACACAAAUUAAUACUGAUCACUUUCUCUUUCAUGUUACCUGCUAUGGGGGGGACCAGAUGCCGCUUUCCUUCUCCAUAUUUCUCAACGCAUUUCCUCAGGGGAGCAUCUUCUUUCUGGCUCCAUGCACCUUUUAUAACUCCUAAGCUCUCCAUAAAGUGAGCUCAACACGAGAGCAGCUCCUUCCUUUAUUGUUGCUUGAUAUAUAGGUGCACGUAUAACAACCACAAAACUGCAAUUCCUAUCUAUAUUUACCAUGUUCCUUGCGACAUUUUCCUUUUCUUAUAACCGGAUGCUAAACUUAAGGGUUGAAAAGAUCAAUAUAAUAACCUUUAACCAUGUUCUAUGUCAUGACUCGGACACCGGACCCCUUAUUUGUUUAUUCAAGACGUUUCUUAUGGGUACGAUAGUGCUUUGAUUGGCUGCCAAAUGUACCGGCGGCCAUGGACCAGGGUGUGUGCCAUAAGAGAUAUUAAGUUGCAAUUUACCAAUUAUGUAUCAAUUUAUUAUAAAUCUACAGUUAAAAUGCAGUCUAGGAAUGGCUGAUGAACAGGUACCCACUGGUGUUACCCUUUAUGAACAAUCUCUAUUUUGUUAUCCAAAUGUAUAAACUGGAGUGGUUCUGAAGACGACAACUUGCAGCCAUUUUUUAUCGUUCAGAUGAAUUCCUCCGUACAUUCAUAGGAUGAAUGGACAUUAAUUACAUGGACCAUAGAAGAUUUGAAUUCUGAUCUUAAGAUAUUCCUCUGGCUCAUGGAGGAUCUUGUUUCUGACCGGUAACCUUGUCCUACCAUGUACUCUCCUCAUUGAGAAUUAUUUUCCCUCAAAUAUAUAAAUAUACCUAAUCUUAAAAGUAUAGAUUUUGAUAGAAUUGUUGAUUUGAGUUUUAUGGAAAUAUCAAAGAAAUUUGCAUUAGAUUAAAAUUAUUGUAAAAAUUAAAAAAUGAUAGAUGAAAAUUGAUAAAAGGGAAACUUGUAUUUUAGGGCCCUUAUUUAUAUAUAUAAAAAAAAUGAUAUUCAAACCCCAAGUUUAUGAAAUUUGGAAAACAAUCAUUAAUGGGCAAAACAAUAUGAGAUUUGUGCACUCUAUGCUGAGUCAAUUUUAUCUACCCAAAUUGCCUUGGAUGUCUUCUGCAUUAGCAGUCAAAUAGUCUCCACAUCAUACUUAAAAAGAAAAAAAAAUGUGAAAAUUAAUAAUUUCAUAAAAAACCACCGGACCCGACAAAGAGUUGGAAAAAAAAAAAAACCAAUUCUCUAUUUGAACUGGAAAAAAUUCCCAAAUCUGAUAGUUCUCCAUCCUUAAUUUGUCUCUCCCAAAUCUGAACAUUUGGUUGUCCCCUUCUCUCUCUCUCAUUUUAGCCAAAAAAAACCUUGAGCUGAAACUGGAAUGGACAUCUAACUUUCUUCUGAAAAACUCUCGUAGCCCUAAAUCUGCAUUUUAGUUUGUCAACAACCAAAUUUGAGAUUUUCCCUAGGCUAGAAUCUCAAAAACUUGACAUUUCAGAAGGUCAUUUGAAAUCUGAAUCGGCCAAAACCUUCACGUCCAACAAACCCAACUGAUACCGAGACUAAAAUUUCCCUUUCUUUUGUCCUCUCAAAGUUUGGGAACAUUUUUCUCCUUUGUUUUCAUGUCCGCAGCUAGCUGGAGAGGAGACCGUGUUUAAAAUUGAAAAUUUUCACACAUUUCAGUGAAAAAACCAUGAAUCGAAAACCAUGUUUAAAUUUGCAAAAUGUGGCACAUUUUUUAUAAGAAACCUUCAAUCAAAAACCUGAAACUAUAUUUUUCUUUGUUAUGCAGUUUCUGAAGAAACAAAUGAAGCACUUCGUGGUAAUAACGUCUAGUUAAAAAGAGGGUUUGAGGAAGCAACAGUGUGAUUCAAAUUUUGGUUCAACUGAGUGAACCCGAACGAAAACGGCAAGUGUGAAAUAUUGGCUUCGUGAAGAAGAAAUCUCCUCUUAAUCUGAUUGGGUUGCAUUUUGGCUUAACCCACACCAAAAUCUUAAGGUAAUUAAUUUGUAUUUAGUGUUGUUUUGUUUGUUUGUUUAAUUUUUUUUAAUGUAGCACAUCAGCGAUUGUGGAGUGGUUGUUGGACUCCGAAAUAUGUGUGCAGUGGUGAGGUGAUAGCUUCAUGCGUAGGUGGAUUUUGGAUCGCAUGCUUGUAGGCUCGAUCCAUGCCUUAGCACACCUUGGCUUGUAACCUUUGUGAACCUUUGCAACGUGCAUUAUUUGCAAUUUUUAUGAGUUUGUUCACCUUAGAUGUAAGCACUGCUUGACUAAGCCUUAGGUACUACCUUAGUAACCCUUAGUUACUAUCGUAAUAAACUUUAGGUACUACCUUAAUGUCCCUUAGGCACUAUCUGAUUGUACCACAUUGUCUCCACAUUUCGGAACCUUAACGAUGCACCUGAGCACAACUUGGGUACUAGCUUCAUAAACACUCUAUGGUUAUUUUUUGAAUUCUAGGUACUACUAUGGUCAAUCAUAGGAUGUAUUUUUGUCAUUCAAUUUCAUCCUAGUUUGAUACAUAACCAAGCCAUUUGGUUCAAAAUGAUAGUUUCUUUAAUUGAGCAUGACAUUGUUAUGUUGUAAUAGGUUAUGCAUCCCAUUCACCUUAAUUCAUACCUUAUUACACCUGAUAACCUACCUUAAUGUCGCCAAGGCACCACCUUAAAGUGGCAAAGGUACUAGUUUAAUGUGCCUAAGGUACUACUUUAAUGUGCCUAAGGUACUACCUUAAUGUAGCUUAAGUACCUUAGUGAGCCUUAGGAGUACUUCUUGACUGCAGCUUAUGGACUACCCUAUUGAACCUUAGGAGUACUACCUUACUGCAACUUAAGGACUACCAUUGUCAACCUUAGUUAUUAACUUAAUGAAGCUUAGGUCGUGAGUUCGUGAACUUUGGGUUGUUCAUCAAUCCUAGGUAGCACUUCCCUCAACCAUAGAACCUACGCUUGACAUUCAAUUUCAUCUUAAUUUGACGUUGAAUGGAUAUAUGUCCAGCAUCUUCCCUCAGUACACAAUGUCUUGAAUUGACCUUGGCAUUAGUUAAAAAUAAUUUAUUUUUUAGAAUGUUCUCCUUAGGUACUACCCUAAUGCACUUCACUUACUAUCAUCAUCCACUUUAGGUUCAACCUUAAUGCAUCAUAGGUGCUAUCUCACUACUCUUUAUGUAGUAAGGUCCAAUUGGUUAUUUUCCUUAUUACACAUUGGAGAAAUGUUGCACUUUUGAACUGAAGACACAUUUCUUUCAUUCCAUUACAGAUUCGAUAAUGGCCUUACUUUGUCUUAAUUGGUUAGUCACUUCGUACAUUAUCGACUCAUAAUAGUGUGAAGGUGCUAUCUUAAUGUACCCUAGGUACUAUCUCAACGUAUCAUAGGUACUACCUAAAUGUCUCUUAGGUACUACCUUACUAUAACACUUUCUCCACAGUUCAGUACCUGAAUUGUGCAACCGAGCACAACUUUCCUACUAGCUUUGUUUCCCAACCAGUAGUUAAUUUGUGAAUCCAACGUACUACCAUGGUCAACCAUAGUAUAUAUGCUUCGACAUUCAAUUUCCACCUAGUUUAAAAAAAAAAAACCAAGCAAUUAAACUGAAUAGACAAUUUCCUUAAUUGAGAAUGACAUUGUUAUGUUGCAAUAGGUUAGCCAUCUUUUUCACCUUUGGUAAUACCUUAUGGCAUCUGAGUUACAACCUUGAUGUGGCUAAGGUACUACCUGAAUGUGCCUACGGUACUACCUUAAUGUGCCUAAGGUACUACCUUAAUGUGUCUAAGGUAUUACCUUAGUUAACCUUACAACUACUACCUUACUACAUCUUAGGGACUACCCUAGUUAACCUUACGACUACUACCUUAUUGGAGCUUAGGGAGUACCCUAAUGAAUAUUAAUUGUACUACCUUAUUGCAACUUAGGGACUACCAUUGUGAAUCUUAGUUAUUAACUUAAUGGAGCUUAGGUAGUGAGUUCAUGAACCUUGGGUUGUUUAUCAUUCUUAGGUAGCACCUUCCUUAACCAUAGGUCAUACACUUGACAUUCAAUUCCAUCAUAAUUUGACAAUGAAUUAAUAUUUGUCCAACAUCUUCCCUGAUUACACAAUGUCCUAAAUUGUCCAUGACAUUAUUUACAAAUAAUUUAUUAUUUAGAAUGUGUGCAUUAGGUACUACCCUAAUACACUUCACUGAAUAUCAUCAUGCACUUUAGGUUCAACCUUAAUGCAUCAUAGGUGCUAUCUCACUACUUGUUAUGUAGUAAGGGCCAAUUAGUUAUUGUCCUUAUUGCAUGUUGGAGAAAUGUUGCACUUUCGAACUGAAGACACAUUUCUUUCAUUCCAUUACAGAUUCGAUAAUGGCAUUACUUUCUAUUAAUUGGUUUGUCACUUCAUACGUUAUAUACUCAUAAUAGUUCGAAGGUACUAUCUUAAUGUACCCUAGGUACUAUCUCAAUGUAUCAUAGGUACUACCUAAAUGUCCCUUAGGUACUGCCUUACUAUAACACUUUCUCUCCACAAUUCAAUACCUGAAUCGUGCAACCAAGCACAACUUUCCUACUAGCUUUGUUUCCCAAAGUGUAGUUAAUUUGUGAUUCCAACGUACAACCAUGGUCAACCUUAGUAUGUAUGCUUCGGCAUUCAAUUUCCACCUAGUUUAUAAAAAACGAAGCAAUUACACUGAAUAGACAAUUUCUUUCAUUGAGAAUGGCAUUAUUAUGUUGUAAUAGGUUAGCCAUCUUUUUCACCUUUGGUAAUACCUUAUGGCAUCUAAGUUACAACCUUGAUGUGGCUAAAGUACUACUUGAAUGUGCCUAAGGUACUGUCUUAAUGUGCCUAAGGUACUACCUUAAUGUGUCUAAAGUACUACCUUAUUUAACCUUACGAGUACUAUCUGUCUGCAUCUUAAGGACUACCCUAGUUAACUUUACGACUACUACCUUACUUUUGUUGUUUAUCAAUCCUAGGUAGCACAUUCCUCAUCCAUAAGACCAACACUUGACAUUCAAUUCCAUCAUAAUUUCACACUGACAAAGAUAUAUGUCCAAGCAUUAUGGACUAACCAAUUUUGAUGGCCUAUAGUCCCUGUAUACAGAUUUUCAUCCACAUCUCUCUAUUACUAUAAAGAUAUGUAUACAAUGAUUUGGUACCAUAAUGAUGACAUAAUUUUAUACGAUAACACAUAUAUGUGGUAUACACUAUUGUGAACAUUUUUUUCCAUAUAUGCACAUUUUAGUUUGAACUCCACAUUUGUUGGGUUUCCUUGUUUCAUUUUUUGUCCCCUUGUUGUCUUUGCAACUUUCCUUAACCAAUGUUAAUUGUUUUUUUAUUAGGUAUGCAACGACCACGUAAUUUCUAGAUCGUCAUUACAAGCCAAAAUGCAAAUUCAUCUUCUCCAUGAACCUUGACAGUAGCUUCCAAUUAUUGUUGCCACUCUAACAUCUUCUACUCUUCAUCUGCUUGCAUUUCUACCUGAUUAGCUCACUGUUGAUUCAUGCCCAAUUGGUGUCUCAGCUGAUUCGUGUCCAGCUGGUGCUCCUUGAUUGAGGGAGUAAUCAACAAAAUUUAUAACCUAUUACACCAUUUACUAGGGUAGCAAAGACAAAGCUACUAUAGCAUAGUGGCUCUAGGAUCGUUCACUGGGAAGAGUUUCCAAAUUACAAAUGAUACCAAUUCAAAGUGAAUUGGUAUUGUUUCAUUUCAAGGUUAGUUCAAGAAAUAAAAUACAAACUUUGAUUGGCAAAGAUUUAGAUUUAAAAUGACUACCAAGCAAGUGAUGGAAAUUACUUAGGAAGAAAACAUUCCUUGGAGGGUCAGGUUCACUGGGGAGGUUCCUCAUGCAAAAGACAUAGCUCAGGUCAGUUUGUUCAUUUCCUCGCAUAAGAGAAUCAACAUAUAGUCAAUUCUCUAACCGGUGUUGUACAGAUACAUCCUUUAAUUAGAUUUCAACUUUUAUUCUCUCACUGAUGCAACUUGCAAUGGUUCAAGUCUCUCACUAAGCCUUAACCAUUCAAGGUGAUCUUUAACCUUGGACUUCCCUUCUCAAGCUCGCAAGAGAUAACUAAUGGAUGUCUCCUUGGAGUCCAAAAGCUUACCAAGUGUUGGCAAUUCUAGAAUCCUACCUUAAAGUCACCUCCCAGAGGCUCGCAAGGGGUAAACUAGUGCAUCUCCUUGGUUGGAGAUCACUUGCCUUACCAAGUGUUGGCCCAGGUGACUCUAAGGUGUUUUAAGUUAACUAAAAACAUAGAAAUCACUAAAGGAUUUCACUUCCUCUUCAUUGAUGGCUGAAACCACAAAGCUUUGCAUUCUUGCACUUGGAACCUUCCCCGGCAACCUUAGCUCCAAGGAACUAGAGGUUUAGUUACUCAUUCUCUGGGGAAAAUUCCUCAGAGAGUGCAUAACUUAGUAAGAAAUAAAUAAUACAAAGUGAGAAGGUAAGGCAAAACAAAGGGCCUGAACUUUACUUGCUUUUCAAAACUUUACAAAGGGUCUCCUCUUUGAGAACAGGCUCUCGAAGAGUAUAUAUAUGAACAUAAUACAAAACUAAUUAUUACAUAGAUAUUUUCUCUUUUUACUAAUUUAAAAGCUAAGGAAUCUUGUAAUUGGUGGCUUACAAGGAGUAUUUUGGGAUUUAGACAACAAAAAUCUGAUGGAAAAUAUCUCCCAAUGUUGGUAGCAAAUAUCGGGAAGUACUACGGACCAUUUCGCAAGAGAAAAUGAUGUCUGCGAGAUUUCGCAGACACACAAAAGGGCUGCGAAAUCACUUCGCAGCAAAAGGUUAUUCUCGCAGGGCUGCGAAGUUAGCUUCCAUCUUGAGGUUCUCAGCUUCCAACUUGCGGCAUAUAUCGGGCAACUUCAGGAGGAAAUACACCACACUGUACAAAAAGGCUGCGAAAUCACUUCGCAACAAAAGGGUGAUUUCGCAACACUUUGCAAAAUGCUUCCUUCAGCUUGGAGUGAUUGACUUGCAAUGGCUGUAACUUCUUCGUUUCAACUCCAAAUUGUGCACCAUUUGAAGCAUUGGAUUGUUGACUUCCUGAGAUUUGAAAUGGUAUAUAGAAUGCAUCAAUUGGACUUCAGAAAGUGCUCCAAAAGUGGCUGCCACGACUGUCAUCAAGAAUAUGCUUCAUGGCAGAUUCUCUUAACUUCUUCUCCUUGCAUUCCGGAUUUACUCUUGGCAAAUGACUUCCAAGCUUUGUCCAAGAUUCCUCAUAACUCUCCUCAAUCUUGGAUUGCUUUGGUGAUCAAAUUACUAACAAAAACACCAAAACUUACACAAAGUGAUUAAAAUUGCUUUCAAGGGUCCUUAACAUGCCAAUUGAGUUAAAAGGCCAAAACUACUACUCAAAAGUGUUUAAAAGGGUUUAAUACAAGCUACCAAAGAGCACUUUUUGAGUAGUAAUCAACUGUUAAAGCUAAAAAAACUGGAUACUCUAAAGGAGUUUUUCAUAUUAUAUUGUGUUAUAAUAAAAAAAAAUUCAUUUAUCAUACUAUUGUCGUUUUCGUAAUUAUAAUUGUAUGUCCUUUGUUGUGAUUUAUUGCUAAUAAAAGUAUUUGCAUAUUUAUACAACAUAUUUUAUACAACAUUAUUAGAAUCAUUUUCCUGAUUCUCAUAUAAGUGUUAUUCAUGUCAACACUGCCUAAUGAAACUCUAUAAAAAAAAAAACCUUUCAGUAUAAUCAAUGCGAAGUGGGCUCUAAUUGUAAUUUUAAUACUAAGCGGUAACCAUUUUUCUCCUGAUUUACCAAAUUGAUGCCAAGCUCGCACAUUCUGUUCGAAAUUUUAGUUUGAUUUUUCAAUUGUUCGUCUAUGUUUAACUAAUUUUUAGUUUUCAACAUAGUUAAUUAUAACCUAACUCAAAUUCCUUGGUAAGUAAGCUGUCAAUUACUCGAUAAAUAUUAACAACAAUAUAGGAAGUAAUGGAAGCUUUUUAUAACUCAAACGUGUUACAUCUGACUAUAAAAUAAUAUUCUAGCAAUUUAUCUUAGUUUUGUUACUUCGUUCGUGUAUGAACACCGUCCAUCCUCAAGAACCUGUUUGUGCUUUAUGUAUAUUUUUCAUAGGUAAAUAUGCAUAGGAAUAUUUCCAAUGCACCAAUUGAACAACUAUAUAAAGCUUUUUAUCACCAUUAACAACUACAUGUCAUGCCCUACUAUUAAAUGUCUGUCCAUCAUAAUUCUAUUACACAUUUCGUGGGGUUCAGAUUACAAACUGUUGUAAAAUUUUCAGAAGCACUUUAAAUUGCUACCAUGGAAACAUGCAUCCAAUUAUCCUUAUUGUUCUCCUAUGACCCACCUAUACUUCUGUUAGGCUGAACAUAAGGAAAAAAAAUUAUCAUCAAACACACUAUUAUCUCACAGAUUAAAUUCUGCUUCUAUGCUUUACAUAACAUAGCCAUCUCAUUCCAAUAUAAAUGAAAGUACUUGGGCAUAAAGCAGCGAUAUCCUACUCAAGUUAAUUAACAUUUAAAUUUCAGUCAAUCUAAUGAAACAAAAGUUACUGAUUAGCCACAUGCCUCUAGCAUCUAUGGAUAGGAAUUGAUUUGAAAACAUCUAGAUCUAGGUAUGGGAUACAUAUCUCUAGAUCUAUAGUUAAUAAUGGUUUUUAUUGUCAUUUUAUUCGACUACGAUAGAUUUAUAGAUGUCUAGGGAUAAAUACAUGCACCCUAUGAGAUUUAGGGCAUUAGAACAAAGUAAUUUAGGAUUCCCAACACUAAGACUUGUUAAUUGCACAUGCAAUAAAAGGAUCUAUAACUCAAGGAUAGUGGAGGUAGUCUUGAAUGACUGAUAGCUUUCACCUUGUUAGACUACGAACACCAAUUCAUAGGGAGACUAAAUACAAUUGAUAGCAGGUCACAGACCCGAAUACAUGGUGUCUUAUUGUUAUUCACAUAUGAUACUAGAGUUUGGUUGAUUCUUUAUAAUGGAAUGUUGAAUCCUUUUAAGCUCAUAUACCUUAUUGGCACGAGUUAUAAGGGUCGAAUUGGCUUUAGGUUCACUUUUGUGCAUAAGAGUGUUUUAGUAAUUACACAAGAUUGCAUCGGAGUAAGUAAGCAAUGUCUUUGGAUUGAACUAAUUGAUUAAUUAGUAAACUUUGUUGGGUUAAUUAAUCAAUUAGGACCCAUUUUGGGCUAGAUUAAAUGACCUAAGCUCUUAGAAGGCUUAAGUCGCUUAAGUCUACUGGGGAACCAUAUAAAUACCACCUUAGGGGUUAAGGUAACUUUUUAUAGAGUAAUUUUUUCUAGAGAACCUUCUUCCACCUUUAGAAAUAGAAAGAGCCAUAGCCUCUACCAUCUCUUCUAUCACCAUCAAAAGAGUGUCAAGAUCAAGGUUCGAGUCAUUGGAUGGAAGACUUCGGGUUUUUUAGACUUCCUAUGACUUCAUUUUUCAUUUUCUUUUCAUGGCAUUGAUUAGGGAACAUCUGAAUCUUAGGUACAUUUUUCAUUCGCAUAUUCUAAAUUCAAAUAAAGUUUAAAAAUGAAAUUUUUUUUUGUUGUGCAUAAGAUUUAGAAAAGCAUAGGAUAUUUUUGCAUGUUCCUAAUCUAAUAUGGGGUUGGGAAGUAGAGAGAUUCGGGAUUUUUCCAUCAAUCUCCACAACAUCCCAUGUUUUAUUAUUCUCUAGAGCUAACAUUUCUUCUUUUAUUAUGUUUCUCCAUUUCGGUAUUCAUAAAGCUUCCUAUAUAGUUUUUAGAACUUCCACUGGUACCAGAUUAGUUAAAAGAACUUGAAUAGAUGAUGGCAAGUAAUUGUAGGCUACAAGCUUGGAGAUUGGGUGUUGAGUACAAGAUCAUGUUCCUUUUGAAGUUUGAGUACCUAAUACUGAUUUAGAUUCAUGGAUUUGUAAGAGGUUUGUUAGGUGUUCCGCUUUUCGAGUAUUCUUUAGUCUUGAAUAAACAAUUGGCUUAAGAGAUUGGAGUUGCAAGUUUCCCUUUAUCAUUAAACCCUUGUUUAUUGUCAUAGUAGAUUUAGAAGAAGGUGUUUGUGGCUGUUUAGGCUCAAGUAGUAGUGUUUGUGGUUGUUCAAGUUCAAGUAGUAGUGUUUGUGGUUGUUCAAGCUCAGAUGUUUAUGAUUGUUCAAGCUCAUGUGGUAGUGUAGAUAUAGGAGCAAUGACAUCGAUCCCAAAUAUUUUUGUCUUCACUAACUCUCUUUCUCUAAGGGAAACUUUUGGUAAAAAUUGUCAAUUUUCAAAUAAUGUCACAUCCAUAGAAGUGUAAUACUUGCGUAUUUCAAGUGAGUAAUAUUUGUACCAUUUUUGUGUAGGAGAGUAUCAUAAGAAAAUACAUUUUUGAGCUUUGGGGUCAAGUUUACUCCUAUCAUUACCAUGGAUAUGUACAAAGGAAGUACAACUGAAGACUCUUAAUGGAAGUGAAGAGAUAAAUGGGUUGUGAGGAUAGGCUUUGAAAAAACAAGUUAAAGAUGUUUCAUAAUUGAGAACCUGGGUUGGCAUUCUAUUUAUUAGAUAACAUAGUAAGAACAACAUCCCCCUAAAGGUAUUUUGACACAUUAUUUGUGAAUAUAAUGGCUUUAGCUACUUCUAGAAGGUGGUGAUUCUUUCUUUCAACAAUGUCAUUUUGUUGUGGGGUUAUUAUGUAGGAUAUUUGAUGAAUAAUGCCUUUCUUAGAGAGAGAACUUCCUAGAAUAUAUUUAAAAUGUAUUUUUUUUCAUUGUCUAUUUUGAGAAUUUUAAUGUUUGCAUUGUAUUGGGUGUUAAUCAUGACAUAAAAUUUUUUGAACACUCGCUCUACUUCUGAUUUUCCUUUCAAAAGAUAUACACAGCAAACCUAAGCGUGAUCAUCAAUAAAUGUGAUAAAUCCUUUUUUUUCAUUAAAGGUUUAACUCAUGAAGGGCCUUAAAUAUUGCUAUGGACUAAUGAAAAAGAUGAUGAAGACUUUUAUUUUUUAUGAGAAUAAAUGAAAUGAACAUGCUUGGCUAAGUGACAAAUUUCAUAUUGAAAGAAAUCUCCAUUAUGAAAUAGUGAUGGAAACAAAGUUCAUAAAUAUAAAAAGCUUAGGUGGCUUAGUCUAUGAUGCCACAACAUUAUUUUUGGGUUCUUUAGAAAGAGACUUACAAUUCAUAGUUUGAGAUUGUUUAUUCAAUUUGACUUCCUUCUCUAAAUAAUAUAACCCCUCAUGUUCUCUAGCAUUGCCAAUCUUCUUCCCCGAAGUCAAGUCUUGAAACACAGAAGAAGACUCAAAGAAAUGAGCACCACACUUUGAAUCUUUAGUCAACUUACUAAUAGAAAGAAGGUUGCAAGACAAAUUUGGAACAUGCAAUACAGAGUGUGGUUCAAUAUUAGGACCAAUUCUAAUAGCUCUAGUUCUACCACUAUUGAAAGAGAUCUAUCUGCUAUUUUAUCUUUGAAACUUCCUAAACUAGGAUUGUAUGAUGAGAAUAAUUUUUCAUAGCCCAUCAUGCGAUCUAUGGCUCUAGAGUCAAUCACUCAUGGUUCCAGAUCCCUACUGUAACUACUAAGAGCUAAGAAAAAAUUACCUCCCUAUGCUAGUAAUAAAGUAGUGGUGUCCUGUAAUGGUUUGAGUAGUUUGUACAAUUUUUUCAUUUUCUCUUUGGUAAGCAAGAACUAUGUACAUUCUCCAAAUUUUGCUUCAAGUUAGGACCCGGUUUGUUAGAAAUCUCAGCUAAAAUUUGAAAACCAGAGAGAUCUCAAUUUCCAACCCUACUGUUCUUUGAAUUUGGUGGCUUACCAUGUAACCUCCUGUACCAAUCUUUAGUGUGAUUUGUUUUCUUAUAGAAAUCACACCAAAGAUUGUUUAUUUUUUACUUCUUAGGCCAUUCUUAACCACAAACUUUGAAACUUCAGGUAAUGAUGGUUUUGAUCCACCUAUCAUAACCCAUUUUCUACUUGACUCUCUUUGACCUUCAACAAAUAUUUAAAUAAUCAAUGGGAGAGGUUUGAUUCCUAGAACUCAACCCCUGACUUCAUCAAGAUUAGGAUUUAAUCCUACCAAAAAAUCACAGACUCGUUCUUUUUUAACCUACUUUUGGUAAAGUUUAGCAUCCCUAGGAUUUGACCAUGGAAUUUGGACAUAAAGAUCAAUUAAUUUCUUGCCACAAGCGAGUCAAGGCAUUGAAUUAUUAGGUAACAUCCAACUCCCCUAGUUUCAAAUCAUGAGCUCCAUUUCGAAGUUCAAAAAAUUGGGUUGAGUUUUCCAUGUCUAAGCAUGCUAGAGUUAGUGCAUCCCACAUCUCCUUAGCGAUCGAAUAAUAUAGAUAAGAUACCUUGAUAUCUUCUUCCAUGGGGUUCAUAAUCCAUGCCAUAACCAUAGAGUUUCAUUCAUCCCAUGUUGGAAAAGAGAGACUUCUUGGAUUAGGUUUUUUUUAUUGAACCAUCCACAUAACUAAGGCGGUCUCAUCCUCAUAUCACCAUUAGAGCAUAUGGAGACCAUUGAAGGAAACUUUGAUUAUUUAGUUUCGUGGUUGUAAUUUGAUGGGAAGAAUUUUCAAAAAAGGUUGAAAACGAGGCUAUAGUGGAUGAACUUGUAGGGAUGGGCUAAGAGACUUUUGAAAAGACCUCAAAACUAGCAUCCUUGCACUCACCAAUGAAGGUUGUUUUAUACAUCUUUUUUGUCUCAACUGACACUAUCUCUAAUACCAUGAAAUUGGGUAGGAAAAAAAAACUAGACCAUAAAGUGGAGAUUGCUUUUGUUUUAUUAUUUUAUUUCUUCAAUACAAGUAGAUUUAUAGGAUAGGUUUUGUAACAACAACCCUUUAUUUUAGGAGACUGACACCAAUUGUUUUUUAGGAUAUUCUAAUAAGUUGUAAUAUCACAACUAGGAAUUAUCCUUAUAUUAGAGAAUAGUAAUUAUCCAAGAUUCUCUAUAAUCUAUUUCCUACUUACCUUUGGAUCUCUAUUUUCUUUACAAGAUGCCACUAGUGGAGGAGCUUUUAGGAUAACAUUUUGGGACCUAUAAAAGCCCUCAUAUCCAUUAGAAAUGGAAUUUUGGGUUAUUAGGGAGAAGGAAAGAAGCUGAGGAGUUUCAUCUAACAUCUUUAUUAACUCUUGGCUUUUCUUAAGCUUAGUAAUUUUUUGUCGCAUUAUUCAUAUGUAACUAGCCUUUGAUUUUAGUCUUAUUCCUCAAAGUUUUUUUUUAGAGAUUUUGAGCACUUCAUGUUUCAUCAUGACGUUGAUUUUAAUUGUAGAUUCUAAGCUGGUUUUCUUUGUUCUUCUAAUUUUGAGUUGUGAGUAGUUUUCUAAGCUUGAGAGGAGGAGUCCAUGAGGCUUCUUUCAUGCAAAACUAAUUUACAUCAUGGGAUGAAUGGAUAGUGUUUCUACCUAGUAAUUGGAGUCCCUAUUUUGUCUAGGAAGAAACCCUAUUUUCCUCUUCUUGAAAUGGAAACUUAGAGGUGGUUUAUUUUAUUUUAUUUUUAAUUUUAUUUUUUGGUUACUUCAAGUUCUUGAGGAUCUUGGGCCUUAUGACUUGAAAUCACUUUCAUUAAGCUCUAUGUAAAAUGCAAAAUGAAUUUAAGAUUACAAGGUUGUGGAGGUAUUUAAAUAAAAUUUCUUUUGGGCUUUAGUUGGGAAUUUCUCAUAAGUGUUUUCAGUUGUAGGUUUUUUUUUAUUGUGCAUUGGUUGUGAAAAGGAGCCUCAUUAGACCCCUGAUCCUUAGCAUUUAAAUUUCUCUUUUAGCUACAAAAUGGUAGGAUCAAGUGUCAAAAUUUUGUUAUUUUCUAUCACUUUUUUUUUCAUCAUAAAAUGUGAUUGUUCAGUGAUAUUCCAAUUUGGUCACCAACACUUAAUUUUUUGUGAAGAAACAAAAGAUUCAUAGAUCACGACUUUUAGUAAUGAGCUUUUGUUUACAAAUUUCAUGACAAAUUUUUUUUAAGUAGUGAUGAAUUAUUAUUUAUUUAUGACAAACACUUUCAUGACAAAAAUUGAUACUUGUUGUAGUGAGGUAUUUAAAUAAAAUUUCUUUUAGGCUUUAGUUGGGAAUUACUCAUGAGUGUUCUCAGUCCUAGGUUUUUUAUUGUGCAUUGGUUUUCAAAGAUGGAGCCUCAUUUGGUUUUUAAAUAGAUACAAAAUCAAUUUUCUUUUAUUUCUCAAAAUAUUUUUGGAGGUUCUCUAAUUUAUUAACCUCAUAUUAAACAAGCCUCUUUCAACCACUUAUUCAAGAGAAAAUGAUCAAUCCCACUUUUGGAACUAAUUCACCACAUAUCUCCUCAUCUUUUGCUAUCAUUUAAAACACUCUUCUUGAGAAAACUAUACCUGAACCCCCAGAUUCUUUACUUGCAAAGACUCCUCAUACUUCGGAAUUGGCACCAUCACAUUUGCAUUUCAAGCAAGCACAUGAUAGGCCUCUGAUUUCCAAUGUAUGCAAGUUUUGAAAGAUUAACCCAAGAUGAGAUCUUUCUCAAUUUGGAAGGGUGGUGCAAUGACCUAUAGGUGAAUAUAGAUGGAUGUAGGUGAAUUUUAGGAAAUGACAAGCUUGCACCUAAUUAUAAUUAUAUUUUGAUGAACGAAACAAUUUUUUAAUAUUCUAUCUUGGUGUUAAGUUCAUAUUUAAUUAGAAAGUUUAAUUUAACCUUGUAAAUGCAUGCAUGGUACUUUAUACUCGCAUUGUUUAGAUCAUAGCUGGGACGUUAGAAAAAAAAAUGGGACUCCAUUACAUUUCUCAUUAAUAAAUAAAUAUGUAUGAAUUACUGAUUAAAAAUAGAAAUAAGUCAUCCAUGCCAUGAGAAGUCAUGCCUCCAAAAGGAAAAAGCAAAACAAGUCCUUACAAUUCAAUUCAACUUUUUUGGCAUCCAUGAUGAGUUUAUCAACCUAACUAUUACCCACCAACUAAUAAUAAUUGUAGCAUUAAUGCGAGUCAACUAACAAUCCUCUAUCUUGGAAUUUGAUCUAUUAAAUUUUCUUCCUUUUACCUCUAUCUUGGUAUUUGACAUGUUAAAAUUGGACCCUCACUCCAUGUUAUUUACCAGCAUAGUUUUUAAGUAGAAAUAGGUAUAGUUGCUAUGCUACUAAAUUUUAUAUUUCGAAAUUGGACAUAUUAAAAAUGUUUUGAUUAAAAAUAAAGAUAAUUUUAAUGUUUUCAUAUAUUUUAAGGAAAUAAAAUUAAUUUGGUGUCCCAUUUUUUUUUUUUUUCAGGAUCAAUAAAGUGUGAACCCCAUAUUUAAGAAUCCUACGUAACUAUGUUUAGAAUUUGAAAAUGACAUAUAAACAUUCAUUGAACCUAAAAACUCUCCUUGAGAGGUUUAAUUAAUAUAUACUUGAAAUUUCCACCCAAAAAACUUAGCACUGACCUUGUUUGAGGUAAAUUUAGUGGAAUGCAUUAUGGGAAUUGCUCAAUAGUUAAAAAUGAGGGUGUGCUUGUUAAACCCAAAAGAUUAAAUACAUGGUCAACCUGAUACCAAUUUUUUAGAUGAUGAUACAAUAACCCAAUUAUCAAUUCAUAAAUUUUAUAUAAAUGAGGAGACAUAUAUUUUCAGAGAACAUCUUUUAAUAAUUUUUCAUUGUUUUUGCAUUUUUUUUAGUGUAAUUUUAAAAAAUAAUUAUAUAAAUAUGAAAAAUGAUUAAAAAUAAGGUACUAGAUAUACAAAUUAUUUUAAAAAUAGGUUAAAUACAAUUCAGGUCCUAAAUAAAAUUUUAUUUUAUAAAACAUUAUAAAAUUAUUUUUUUAAACUGUUUUUUCACAACUGUUAUUUUAAGAAUAUUUUAAAAUGUCUUCUUUUGUCACUUCAAAUGAUUGGGUUCAUUAAUCUUAACUAUUCAUUCAAUGCUUGUGUUUGCAUCCACUGCUCACAUCCAUAUCCACCAUUGUACAUAUUGAUAUAUUUAUUUAUUUUUGUUUUUAUUUCUAAGAUUAACAACUUUGGAACAUAAAAUGAUUAGGGAGUAGAGUAUGAAUGCAAGAACAACUUUUGAACUUAAACAUUAAGAUAACAAUGGUCUAAAUCAGAUCAAAUGAUUUACUUGUGUGUUGGGUGUAUCCCAGAAGCCCACAUCAAAUGGAAAAUCACCCUCACCUCCCUGGAUUUGUUCAAUCAUACCAUCCAUGGGUCCCUUUUUCUGUGCUGCAGUUUCUUCUGUCCUGAGGCUUGCGAUAAGCAUCUCUCCAGAAGCCGAAAAGUCAGUUUCUUGAUCCAUUUGAGCAUGCUCAGCUAACAGGCUUUCCCACCAUAUGAUGUCAUCAUUCGGUUGUGGUGACGUGGAUCAGCUUACUGGAAGUACUUACUUGUGUGUCAAAAGUAUCCACAGCUGUAGUUUUUAGUUCAAACCUUGGCAAGGCUUUGGAGAACUUGUGAGGGUGAGGUUUUAUAGCUUUGGUUUUAGAAUGUGUUCCCUUUUUCUGUGUUGCAGUUUCUUCUGUCCAGAGGCUUGCGAUAAGCAUCUCUCCAGAAGCCGAAAAGUCAGUUUCUUGAUCCAUUUGAGCAUGCUCAGCUAACAGGCUUUCCCACCAUAUGAUGUCAUCAUUCGGUUGUGGUGACGUGGAUGAUGGCUUACUGGAAGUACUUACUUGUGUGUCAAAAGUAUCCACAGCUGUAGUUUUUAGUUCAAACCUUGGCAAGGCUUUGGAGAACUUGUGAGGGUGAGGCUUUAUAGCUUUGGUUUUAGAAUGUGUUUGGGGUUUUUUUCUCCCUUCUUCCUGGAACUGAACCUUCUUUUUCAGGUGGUGACCAUGCCAAUAGUUCUUGACAUCAUUAGCAGUCCUCCCUGGAAGCCUACCCGCAAUCAAGGACCAUCUAUACACGCACAACAUCAGACAAAGUAUCAACUGAACAGCUCUUUUGUAAGUUCUGAACAGCUUCAGAACUAAUAUAAUAUCAUUAUCAAGCUAGUACUUGAGUUAUUAUAGACUUGCCUGUUCCCCAACAAAUUGUGAAGCCUAAUCAUGAGAUCAACCUCGUCUAAUGCAAACUCUCCUCUCUUGAUAUCUGGCUUCAAAUAAUUGAGCCAUCUCAAUCUGCAGCUCUUUAGGCAUCUAUUCAACCCUGCAAACUCAAGAAAACGAAACUCUUUAAGCAAAACAGAAGUAAAAAAAACACAAAUUAAUACUGAUCCCUUUCUCUUUCAUGUCACCUGCUCGGAGGGGAACCAGAUGCCACUUUCCUUCUCCAUAUUUCUCAAUGCAUUUCCUCAGGAGAACAUCCUCUUCUUGGGUCCAUGCACCCUUUCUAACUCCUAAGCUCUUCAUCGAGUCAACUCAACACAAGAGACCGGCUCCUUCUCUAAUUAUUGAUUGAUAUAUAACAACCUCGAACCUGUUCUAUCUCAUGACUCGGACACCAGACCCCUAAUUGGUUGAUUCGACACGUUUCUUAUGGUGCAUUACCUGGCUUCCGAAUGCGAUGGACAUCAUGGACAAAGGGUGUGUGUCAUAAGAGAUAUUUACCCAUUAUGUAUCAACUUACUAUAAAUGUACAGCGAAAUUUAGGAAUUAAUUGCUGACUAGUAUCCUUUAUGAACAAUCUCUAUUUUGUGGUGCAAAUGUAUAAACUGGUGUGAUCCCGAAGACAACCACGUGCUACCAUAUUUUAAUGUCCAGAGGAAUUCAUUUGGACAUUGGUAGGAUGAAUGGGACAUUACGUAGAAGAUUUGGAUUCUGAUACCACUGUUUCCUUGACAAAAAGCAACCAAGUGAUGGGAACCUUUGAGGGCCACCGCUCCUCUUUCAACUUUAACAUUUUCUUUUGUCGACUAACCCAUGUUCACUGAAAAGGGAAGCUCCAUGGGUCCUCUACCAUUAUAUUAUGGCCGCUAUGCAGUGGCAGCAGCUAAUUCAUGGGAAUUGUCAGCGAAGAAAGGUACAAUCAUUAGGAUAUGCCUCUGGCUCGCGGAGGACUUUGUUUCUGACCAGUAACGUCGAUAAAAAUACAUUUUAGAACUUUUUCUAUUGUCAAUUCAAUGACCGGGUUCAUUCUCAACCAUCCAUCUGUUGCUUGGGACGUGUGUCAUUUCCUACAAUGUACUCUCCUCACUGACAAUUAUUUUCCCUCAAAUAUAUACAAGUAUAAAAAUUUGCAUAUAAAUUAAAAUUGUUUUAAAAUUUGAAAAAUGAUGGAAAUUGAUAAAAGUAUAAAAAUUUCACCUGAACCUUUGAAAUUUUUUGAUAAAAUAAGUAAUGUGUAGAUAUUAAAUUAUUAUAUUUUAAAAAAAUUAAUAAAAUAACAAAUAUGAGUUUUCAAGUGAAUAUUUUGAUUAGUAGUGUUAAGAAAAAAAAUUUGUUAUUGUUAAUAAAAAUAGAAGAAAGUUAUGAUUUUGCACACCAGUAAUUCCUUAAUUCUGCAUGCAUCAUUUUCUCCAAAGACCUUUUGACAUUAAAGAAGGAAAAAAGAAAAAGAAAAAAAAAGAGCUUAAUAUAGAGGCAGCAAUAAGAUAUCUUAUUGAAGAAGACGUUUUUAGACUUAUGUGGGAACAUUAUAGGCUUUAAUGAAAUUUUUAUAAUAUCAUUUUUAUCUUCUUUUUUUCUUAAUUAAAAAAAGUUGUUAUUCCAAAUAUAUCAUUUUCUAAACCUAAACUAUUUAAUCGGCGUGUAUUAUUGGUUUAAUGCGAAUUAAAAACCAAAGUUCCUUCAUUUUUUAUUGCUUUAAUGUGGAAUGUAAAAAAAUUAAUUGGUUAAAAGAGAUUCAAUACUCCUCGUAUUUGUGAAUUUAUCGCUUCCUUCUUUUUACUUGAAAAAUAACAUAUUUUUUAUUAUAUAAAUGUCACUUAUCAUCUCAAGUAUUUAUACAUAAUUUUAAGAGAAAUGAUUAUUUUUAUAAGAAAAAAGUGAGGAUAUUUAUACCAAAACGAAGCCAAAAAAGAAUGGAGGGUUAAACCCUAUUUGGUAACUAUUUUUUAAAACCGUUCUAAAAAAUAGUUUUUGAAAAUUAUUUUAUAAUUUUUUAUAAAAUAAAAGUCGGUUUGAAAACCUAAAAUAUUUUUAACAUAUUUUAAUAUUUUUAAAAAUAACAUUUUAUAUCCAAUGUUUUAUUUUUAAAUUAUAUUAUAUGUUUGUAUAAUUAUUUUUUAAAAUAAUUUUUUAAAAAUAAAUAAAAAUAAUAUAAAACAAUUAAAAUAUGUUAUAUAAAAAGACUUUAUUAUAUAUUCUUAGAAACAUAAAACAAAAAAAAAAAAUUCUAGUUGUAAGACUGUAGACCCCUUUUGUGGUGAGGGCCCGGAGAGUUGUUAUUUCUUUCCUUUUCAUUAUAUCCUUGGAAGGGGGGACCUCCCUGAAAGCAGCUGCAUGGUUUGUGGUGAGGCCCCGUGAGAGUUGUUAUUUCUUUCCUUUUCAUUAUAUCCUUGGAAGGGGGGACCUCCCUGAAAGCAGCUGCAUGGACGUGUAGCAAGAGAGGAUGGUUGGCCAUGGUGGUGGGUGAAUAUGACGGAUUGGCGGAAUGGUGCACAGUGGAGCGGGUGAUGGCUUGCUGCAGAAGACAGGAACAGGGGGGAGGAGAUAUUUAGCUGAAAUUUUCCUUUGGCUUGACGGGGGGGAAGACCUUUUUUUCGUGAGGCUUUUGAGAAGAAAACCAGAGGUGUGCUGAGAAGGAGGGGCCUCAACAAGGAGAAACCGGAGGAAGGGGAGAGCUUUCCAGGGACCGUGAGAAAGAAGCAGGGGAGGAAUCGCUCAGGUUUGAUCAUACCUUACCUUGUGUUCUUCACCUUUCUUUUAUCUCAUUUUAUUUUGAUGGUCACACUAAUGCUUCUAGUUGAUGUUUGGAUGCUUGCUCUGAUCAUUUAAUGUGUUAAAUCUGCUUCUUGUUUUCGUUUGCUGGGUCUCUGUCUUCCCUUGUAUGAGCUGUGUGAUUAUUAUGCUGUUUGUCUAUGUGAUAAGACCAUUCGGACCCUCUCACCAGCUUCUUUUGAAAGCUCCUUAAUUUUCAUCAAAAUGGGGCUUGGAUUUAACGGCAUCAUCUUCUCUUCUAUAUACUCUGUUUUUUUUUUUUUAUCACUAUCAUCCCUGUUUCUGGCAUUUUGGAGUGUUGAACAUCAUGUCGAAUCUGGCGAAAUCAGACCGUCUUCGCUUCACACCGUUUAUGAUCUCAGCCAUGAGGAGUGUUGCUAACAUUCAGGUAUGAAAGAGAGUGAUGUAAGGAGUGGCCAUGGGCGACGUUAUGAAGCCAAGAAAUAAUCCUGAGCUAGCCAAUUUUAAAACAGUCCUAACUCUGGGACGGUUGGGUAUGUAUAUGGUAUGGCGUUCUUCAUUAUUGAUCUACUAGCCUAGGCAAUUUAGAUUAUGGCCAAGUGUUCUGAUAGAGAUGGAGAAGCUAUAAGGCUGCCAGAGGACCAAUUCCAAAAGAUGGAAAAUCAUGCUCUGAACGAAGAGCCGCUGUAUGCUUUUAGAUUGAGUUGUGGAGCUGCAGAUACAUAAACAGAGGGCUGCGGAGGAAUUAUCAUCAUGUAAGAAGCUUCCCGACUUGCCUCAGAAUCAAUCAUCAAGCAAAGCCCUGCCAAAUUUAGAGAGAGUGGAAUCACUUGUACAGGUGAACCUUUCCAACAAUCAUUUGCAUGGCAGUUUACCUUCCACCAGAGCAUUCUUCGCCAUCAAUUCGAGCUUAGUCUCAGGAAACAAUCCUUGUGGUGGGGACACUGCAAGUGAGCCACCACCAUGCAAGAGGUUAAAAAUCCCAGUUGGAGGGUUCUUCGUCACUUGUCUCCUAGUUGUUUCGGUGGUGCUCACUCUUGCUGUUUUUGCCGCUGUGUUCAUCCUACACCGAGAUGGGUCAGAGCUCAAGAGGGUAGAACAUGAAGAUGGGAUGUGGGAAAUGCAGUCCUUUGAUUCCAAAGUCUCAAAAUCGAUCACAAUCCAAAGCAUACUGCCGUUUAUAAUAGAAAAUAAUGUGAUUUCAUACAAGGAAAAGAUUAAAAUGGUGAGACGGCCUCCCUUACAGCUUUGAUGAAUCGACUUGUUAUUCAUCUAAAAAAGGCUCAUGGAUCAGAAUCCUAUGAGACCAUCUAUAGUGUAUCUUCUGAAAUUGUCAUAAGAGGUCCAGGCCCACUUUUGCAUGGUGCGCCUCCCAAAUACCCCACUUACCCAUCUUUUUGUUCCCGCCACCUUUCCUUUCUCUAUCACCACAUGCAUCUCUCAAGCCCACCAUGCCCAUAUUUCACACCCACUGAACCCAUGUUUCUCUCAUCACCCCUCAUCCGAUCCCACACGAGCUCACCACCUUCAUGUGUUCAUUCCUCACUCAUACAUGUAUGGAACCAUGCAUCCAUGGCUGCCCAUCAUUCCCACUCCCGUCUCGUGCCAACUGCCCAAGCCAUUCCACUUCAUCACCUUUCCACCCCCCAUGCUUGCCACAUUCAUUUCUUCCAACACCCUUUAAACUCACUCCAUCCGCCACCCAUUUAACCCCAUUGCAAACAUGGCCACCUCAUACCCAUUUCUCUUACUCAUAAUUCCAUUCAACACUUCCCAACUCACCCCGUUUCCCCGCCAUCUCUCAAUAUUCCUUAACCCAUUUAUCUCAUUAUCCCCUCCACCAUGUAACCCACUGUCUUCAUGCCCCGCUAAUCCCAUACCCGUCACCACUUUCUCUCUCUCUCUAAAUCUUCAUCCAUACCCAUUUCUCUCACUCACUACCUUUCCGUUCUUUCCAAACCCACAAAACCAUCUCAUCCCGCCACCUUCCAUCCUCCGUUCCGCCAAUAACCACCCGAAGACUAAGAAGAUUCUACAGUUCCAGCGCUCGAGACAAAUAAUUACUGGCGUCUUUUCCGAAAGAGAACAAGACAAUAAUGAGUAUGCUGCACGGGUUGAUCCCUAUGUGACAUGCGGGUAUCCUAUUUUAAGGGGUGUCUAGGAAUUGAUUUGCAAGCCAGGAUACAUAUCCGCCACAGCGAAGUGCCUGGCUUACGUCAUUUGCAUCACAAGACAAUCAUGAGAUGCGAGUAUCGUUUGCAUUGGAGUGAAGUGUACUCUCCAUAAUUGGUGCUCUUGGAAGUAUACCUACGAGAUGAAGCAGAUAUAUUAUCUGUUUUAUUUGUGUUAAAGUAUAUUAUAUUAUGGGCUAUAGGCCCAAUUAGGUUAUUUGUAUAGUACUUGUACUAUACACUUGUAUCGCACAGUAUUUGUACUGCACACUUGUACCGCACCCUUGUACUGCACCCUUGUACUAUACACAUAUGCCUCCUAUAUAAAGACACUGAUGUAUAUUCUUUUAAUCACAUAAUAGAAUACAAUUAUUCUAUAUUUCUAACAUGGUAUCAGAGCCACUGUUCUGAACUUUUUUUUUUUUCUUAGCAGUCUUGUUUUCAUUAGUGUGACUUCCUUCUUUCACUAAGUCAUCCCGUCGUCGUCCUUGGGUUCCGGACCUGCAGCUGCCAUCGUUAAGAAGUUUCACACUGCACAGACCACUGCCCUUUGCAUCACCGCUGCGAAUAUUGCUCCGAUUUCAUUUUUGAAGGUACCAUUGAGAUCGUCCAGCGCCGAUCUACACAGUACUUGUACUGCACACUUGUACCGCACCCUUGUACUACACCCUUGUACUACACACAUAUGCCUCCUAUAUAAAGGCAUUGAUGUAUAUUCUUUUAAUCAUAUAAUAGAAUAUAAUUAUUCUAUAUUUCUAACAAUUUGAUAAUGGAUAAAAUCAUGGUGACUUUGUGGUCUACUCCAUCGAGAAGUCCUCUCAAGAGAUAGGGUCGUCUUAUGAAGGCACGUCGGAUUUUGACGGUGUAAGAGUUGCUGCAUGGAUAGUGCUGUCCAUCUCAAUUCCACUUUCAGAAGCUCGGAAGGUUUGCGGCAUGCUAUCUAGAAUUCUUCAUCGCUCUUGUCGUGGGAUUGAUUGGCUUCAAAGAGAUUGAAUUCUUCCUCUUGAGUUAGACAGGUUGCUCAGGCAGGAGGCUAUCUUGUCUGCUCCCCUCUUGGAGCCUAUACACAGGAUGAGGACGACCUUAGAAUACAGAGGGAAAUGGUUGUCCUUGCGGAAUGCAUAUGUUGGAGAAUAGCUGUAAAAAAGGAAUCAAACCGUCAUUUGGCAGAAACCUCUGACCAAUGGUUGUCACAAGGAGCGAACGCCUGUUACUCGGCCUCCAGCAUGGAUGAUGCGCUAAGCUGGAAGGUACAUGGCUGUUUACAAAAAACUUGCAGAGAAAUACCCCCUCCUUCAGACAGAGAGGAGGUGAGAGGCCCUGUUAUCCAUUCUCCAAUUCGCUCCGAGGAAGGAGGUGGGGGGACAAGCUGCUGUUCCGGGUUUUGUGGGAGUACCUUGAACAAUGGGGACAUGUAUAGUGGAAGGCGGUACAACUCGGGCACAUACGAUCAUAAAAAGCGUGUGUCAUACAACACCAAAUGUAUUGAGGGCUUUUCUUUCUCAUUUGACGCUUGUAAUAUCUGAAUACAUUGUUUUCUAAGUUGAAUCUGGGGCCCACUGUAUUCAAAUAUUUGACUCUUGGGGUGGUCAACUACCGCCUGAUAUGGGGGAGUGCUGGUCAAAACCCUAUAUUGGAAGAGUUGAGGUAGAAGAAGAUGGUGAUAUCGGCAUCAGAGCUACGAAGGAGGGUUUAGGGCUCCAAGCAGCUGGAUCGGAUAGCUUCAGGGCUGACUUAUGCUGGAAUGGGAUGCAGGGGUCCACAAGGAAAGAGAUAUUUUAUACCAUCUGGACCCACAACAGUCAUUGGUAUUCCAUAUUCGACCACCAUUGCACAAGACCCCUUGCAUGGCCACCUUUUGAUAGGCCAUCAUCAAAACCCGUGGCUCCCCUCCUUUUAUUUUCAUGCAAACCUCCAGAACCUGAUUUUCGAGGAUCAUCGUUUUUUUUUACGUGAUUUUAAUUCUUCACUUUUUUUCUCUUUUUCUUGAUUCUAGGUACCAUUUUCAACUAGACUUGCCUAUUUUCGUUCAGUUUAUUUAUUUAUUCAUUUAUUGCUAUUAUUAUUAUUAUUAUUAUUUUCAUUUUUUGUUUUCAUCCUUGUUUUUAUUUUUAUUUCCUAUCCUUGACUUUAGAUAUUUUCCAUUCUUUAAUAAAUUUGGUAGCCACAUUCCUUCUCGACCAAUAUCUUUCAUAAAUCCUCUUUUAUUUUUAAUGAUUUUCUAAUUUUCACGUUUAAUAAGCCAAGAUUUAAUUUUGUGAUUCCAAUUAAUGGAAUUUACGAAAUUAAUUCAUUGCUAAAAUAAAUUAGGUUUUGAUGGGAGCCUCACAUGUGAUUUUAUAAUUGAUUGAUCGUUUGAUUGAUUUGAUUGUUAUGCAUGAUCGAUCUAUUAUGUUCUAAGACAUGCAUGAUAUUGUUCCUUAAUUGUGUACUAACCCUCUCUCUUAAUAGCGCAUGGUAACUCAUUGUCCAGUUACGUACCCACUUUCACUCUGAUCAGUGUCUACGCAUUUUCUGGUUCUCACAUGUGCAUGUUUUAUUCUAAGUAUUCAUUGAUUCACUCAUCCAUUAUCAUGAUUACUUCAUCUCAUUAGUAGAGACCCGGUUUUAAGGAUUUAGAGGGGUGUUACGGUCUUUACCGUACCUUCCCAAUAAGUAACCUGACCUCCGAGCCUGACCUGAUUUUUCACAGACUACCUUUUCCAAAAUAAAGAGUCACACUUAGGGUCUUCUUUUUUAUUUUGUUUACCCUUUUAAAAAUAAAACAAAAAUAAGUGGCGACUCCAAGUCAUUUUCCAAUAAACAAAGUCAUUUUUAAAAUAAGAAUUGAGUUCGCCAUCGAGUAAAAAACGUAUGAGCCGAAACAUGGGGUCCACACAAAUAUAUUUUCGUGUUUUUUUAUUUUAAAUAAUAAAAAGUUAUUCUAAAAAACCAUGCUAAGCAAAUUCUUAAAUUUCCGAAAAAACAAAAAACAUAUAAGGUUACCAAGAAAAUUUUUUAUGAGACUUCUAAGUUUUCAAUGAAGAACCAGAUUGAGACUUCAAUUAAAAAAUAGAAUCUUAAUUGACAAUUAUAACUUUAAUUUAAAAACGAAGUAUCAAUUGAUAAUUAUGACUUCAAUUCAAAAACCGAAGUCUUAAUUAAUAAAUAUACCUUUAGUUCAAAAAUAAAGUCUCAACUGUAAUUGUAAUGAGAUCUUAACUAUAUGUUUUAAAAAAUAUAUAUUUUUGAGAUGCUCGUAUGCGGCACUUAAGAGACCAACAUAAAUUUUAUAAAGUAGUUAGAUAUGGGACAUUUUGGCCCAAAACUCCAGCAAGUAGCACCUCUGUUUUGUGCUGGGUACUGGACCAGACGACAGUGGUCAAAGCUGACUGUGACCUGGGCCCACAGGCUAAUUUUAAGCUGCACUCGUGACCAGCGCUUCCAGCGUGCUGGGUCAGACGAGGCAGCGGUGGUGAAAGUGGGCUGUGAGCUGGGCCCACAAACCAAUUUUGUGAAAAUCCAGAAGGUGAAAAUCGGUGACGUGGCACCGACAUGUUCCAAACCGUCGACGUUUUCAUCACUGAAUUUUCCAGCACUUCAGCCAUAAUUUCCAAGUACAUGUACAAGUUUUUAGGUAAAUUAAUUGUCGAACAUAUGAGAGUAUAAGUUUUGGAGCAAAUGAGUUGUACAACAUGUCAGAGCCUCAGUGGAAGGGAAGAGGGUUUAUAUAUUCAAAUAUUACUUAUAUUUAUUUUCUUAAUUUAUUAAACUUAAAAAUAAGAUAUUAUUUAAAAUUUUCUAAUGAAUUUUUUAUUUAUUAUUUAAUUACUUAAAUUAAUUUUUAUUUAUUUUUUUAAAUUAUAGAAUUAAAACUUUUUAUUUAAAUAUUGUUUAAUAAAUUUAAAAUUUAUUUUAAAUUAUCAAAUUUAUGGUUAAACAUAAAUAUUUAAAGUAUUAUAAAUACAUAAAAUAUAAUAGAUUUAUUAGAAAAAAAAUAAAUUAUUGAUGUGAAAUCAUGAUUAUAAAAUAUGCUAUUAUGUAGCAAAUAAGAUAAAAAAAAGAUUUGAAAUUAAGGAAAAAAAACUAUUUUGCCUUAAUAUUUGAAGUUAAAAAAAAAAAAAAACUGUAAUAUUGUUAUUUAAUUACUGAUAUGUGUUUGAAUGCCUAUCUCCUUAAUUUAUUAAGCUUAAAAGAAGUUAUUUGUUUUCUCUGUAAUCUCAAAAGAGACUACAAAAGAGUAUUAAAGUACUUGAUAUAAAUGAUAACUCAAGUCCUAUGAGCUUAAGUAUUCAGAUUAUAUUAAGGUGGUGUUUAUUUUUUUACUUAAUUCUAAAUAGAAAUUUAAUGCUUAAUAGUGUUAAAUAUUAGAUUGUUUAUUUUUAUAGUAUUUUAUUUCUAUUAAGUAUUAAAAAAUAAAAAAAAAUUAAUAUAUUAUUUUUUCUAUUUAAAAAAAAUUAAAUAUUUUGAUUUUUUCUAUUCAAUAAAAAAUUUAUAAUAAGUUAUAAAAAAAUAGAAAAAUAAAUAACCUAAAUUGUGAAAACAAUUUCCUUUCAAUAAUAAACAAAAGGGUAUUAGAGUACGCUAGCUAUCUAGAUAAUAAACUCAAGUCCUACGAGCUUAAAUAUUUAGGUUAUGCCUCAUCGUUGAAUUUUAUCUCAGAAUUUCCCAUGAUUCUUGCAAUAUAACCUGAAUAGUGCAGGUGUGAAGACAUGUAUGGCCCGGUAACUUUUGCUAUUUGUAGUCCUUAAUUAUAUAAUCAGAAUAAAAAUGCGUUAAAUUAAUCAAAUAUUAACUAGGGAGUAUGACAUUACACAAAAGUACGUGGGGAGGGAAGUAACUUGAUAUAAAACUGAUGAAAUCUCAGAUGCUCAUUUAUAUCAUGGCUUCUCCAAUGAGGCCCAUUUCAAAAGGAAAAUCAAAAUUCCCACCUCCAUUGGUAUCUACAGCUGAUGCAGUUUCGUCAGCCAGGAGGCUGGCAAUAAGCUCCUGAUCUUCAAUGGUAUGGUCAGCGAAUAGGCUUUCCCACCAUAAAAUAUCCUGGUUUGGUUGGACCAGUGUGGGUUGCAGCUCACUACAAGUACUGCCUUGUGUCUCAGAAGCAUCCACAGCUGUAGUUUUGAAUGUGAACCCUAGAAAGAGUUUGCAAGGCUUAGGCUUUAUCAGAGUGUUUUCAGAAUUGGUUUGGGCUUUAUCUUUCCCUUUUUCCUGGAUGGGAACCAUCUUCUUGAAGCGAUGAUGGUGCCAGUAAUUCUUGACAUCAUUCGCAGUCCUCCCUGGAAGUCUGCCGGCAAUCAAGGACCAUCUGGAAAAACAUAGCUACAAUUUUUUUAAAAGUGUUGAAUUAAAAUGAUCUUAUUUGAGUUUCUAAUUCAUGGAGGCGUUGUUUCUUUAACCAUCAGCUCCAGAAUUUGGUUUGGGUUAAGGAUCAGACAAGGAAAAAAAUUAAGGGAAGGUAGGUACAAUUCUUUUUUCUUUGCAAGUGAAAAAGCUUAAUUGAUUAAGCUUCUUUUCUUAUUUUACUUCAAUUUUUUUCUUUCAUUUUCCUCGUAUUUUCUCAGGAUUCAAUCCAAACUUGUAUCUCUAUUACCAAUCUAACAGUGGCUAUACUAAAUGUAAUAGGAAAUUAAUAAAUAAACUUGCCUGUUUCCCAACAGCUUAUGAAGUCUAAUCAUGAGAUCGACUUCAUCUGAUGCAAAUUUUCCUCUCUUAAUAUUUGGCUUUAAAUAGUUGAACCAUCUCAAUCUACAGCUUUUGCGGCAUCUACUCAAACCUGAAAAGGCAACUCUUCCAGUUAGGAAUAUUUAUUUAAGCAGGAAAAAAGUUUGCAGGCUUCCUCUCAUACGUAUAUAUUACCUGCUCGGAGUGGAACCAAAUGCCAUUUUUCUUCUCCAUAUUUCUCAACACAUUUUCUUAAAAGAAAAUCUUCUUCCCGAGUCCAUUUUCCCUUUCUAACUCCCAAACUCUCCAUAGCUUUUCCUCAACUCUACGUAGAACAUAUGCAACUUGUCCGAUUAAUUUAAACACUUGGUAUGUACUUCUUAUGAUUUGCGUGCUUUCAUUCCAACCACAGAACUCCAAGUAGUACUGAUUCUUAAUUAAGUGACAUGAGCUGGUUGGUAGCCUUAGUAACAACAGUGUAACAGCCACUUCAGUUUAAACGUGCAGUCAUUCUUAAGCCACAUAAGCCUUAGUAACAAUUCAAGCGUGUAAUUAUAUAUAUAUACACACAACUUGGGAUGUACUUCAUAUGACUUACGAUGCUUGUAUUCCAACCACAGGUCCCUAAGUACGGAUUCUUAAGUGACCCAAUGUUUUUUUUUUAUUCAUUUGAUGUGGAAUACAAAAGAAUUAAUUGAUUAAAAGAAAUUAAAUAAUCAUUAUAUUUAUAAAUUUAAUCAUUCCUUGAUUUUACUUGAAAAAUAAUAUAUUAUUGACAUAAAUGUCACUUAUCAUUUCAAGUAUUUAUAUAUAGUUUUAAAUGAAAUAAUUGUUUUUACAAGAAAAAAAAAAGAUACUUUUAUAAAAUGAAAAAAAAUUAAGGUUAAAUUUAUAAAUUUGAGUUUUUAAUGACCCUUCUAAUCAAAUACUCUAAUACAAAGUCAUCUGUUAUCAUUUCCUCUCUACAACUUCAGGUUUGUGCAUCCUGACUUUGUAGUCUCGAAUAUAGGCAUUAGAUAUCUUAUUUCUAGUCUUAGAUUUAGGUAUAAGGUUGGAAUUAUGAUAAGUGUUAAGUUUCUGGGAUUUGUUAAGGAGAUUUGCACAAUAUUUGUAGAGUUAUUAUUAUUAUUAUUAUUAUUAUUAUCUUGGUUUUUGUUUGCUUGAAUUAUUUGAUUGAUUGGUCAUACCUAGCUUUCUAGCAAGUUUGUUUCUAGUACGGUCGUUUUACCACUCUAGAGACAUGCGGGCAAGACAUAAAAGUUCUAGAUAUUCUUCGAAAUCUGUAUUGCAAUAUCAGGUUGAACAUUAAACAAAGAGAUAGUCACUGCAAUAGUAAGUGUGUGCUGACCAACGUUUUAAAAAUCCAAUCGGACCAGCUGGUCCGAUCGGUCUGACCGUUGAUCGGUCAUCAGUCCAGUUCGAUUCACCCCUUUGAACCGGCCAACCUCUGAACUGUCAUCGAACCGACGGACAGAUUGGUCCGACCAAUUUUUAUUGAACCGAACAAUUCAAAUGAAUUUUUUCCUUGGCUUCCAAAAUGAUGUCUUCCCUUUCUUCUUCGUUCUUCCAGAACGUUCUCCCCCGCCCACAGUUGACCGUGACUCAGUUGACCGUGACUCAAAAUACAUUCCAACAACUGAUGAAGAUGAGGAAGUAGAGUAUGAAUGCAAGAACAACAUUUGAACUUAACCCCAAAGAUUGAAAUUGUCUAAAUCAGAUCAAAUGAUUUACUUGUGUUGGGUGUAUCCCAAAAGCCCACAUCAAAUGGAAAAUCACCCUCACCUCCCUGGACUUGUUCCACCAUGCCAUCCAUGGUUCCCUUUGUCUCUGUUGCAGUUUGUUCGGCCCAGAGGCUUGAGAUACGCUCCCCUCCAGAGCUACAAAUCGAAAAGUCAGUUUCUUGAUCCAUUUGGGCAUGCCCAGAUAACAGGCUUUCCCACCAUGCAAUAUCAUCAUUUGGCUGUGGUAACUUGGAUGAUGGCUUACUAGAUGUACUUGUUAUUUCCACAUUAAAAUUAAGUGGGUGGCCCACUAACCUAGUAUUUAGCCGAUUAAAAGAAUACCUAAAAUAUUUAAACUGUUAUAAAGAUAUUUACCCUUUGAUGGAGUGGGUAAAUUAUUAUAAUAAUAAUAUUAUUAUUUGGAAUAAAAAACAGUUAUUCGAUCGAAUAACACGUUCAUAAUGGUUUUUGAACGUGUAUUCUUGACCCUCUUCUCUUAUCAAUAAGAUAUAUAUACAGAAACCCCUUCAUGUGCGGUGAGUGCUCUCUUCCAUCAAUUACAGAAAACAAUUCUGUGUAUUAAAGUUUGAUAAGGAGAAGAAGAGAUCAAGGAUUUAAGAUCUAUAAACUGAAGGGAAAUCUCUCAUAGCUGCGUGUUCUUCAAACGGUAUGUAAUCUAUUUUAAUUAAUGUUUUUAUUAUUUUAUUUUUCAGAGAUGAGUUUGAAUUCAAUGAUCUGGAAUAUUGUGUGUUAAUUUCUGUGUUAAAUGUCAACAAUUGGUAUCAGAGCAAGGUUGAAUUCAAAUAUUCAGAAUCAUUGUUUUAUAAAGAUUAAAUUUUGAGAUUUAUCAUCGAUUAAUUCGUCUCACUAAAAUGAAUAAAAAAAAUAAUAAUUAAACAAAAUAAAGACCAGCCUCAAUGCGUAGAAGGAAGAUUUUUAUUUUUCCUUGCAACGCCGAUUGGAGCAAUGCCGGUGAGGGGCGCUGGUUUGGCCGACUGGUUUGGCGUUAGUCCGGUGGCCGGUUUCAGGCGCCAGUCAAGGCGCCAUUGCCUGCGCCAUUGAAGGUGCCAUCUCACUGUUUUCAGGCGCCAAUCCAGGCGCCAUUGAAGGCGCCAUCUCGACGUUUUCACGCGCCAGUCUAGAUGCCAUUGCCGGCGCCAUUGAAGGUGUCGUUUCUCCAGCUUUCCGACGGCAGUGAAGGCGCCGUUUUCAGGCGCCAUCUCCAGGCAUCAGGCGCCGUUUCUCAGGCGCCAUUAGAGGCGCUGGUUGCAGGCGCCGUUUCUCAGGCACCAUUAGAGGCGCUAUUUGCAGGUGUCGUUUCCUUCUUCAAGGGCCAUUGGAGGCGCCGUUUGCAGCGCCGUUUCAGGCGCUCUUCAGGCGCCACUUUUCAGGCUCUCCAAAAGUGCCAUUUCAGGCGCUAAUCCAAAGAUCUUAAUUGAUUUAUUAUUUGAUUUGAGUCUGAACCUUUGUGAAAUUAUUAUUAUGUCUGAGGAAUGCAAGUAUUAGCUUUAGUAUAUUCAAUGAAUGCAGAUUUCUUUGAUUUUAUUAUGAUUGAUUAUUGAAUCAGAUGGUUAUUAAACAUACUAUUUCCUUGAUUUUUUAACUCAAAUAAAAGAAUUAAUUUCAUCUUGUGAAUAUUUUAUCUAAAGACAAUUUAUAAAUGUAAGGUUAACUAGUUUAGAUUAUUGCCAAAGCAACCUAAAUUAGUGAGCCUUGUAUUUAUUGAAUUGCAUAAAAGAAUAAAGGGAGACUUGUAAAAUUCUUAAUAAUUCUCUUUAUAAUUAGGAGAAUGAGACUAACCCAAAGGAGAGUCAAUUUCUGCUAAUUAUUAAUUAAUGUUUUAUUUUGUGUUGCUUAGAAAGGUAAAAUGGAUACCCAAAGGUAACAUAUAAAUGACACAAAAUAGUAAAGUAUUUUAAGCUCCCUCCAAGUGAACACUGGAUAUGUUAAAAUUUACCCAAAGGAGAAUUUUAAUGAUAUCAAUAGUUCAUUGCUAUUUAUUUUAUACUUGAGGCCUUAUUGUGAGCAUUGUUCUAUUUUGUACAGUUCCCACUUCAUUACACUCUCUUGCAUCUGGAAUGGCUGUUUUUGAUGGGUCGAACUUUUCUGAAUGGUAUGAAACAAUUCUCACUGGGCGUAUUGGAUCUUGACCUGGCUUUAAUAACGGAUAAACCUCCUGAAGCUACGGAUGACAGUACUCCGGAGCAGGUGGAACAAUUAAAAGCCUGGGCAAGAUCCAACAUACUCAGUUUUAUGUUUAUGAGAAUGAUUAUUGCCAAUAAUAUCAAGACCUCUCUCCCUCAAACCGAGUUUGCCUCGGAAUUUCUGAAAUCUGUUGAAGAGUGCUUCAAACGCGCUGAUAAGUCCCUUGCAGGCACAUUGAUGGCUGAAUUGACUACCAUGAAAUAUGAUGGUCAGAAAGGUAUUCAGCAACAUAUUUUAAACAUGACUGAAAAAGUUGCAAAGCUUAAGGCGCUAGGCAUGGGUAUGGAUGAGUCCUUCUUGGUACAGUUUGUCCUUAACUCACUUCCAUCACAGUUUGCUCCAUUCAAAAUCCACUAUAAUACUAACAGUGAUCAGUGGAACUUGAAUGAGCUCACCAGUAAAUGCAUACAAAAGGAAGUGAGAUUAAGACAAGAAGGACAUAAUCUUGCCCUUGCUGUAACUCAUGGAGUCAUGAAGAAGAAAGGAAAAUUCAGAAAAGGAAAGAAGUUUCCACCUAAGAAAAGCGGACCUGGGGAAGGUAGCCAGAGUCAUGAUGGAAAAUUCACGGUAAGUUGCUACUUUUGUGGCAAGAAAGGGCAUGUGAAGAAGGACUGUAACAAGCGUAAGGCUUGGUUCGAAAAGAGAUGUAUAAAUCUUUCUUUUGUAUGUUAUGAAUCCAAUCUUGCUGAAGUUCCUUCAAAUACUUGGUGGAUUGAUUCUGGAGCCACAACUCAUGUGACUAAUUUAAUGCAGGGAUUCUUUACAACUAGGAAACUAAAGGAAAGUGAAAAGUUCCUCGAUAUGGGAAACCGUCUCAAGGUUGAAGUGGUAGCUGUUGGUACCUAUCGCUUACUAUUAGAGACGAGUCAUCGGAUGGAUCUUUUAAACACUUUUUAUGUACCUUCUAUCUUUAGGAAUUUAGUUUCCUUGUCCAAAUUAGAUGCUACUGGAUAUUCUGUUUUAUUCAGUUUUGGACAAUUAAGUUUGUUGUUAAAUUCUGUUACAGUUGGUUCUAGUAUUUUAUGUGAUGGUUUAUAUAAAAUUUCCUUGAAUCAUGAAUUUGCACAAGCCUUGAUAACCCUGCAUUCAAAUGUUGGUUCAAAACGUGGCUUAAUUAAUGAAAAUUCUUCAAUCUUGUGGCACAGAAGACUAGGGCACAUCUCUAGGGAAAGAAUUGAGAGAUUAGUGAAGGAAGGAAUUUUACAAAAUCUUGACUUAACUGAUUUUCAUGUAUGUGUGGAUUGCAUAAAGGGAAAGCAAACUAAACAUACAAAGAAAUGUGCCACAAGAAGUAAUGAGCUUCUUGAGAUAAUUCAUAUAGAUAUUUGUGGACCACUCUCUGUUCCAUGUUUUACAGGAGAGAAAUAUUUUAUCACCUUUAUAGAUGAUCUAUCUCGUUAUGGUUAUGUUUAUCUAAUGCAUGAAAAGUCUCAGGCCAUUGACAUCUUCGAGAUGUUCAUAACAGAGGUCAAGAGACAAUUAGAUAAAAAGAUUAAAAUUGUGAGAUCAGAUCGAGGUGGUGAACAUUAUGGCAGAUAUGAUGAAUCAAGACAAAAUCCUGGUCCUUUUGCCAAAUUCCUUGAAAAGCGUGGCAUUUGUGCUCAGUACACAAUGCCUAGUACGCCACAGCAGAAUGGUGUUGCUGAAAGGCGUAAUCGCACAUUAAUGGAAAUGGUUAGGAGUAUGAUGAGUUACUCUUCUGUACCUAUUUCAUUGUGGGGUGAAGCCUUAAAAACCGCAAUGUAUAUCUUGAACAGAGUUCCUAGUAAAGCAGUUCCAAAAACUCCUUUCGAGUUAUGGACUGGUAGGAAACCUAGCUUGAGACAUAUACAUAUAUGGGGUUGUCCAGCGGAGACAAGAAUCUAUAACCCACAUGAGAAAAAUCUUGAUGCAAGAACGAUAUCUGGAUAUUUCAUUGGCUAUUCGGAUAAAUCGAAAGGGUACAAAUUUUACUGUCCUAACCACAAUGUGAGAAUAGUUGAAACCGGUAAUGCCAGAUUCUUAGAGAAUGGUGAAAUCAGUGGGAGUAAUGAACCAAGAAAGGUAGAUAUUGAGGAGAUAAGAGUGGAUAUCCCACCACCUUUUUUAACUCAAGAAAUUAUUGUCCCUCAACCUGUUCAACAAGUUGAGGAAAAUGAGCAACAUAAUAGAGAUGGUUCAUUACUACCAGAAAAUAUUGCCAUUGAAAAUGUUGUAGAGCCACCACAACCGGCACCUUAGAGGAGAUCUCAAAGAGAAAGGAGACCUGCCAUUACAGAUGAUUAUGUGGUGUAUCUACAGGAAUCUAAUUUUGAUAUUGGGAUAAGGAAGGAUCCGGUUUCGUUUUCACAAGCCAUGGAAAGUGAUGAUUCUAGUAAAUGGAUGGAAGCUAUGAAUGAAGAGUUGAAAUCUAUGGCCCAUAACGGUGUCUGGGAUCUCAUCGAAUUGCCUAAUAGUUGUAAAUCCGUCGGCUGUAAAUGGGUCUUUAAGACAAAGCGCGACGUUAAAGGCAAUAUCGAACGAUUUAAGGCCAGAUUUGUGGCCAAAGGUUUCACUCAAAAGGAAGGUAUCGAUUACAGAGAUACCUUCUCUCCAGUUUCCAAGAAAGAUUCACUUAGAAUCAUCAUGACACUUGUAGCUCAUUUUGAUUUAGAGUUACAUCAAAUGGAUGUGAAAAGUGCAUUCUUAAAUGGGAAUUUAGAUGAAGAUAUCUACAUGGAACAACCUGAAGGGUUUGCAAAGAAAGGAAAUGAACACCUAGUUUGCAAAUUAAAGAAAUCCAUUUACGGUCUUAAACAAGCUUCCAGACAAUGGUAUAUUAAGUUCAAUAAUACCAUUACAUCUUUCGGAUUUAAAGAGAACAUUGUUGAUCAGUGUAUAUAUCUGAAAGUUAGUGGGAGCAAGUUUAUAUUUCUGAUACUGUAUGUGGAUGAUAUUUUGCUUGCUAGUAGUGAUCUUGGUUUAUUACGUGAAACCAAGGAAUAUCUCUCUAAAAACUUUCAUAUGGUUGAUAUGGGUGAGGCAAACUAUGUUAUUGGCAUCGAGAUCUUUAGGGAUCGAUCUCGAGGAGUACUAGGUUUAUCUCAGAAAGGAUAUUUUGAUCGAGUUUUAGAAAGAUUUAAUAUGCUGUCAUGUUCAUCGGGUAUUGCACCUAUAUUGAAAGGUGACAAAUUAAGUAAAAUGUAGUGCCCAAAGAAUAACAUGGAAAGGGAGCAAAUGAAGAAAAUUCCUUAUGCAUCAGCUAUGGGAAGUUUGAUGUACGCUCAAACAUGUACAAGACUGGAUAUCAGCUUUGUUGUAGGCAUGUUAGGAAGAUACCAAAGUGAUCCAGGAUUCGAACACUGGAAAGCUGCAAAAAAGGCGAUGAGGUACUUACAAGGGACAAAGGAUUAUAUGCUCACAUAUAAAAGAUCAGAACAAUUAGAGGUUGUCGGUUACUCGGAUUCUGAUUAUGGUGGUUGUCUCGAUAGCUUAAAGUCAACUUCAAGAUUUGUCUUUAUGCUAGCAAAUGGGGCAAUCUCAUGGAAGAGUGAAAAACAAUCAAUUACUGCUUCAUCCACGAUGGAGGCCGAGUUUGUUGCUUGUUUUGAAGCUUCAAGUCAUGCUUUAUGGUUGCGGAAUUUUAUCUCAGGGCUUGGUGUUGUCAACUCUAUUGCUAAACCUUUAAGAAUAUAUUGUGAUAACACCGCAACUGUUUUCUUCUCUAAGAAUGACAAAUUUUCUAGUGGAUCGAAACACAUGGAUUUAAAGUAUUUAGUUGUUAAAAAAAGAGUCCAGAAACAACAAGUGUCAAUUGAAAAUAUUAGGACCACACUUAUGGUUGCUGAUCCAUUAACUAAAGGAUUACCUCCAAAGGCAUAUUUGGAACAUGUUAUGAGGAUGGGCCUUUUGACUAAUCCAUAAUAUGUAUGAUAAUGAAUGGUGGUUAUGUAAUUGACAAUUUGCGCAUUAAAAUUGUUUAUGUUUAUUCUUAUUUUCAAUUAUGGGUGCACGUUUUAUUGUUUGAUAAACAAGAAUUGUCUUGACAAGACAAAUUACAAGGGCUAUUUGGCAUUAAGGACUGAGUUAGUAAGGGUUAUUGAUGUGUGGUGCAUGGAAGGAAACAUGACAUUAUGGUUAUGUGACCGCCAUGACUCGCAUUUAUGAUCUAAACUGAUUCAGUAUUAUGGUAUAUGAUUUUGGACGUAUUGGCGAAGUUUAUUGAAAUCGUGAUCACAUGUCAAAUUUAUUUUCCAGUAUAUAUUUUAUGUAUAAAAACUAAAUAUAUUAUAGUUUUCAUAAUCGGUUUAGUGGGCCAAGUGGGAGAAUGUUAUUUCCACAUUAAAAUUAAGUGGGUGGCCCACUAACCUAGUAUUUAGCCAAUUAAAAGAAUACCUAAAAUAUUUAAACUGUUAUAAAGAUAUUUACCCUUUGAUGGAGUGGGUAAAUUAUAAUAAUAAUAAUAUUAUUAUUUGGAAUAAAAAACAGUUAUUCGAAUAACACGUUCAUAAUGGUUUUUGAACGUGUAUUUUUGACCCUCUUCUCCUAUCAAUAAGAUAUAUAUACAGAAACCCCUUCAUGUGCUGUGAGUGCUCUCUUCCAUCAAUUACAGAAAACAAUUCUGUGUAUUAAAGUUUGAUAAGGAGAAGAAGAGAUCAAGGAUUUAAGAUCUAUAAACUGAAGGGAAAUCUCUCAUAGCUGCGUGUUCUUCAAACGGUAUGUAAUCUAUUUUAAUUAAUGUUUUUAUUAUUUUAUUUUUCAGAGAUGAGUUUGAAUUCAAUGAUCUGGAAUAUUGUGUGUUAAUUUCCGUGUUAAAUGUCAACAGUACUAACUUGCAUGUCAAAAGCAUCCGUAGCUGUAGUUUUUAGUUCAAACCUUGGCGAUAAUUUGGAUAACUUGUAGGGCCGAGGCUUUAGAACUUUGGUUUUAGAAUGUGUUUGGGGUUUAUCUCUCCCUUCGUCCGGGAAGUGAACCAUCUUUUUAAAGCGGUGAGUAUGCCAGUAAUUCUUGACAUCAUUAGCAGUCCUCCCUGGAAGUCUGCCCGCGAUCAAGGACCAUCUAUACAAGCACAGCAUGCAACAGAUCAACUAUCAAGUACAAGCACCACAUGGAGGCUUUUCUAAUUUGGAAUAUAGCUUCAGAAUUGAUAUAAUAAUAUCAUGUUACCAAUAUUAUGUUCCUUUGAUGAGUCAAAGCUGGUGCCCUUCUUCCUUUCCUAUUUUUUUCCUUGGAUAAGUCAACCCUUCCCAUUCCACUUUUCUUCAGGUGUUUGGUCUAAGACUCUAAAAUCAUUUUUAAAUUUUGAUUUUCUCUAUUGAAAAUAAUAUUCAUUUUUUCCUUAUUUUUUAAAAUCUACUUAAUUAAAAAAGCAAAAUUUAUUUUUUGAAAGUACAAUUCAUUUAUUCAUUAUUUUUUCAUUUUCUUUAUUAAAAUUUUAUUUUAACAUCAUGUGUAAUUAAAUUAACAUUAAAAUAAAUUAAUUUUUAAUAUAAAAAUACAUUCAUCUAUAAUAAUUAAUAAUAUAAAAAAUAAAAAAUACUAAUAUUUUAAACAAUAUUGAUUUCAAAUAUAUAAUAUUCAUAAUAUUUUUAUAUUUAUAAUAUUUAUAAUUUUCAUAUCAUGAAUCUCAUUUUUUAUAUUUUAUAUUUUUGAACUUUUUUCUAGAAUAUUAAACCUAAAUUUUUAAAAAUAAAAAUAAAAAUAAACACCAUCCACAUGCAUAUUCUGUAUAGGUGGUAACUCAUCUUUAACUAGCUAGUUGGAAAGUAAUUUUAGAAGCAUGCAUAAGUUAUUAUUCUAAUACAUGAUUUGGAUAUUAUUUUCCCCAAUAUAUACUAUCCAUAAAACUCACUUUUUUAACUUCUUAAUUCAUCCAUAUUUUUAAAAUAAAGGACCUUUACAUGAUUCCCCAAAGUUUUUUUAUUGCAAUGCCGCAUUGCUUGGCUUCCAAAUAUACUGAAGUUCAUGGACAAGGAGUAUUGUUCAUAGGAGAUGACAAUUGGCAAGUAGUACAAUUAUUAACUCUCUACGUAAAUUUACUGUUAAGAUACAGUCCAAAUGCAGCCUAGGAAUUGCUAAACAUGUGGUUCAAAUGCAUAUCUUGGAUAGGGUUCAGGCAUCCUGUUAUUAUGACAAAUACAGCCAUGAUCUUCUAACAAAGCUGAGAUUGUGAUCGCUUUUAGGCAUCCUGUUCAUCUUGUAUUUGGGAUUCCAUCAAUUAAUUUCUUAGGAGUUCAAUCAUGCACUAAUUCUUUGAUAAAUAGGAAGAACGAAAAAUACAAAAUAAUUUAAUAAAAUAAACAUUUUCUUUAUUUUUAUUAGAUUCCUGCAUUUGAACUCCUGAAGAAUUCUAUUUAAUAAAAGAAAGAUAUAAUUUGAAACUCCAGACAAGUUUUAAGCAACAAAUUCUCAAUCCAUUUCAAAGGACACUGACACGGACCUCAACCACUACCAUUUAUAGCUGCACGAGUUAUGUUUAAGUUGGGACUUCUAAUUUUAAAAUUAGUGGGAUUGAAACACGUAGAGGAGCAAAAAAAAAUAAAGAAAAAGGAGAAGAUUUUAGCAAGGUUUAAUAAUUAGUGUGAUUUUUACGUUUACAAAGCACAUCAACACUAAAGAAUUCGUUAAUUAAACAAAGAAAUCCCGAGCACUGUAUUGAAAAUUUUGACAAAAACAUUUAAAAGACAACCAACAAAAAUCAAGAAAGCAACAUUACAUCACAAAGGUAUCGAAAAUUUUGAUACAUGAAAUAUUAGCUAGCAUAGGUUGAGCACAACUAUAUAUUUAAUAGAAUGACUUAAAAGUGUUUUCAAAGUCAAAUAUUCUAAUUGGGCUCGCUGUGAUGGGAGCUCAUUUUUUUUUCUUUCUUCAAUAAGCUAUGUAUUGGAUCCCAUGGGUGGACCAUCAAGGAUACUCUCCCCGAGUGAUUUAUCGUUUGGUUAUUACAAUUCUCAACCAUUAUUUUAUAUUUUUCUUUUUUAAAUUAAUCCUUAUACCAUCAAUUUUCACCAUUGCUUUCAUUUUCAAAAUCUAGUUUCUAAACUUUUUGUAUUGCACCAUCUUCAAUCCUUAAAAUGAAUUCUUGUGAUUUGAUAUUUAGCUCACCAAGUUCAAAUAUUACUUGUAAUUGACAACCCUAUGCUCAAAGUGAAUACCAUGCAUUAUGGAUGUUCAACCAAAAUUUUUAUGUUAUUAUUGGGGGAGCUUUUCUUUUUUUUUUCGCAAAUAAUAUGGAUUCAAAUAUACCAUAUUAAUUGUGCCUAGCAAUUUGUUCAGAUUUAUCCUUGGAUCUAUCAACAAUUUUAAAUGUCCUAAAUAAAAGGGUUUUGUUUUAAGGGACAGGUAGAUAAAUUGAAAUGAUUCUAAAUGCAGUGCGGAAAUUAUAGUCAACGGCAACCACGCGGGUGUCCUUGUCAAUAAUGCAGCAAGCGUACGUGUCGUCACCCUGUGCGGGAUUGGUACCAUGUGGGUGUCCUUGUCAAUCAAAGCCCAUCCUGCUGCCUCCUGUGCACCAUCUUGUACCAAUCCCCGUCUUAUGCAUGGUUGCAAAUUGUUGAGACGAUGACAUAUGAGACUGAUCAUUUAUUUAUCAUCAUUUUUCAAUGAAGGUACUAUUAUUAGGCUAUUGCUCUGGCCCAUGAAGUAUUUUGCCUCUCGCAAUAUUCUUUUCUCCACAAAAUAGCUAGAGAACUACGAGAUAUAUGGUAUUGCUACUUGACAAAAACAUUUUAAGUUCUUUUUCUGCUAUCUAUUUAAUGCUGGGUUCGUAUUCUCAGCCACCCAUCCCCUGCUUCUUUUUGAGUGAGUGAGAGAGAUCGGUCAGCGUCAUUAGAUUGGAUGAGUAUGGGCUUACUAGGAUCAACAAAAUGUGUGGUACCUGUUGGUUCCUGCUCAAUAAUGACCCUUUAAGCAGCCGCCCCAGCGCCUCCAAUUUUUUAAGCAGAAAAUUGUGUUUUCAACCCUUAUAAUUUGAUAAUUAAGAUAAAAUUAGAAUGGAUGAAGAGUUUUUAUUUUAAGUACUCAAUUAAAAUAUUUUUAAAUAAUUUAAUUUUAGAAGUGGAUUAUAUCAAUACAUAGUAUAAAUUGAAUUUUUCUUAUAUAAAAGGAUUGAAAGGUAUAUUUACUUAUUUUAGAUGAAAACAAGUAGUUAAAAAUUAUAUAGAUUACAUUUGAGUUUGGUUUUAAAAUAUUUUUCUAGUCUUUAUUUUUUUAUUUUUAAAAAUAAUUUUUAUUUUUUAUAUUGCCUCUUUUUGAAAAUAGCAUUUAAUUAAAAAACUGAAAACUAUUUUUAAAAAUGAAAAUUGAAAACCUUGUUUAGCAUUAUUUUUUUAUAUGAAAAUAAAAAUAAAUAAAUUUAUUUAUUCAUUUAUGUGAAACCAAGGUUUGGUUGUGAAACCAAGGUUUGGUUAAUCUUGAUUUUGAUGAUAACAAAACAAGGUUUAGAACUAAUGAUCAUAUUUCAAGUGUGAUUAGGCAAGACGACUUCCAAAGUGGCAAUCCAAAAACAAAUCAAGCCAAGGAGAAAUCAUGAAGAAGAAGACCACCUCAAAGAGAAGAGUUUUUUCAAGACCAAAACUUCUUAAGAUCUCCUUGUAAAGUUGUUGGUGCACUAGGACUUUCAUGCAUUUCAUUCUUUAUUUAUGCACCAAAAUCAUCUAAGAGUAAUAUUGUUUUAAAUAUCUUAAGAAUCGGAUGAUUUCAUGUUUUCAACUAAAACCUUGUGUUAAAUGAUUUUCAAACUUGUGUUAAAAUGUUUUAAGUUGAAAAAGGUUGAGUGUUGAGCCAAAAAAAAUGGCUCAACCGGUUCAAACCGUCGACCGGUUGUGCUCGUCCGGUCAAGGACCGGUUGAGGGAGGCCAAAAAGUUUUUCUCUCUCCUAGUGGCUUUCUCUUCCCGGUCAAGGUUGAACCUCAACCGGUUGAAGUCCGAUUGAGGCCCAACGGUCACUUUUCCUAACGGCUAGUCAACCGGUCGAACCCCCAAUGGCUAGUUUGGCUUUUUUCUUCUAUAAAAAGGCUUCAAUCUUCAUUGUUUUACAAGCUUAACCUUCCUAAAUCAUUCUUGAUUAUAUUUGAGCCUUGGAAGAGUGUUUUUGAGUGCACCAUUGUUUCAUAACUUGCAUAUCUUUAGUGCACCAUUCAAUCCUAAUUUUUCUUGUAUCUUUGAGUUUAAAGUUCUAUUACUAGGAUUUUUGUGAGAUCAUUAUUUGUAUAUCUUUGUGAGGAAUUUUCUCAAGUGAGGGGUAUCACUUGAGAGGUUGUUCAAGAGAGGGACAUCUCUUGAAGAAGUGUAAAGGGUGCUUAGAGCCAAAAGUCCAAGAGGGUGAAUUGGAACCAUAAUCCAAUUGUAAAGAGAUUGGAAGCUUGGUUGAAGCUUCAAGAUAGUGGAACCCUCACUCGGUUAGGAGGUUGAGGAGAGUGGACGUAGGCAAGGAAGUGCCGAACCACUAUAAACUCUCGUGUUUGCACUCUCUCUUCCCUAACUCUUUUAAAUUAUAUGCAAUUAUCUUUAUUUUGUUUAUUAUAUACUUGCAUAUAAUUGUCUCUUAUUUUUGCAUAGUUUAAAUUUGUGAAAAAGAGACCAUCACCCCAUUUACCCCCCCCCCCCCUCUAGGGUGAUUACCAUAGUUUGGAUUAGCCUCAAAUUCCUAACAAUUUAUUGUGUUACUAUACAAUUGUAUUACACUAAUCGUACAAGGGAAAUGUACUAAGUGUACAAAAGUGGACAAGGAUACCAUUUGUGAAAUAUUAUAAUUGAUUAUGAGUCAUUCCUUUAUUUUUCUUAUCACUCAUGUAUUGUCCACGUAUGUCAUGCACUUUAUUUAAUUCCUACAUGGAAAUUCUAAUACUUUUCCCAAUAAUGAUAUUUGGGGAAAAAAAUUUUGACCUUAAGUCAUCCACCAUCUUCUCAACUAAACCAUUGAAAAUAUGAUUAAACACUCCUACAUAUACACAUAAUUUAAGAGGGAUAUGAAAUUUGUGUUAUUAUACAAGGGUAUUACACUAACUGUACAGGGGAAAUGUACUAAUUGUACAAAGGUGCACAAGAUUACCUUUUGUAAAUGAUUUUAAUCAAUUCUAAACCACUUUUUUAUUUUCUCUAUCACUCAAGGAUUGUACACAUAUGUUAUGCACUUUAUUUAACUCUCACAUGAAAAUUCAAAUAUUUUCCCCAAUAAUGAUAUCUGGGGAAAAAAAAUUGAUCCUAAGUUAUUCACUAUUUUUUCAAUCAAACCAUUGAAAAUAUGAUUAAUACAUCUAUAUGGACAUAUAACUUAUGGGGGAUAUGAAAUUUGUGUCAUUGUACAAGAGUAUUACACUAAUUAUAUAAGGGAAAUAUGCUAAGUGUACAAGUGUACAAGGCUCCUAAUAGGUUUUGUACGAUUUUUAAACAACUUGAGUUUGACAUUAAGAUGAUUAUUGAUAGUUUUGUUUUGUUUUUUUUACCAAACUAUGUCAUUAAGACAUUCCUUACAAAAAUUAACACAUAGGAAAUAAAAUUAAAAUAAAUCAUAUUUGAAUUGUUCAUUAUAAGUAAACUAAAUGAAAUAUAUUUUUUUACUAUUUUGCCUUUAUAAACAUAAUUUUAUUGUUAUCAAUAGAGUUUAAAAAAUCAUAUUUAAAUGGAAUUAAAAAUAAACAAAAAUUAUUUUUAUAACAUUUUUUAUUUUUUUAAAUCAUUAAUUUAAAUUAUGAAAUUAGUUUUAAAAUUAAAAAUAUUUGUUGUAAUUAUAGUUUUGAAGAUUUCAUGAUUUUUAUCUUAUUACUUUGAAAAAAUUGCUUUAAGAAGAAAGUAUUUAUUUUAAUGGUUUUAAAUAUUUAAAUCUUUAUUAAAAAAUAUUUAGGAUUAGUGUGGAGAGCAAUUAGGUAAUUUUGGAAUGGAGAAAUUUUGAAUACUUUGAAAACUUUAAUUCGGCCAAUUACCUUAUUUACACUUUUAAAAUUAUUGGAAGGUUGGUAAAUUAGUCUUAGAAAUAUUGUCUUCUUGAUUAAUAUUAUAUAUAUAUGCAUGUGAGUGUUUACAUUAUUUUCGAAAUAAUAUGAGAAAUAAUAAACAACAUGUGUCUAAUUUGCAAGUUAGAAAAAAAAAUUAAUAAUACUUUAUGAGGUAUUUAAAAAGUAUUUAUUAUAUGUUCUAUAAAUUUGAAAAAAAAAUAUUCAUAAUAUCUAAUUUACAAGUUAGAACAAACAAAUAAUACUAAUAUUUUAUGAGGUGUUUAAAAAUUAUUUAAUAUAUAUGAGAAAUAAUAUAAGUUUGAAAAAAUAAUAAUAUUUGAUGAGGUAUUUAAAAGUUAUUCACUUCAAAAAUGUAUUUGACAAUAAUAAUUUUUAACUAUCUUUCAUAUUCAAUUUGAUGAAGAAAAAUGAUUCAACUUAGUUCCACUAUUAAAUAGGUGAGAAAAUGGUAAAAGAGUUAAAGAGGGAAUGAGAAAGGUAAAGUGAUUGGUUAGUUUUUUCAUUUAAUAGUUAAGGGUAUUUUGGGGAUUUUUUUUAAAGACAAUAUCCUUCCUUUCGAUUUCUACUAUUUCAUUGGGUUUUAAGUUUAAUUAUGAGUGAUAUUAUGACCUUACCUCAAUUACCCAAUUUAGCUGGCUGAAAACACAAUUCUCCAUUUUUUAUGAUUCUGCAAAAAGAUAUGUUUGGAUUUGUUUGGGCAAAUCUCUCCCAUGGCCAAGGCAACUUACAGGAUUUUUGAGGAAUAGAUUUAUGAGGGACCUAUUCUUUAUAUCUGCAUUUCUUGUCACAUUGUGAUUAUAUACGCCGAGCUUUAUAAUUUCCUUCAGGUCAUUAUAACUCCUUUUUAUCUUCACAUUUAGGACAUGUUUGGUACUUGGGAUGAGAAGUGGGAAUGAUCCUGUCAUCUCUUCCCAUGUUUGGAUGAUUCAAAUAUUAAUAGGAAUGGAAUUAAGAACGAUUCCAAAUAUAAUGAAAUCGAGUUGUAAGUGGGAUAUCAAUUCGUUAUUAGGAUGAUGUAUUUUGAUUCUUUAGUACAAGUUAUUUUUAAAAAUAUUUUUCAAAAAUUAAAAAACCAAAAUCUUUUUUUGGAUAAAUUGUUUUUAAAAAUAAAAUUUUAUUUUAUAUUGUAAAAUACAAUUUGUAAAUUCAAUUUAUAUAAUAUAAAUUAAAUUUAAUUCAAGUCUUAUUAAAAAUAAAAAUAUAUUUAAAUUUAUAAAUAAAUUAAAAAUUAAAUACUUCUUUAAUAAAAUUUUAAUAUUAAUAUUAUAAUAAAACCAUAAAUCAUAUAUAUAUAUAUAUAUAUAUAAUUGAAUAUCAACAUCUUAUAAAAGCAUAAUUAAUUUAUUUUAUUAAAAAUAAAUAAUAAUAAUUCAAAAUUAAUAACUUUUAAUACUAUUUUAUUUUAAAUGAAUUUAAAAACAAAUAAAGUUUAAUUUUUUAAAAGUAUAAAUGAGCUAAAUUUUUCAUUACAUUAGUAUAUACAUUUAUUACUCAAUUAUCGACAUGGUACUCUAAAUUUUUUUAUUUAAUUUAUAAUUAAUUAAUCAUUUUUUUAUUUCAAAUCAUUCUUACAAAUUAAAAGAUUCAUUAAAGAAUUUAAGUCUAUUAUUUUUUAUACUCAUUAUAUAUAGUUUUUGAGUUUCAUAUUAGCUUUAAAAAUUAUUAAAUUUAUUAAUAAAUUUAAUACAAAGUUUUGCUUGGUUUGAAAUCCAUUUCUCUAAUAAAAAGAACUCAGCAAAACAAUUCAUUAUUUUAUGUUUUUUUUUUCAAAAAAUAGAAAAAAAAUUACUUUUAGAUAACAAUAGCCAAAUAAUUAUAUAAUUUUUUUUUAAAAUUAUUAUUUUUAAAUCAUACGUCUCAAAUAGGUUUUCUAUUAUUUAGCCAAAAAAAACUCUUAAAGGUGUCUUUUAAAUAAAAAUUAAAAAUUAAUUUUAAUUAUGUAUAAAGUGAGAGGUUUUAUAAUGAAAAUAAAAAAUAUUUUAAACUAAAUAUACAAAUAUUACUAUCAAUUUAUUUCUUUUUUCAUUUUCAUUCUCGUACGUAUUUGGUAUGCGAGAAUAAGGAGUGGGAAUGAAUAUCUCAGUCAUUUUUUCUUUUAUUUCUAUAUUUGGAUAACUUAUAAAUAAUGAUGAGGAUGGAAUCAAAAGCGAUUGCAAUGAGAAUUAAAUCUCACUUAUAAGUGAGUUUUCAAUUCAUUUGAUUAUGAGGUAUUUUGAUUCCUUAAUGUAAGUUAUUUUUAAAAAUACUUUUUAAAAGUAAAAAAAAAAAAACAAAGGACUUUUUUAGAUAAGUUAUUUUUAAAAACAUUUUUUAUUUUGAUUUUAUAAAAAACACAGAUUAUAAAUUCAAUUUAUACAAUAUAAACUAAAUUUAAUUCAUGUCUGGUUAAAAAAAAAAACAAAUUUUUUAGUUACAAAUAAAUUUAAAAUAAAUAAUUUUUAAUAAAAUAUGAGAUGUUCAUUCCCGCUCCUACCAGUACCAAACAUGUCCUGAAAGUAGGUCUCUUCCAAGGCCCUUGGUUAGGAAAUCGACCAAAUUUUCUUUGGACUUGGACAUAUUCUAAAGCCACUGUCCCAUUAGAGAUGAGUCUUUUUACAUAUUUCCCAUUAAAGAUCUCACUAUAUACUCUGAGCAUUGCGGCAUGAUUUUCAUACCACACAAUGAUGGUUGACUCUGCCUUAUUCCAUAUCGGUACUUCUUCUGAUAUAUUCCUUAGCCACUUAGCUUUCUCUCCAGUAAAUGAGAGGGCCAUGAACUCAUACGGAAUUGUGGAAUGAAACCUUUUCUUGUAACCGUGGGAAUAUAUGAGCAUGGAUUUUGUACUAAGGUUGCCUAGACCACAAUGUAGGGUUGACACAAUUUUUGUGGCGUUAGAUCACUUCUCCAAGAUAGCUCACUUUAUUCCUUAUGAGAAUACCAUUGAUGCCUCACAAGUUUCUCAAUUGUUUUUCAAAGACACAGUUCGACUUCUUGAAGUUCCUUGGACCAACAGGUGACACAAGAUUCAUGAAUCAAUUUUGGCACACUCAAUUUAUAAGGACUAAACUACAAUUUUCAAGCACUUGCCAUCCAUAAACUGAUGGACAAUCAGAGAUGGUGAAUCAAACUUUGGGAAAUUUGCUAAGGAGUCCUACUGGUGGCAACCAUGAAAAGAAUAUGUUUUUUUUUCCUCAAUCAGAAGUCCUCUCUCUUGGUUUUUGUUUUUCUUCCUAAAACGACAGUCAAUACUUUUAUGUUGUGAAAAAAAUGAUUCUUAUAUUUAUAGUUUCAUUCAUGACUUGAAAUAAGAAAAUUGAUCAGUAAAACAACCAAUCAGGAUUCUUGGACAUCUUAAAAGGUAAUUCUGAAAACCUUAUUUUACAUCCGAGAUGGUUUAUGGAAAGAGUCAAAUUCAUAAUUUUAAUCAUUCACAUGUUCUAAAUCUAUGGAAGUGUAGCACGGAGGCUGAAGAACUUGCUAGUUAUGUUCUAAAUCUGAAGAGGUGAUUGGGUGAGGGUUUACUUAAGAAGGGAGUGUUUUAUACUAGGCACUUAUCACAAGCUCCAAUGCAAGAAUUUGAGUUUUGUCAGUGAACUACUACAGCUCAAGAUGCAAUUACGGUCAUUAAGAAAAGAAUCUAUGACAAUGAGUGAUUACUUUGCUAAGAUGGACGAUAUUGCAGAUCAAUGUGCAAUGGCUGGUUGUUUUGUCAGUGAUGAAGAUUUGGUACUUUAUAUUUUAGCAAGUCUCGGAUCAGAAUAUGAUCCACUUGUAUGCAGCAUUACCACCUGUAAUAGUACUGAUCAUCUUUCUCUAAAGGGGAUUCAUGCUCUUCUACUCAAUCACGAAAGUAUAAUUGAGCAAUUGUAUGCAACUAAUUCAGAUUCACACCAUUUAUUUGCCAAUUUUGCUGCUCAUAAAAAUGGAGGAAAUCAUGGUCGUGGAAAAGGAAAUUUGAACCCUCAAGGUCGAGGUAGAGGAAGAAAUGGAGGUUUUUCUAGUAGAGGCAAUGGCAAUAAACCUAUUUACCAAAUUUUUGGUAAAAAAGGACACAUAACCCUCACUUGUUGGCAUAGAAUGGAUGAGAACUUUCAGUCUACAUCAUCCGUUACUAGCAGCAACAAUUAUAAGACAACAGUCUACAUGGCCACACUAGAUACAAUGAUUGAUUCAAUGCAGACUUACUUCCGGUAGCUUUUGCCAUAACUUCUAGCAUCCAAUUUGGGUUACCAAAACCACCUCAAACCCCACUCUCAGAUGUUCAUACCUCACCUACCUCACAACCAUCUAUGUCUUUAUCUGCUCAUGCUCCAACUCCAUGUCACCCCAUGAUUACCCGAGCCAAAGCUGGCAUUUUUAAACCAAAAGUGUAUGCUGCCCUCAAACAUCCCUUGAGUUUCUCACAUGGUCCUAUUGAACCUAUGUGUGUAAAGCAAGCUCUUGCUUAUCCAAAUUGGAAGAUAUCAAUGGAAGAAGAAUACAAGGCUUUAAUGAGGAAUCACAUAUGGGACUUGGUACCUUAUCAGCCCCAAUAUAAUGUAGUGGGCAAUAAAUGGGUGUUUAAGUUGAAGUUUCACCCAGAUGGCACUCUUAAUAAACAUAAAGCUAGGUUUGUUGCCAAGAAAUUCCAUCAAACCCCAGGUGUGGAUUUUUCAAUAACUUAUAGUCCUGUGAUUAAACCUGCCACAAUUAGAGUUGUACUAACUCUAACAAUUGCUCAAGGAUGGGAAAUUAGGCAACUGGACAUAAAUAAUGCUUUUCUCAAUAGAUAUCUGCAAGAAGAUGUGUUUAUGUCUCAACCUGAAGGUUUCAUUCAUCCUACCAAGCCUCAUCAUAUUUUCAAACCGAGGAAAGCUCUCUAUGGUUUGAAAUGGGCUCUAAGGGUCUAGUUUGAUAAACUUAAAGAUGCAUUAUUGCAGUGGGGUUUUCAAGAUUCAAAGUCUGAUGUAUCUUUGUUCCUAUAUAAGACCAAAGGAAUCAUACUCAUGCUAUUGGUAUAAGUAGAUGACAUCUUGAUUACCGGAAAUAAUAGCAUAGUAAUUUCGGACUUGGUUCAUGACCUCAAUAAGAGUUUUCUUCUAAAGGAUGUUGGUUCAUUACAUUACUUCCUAGGAAUUGAAGCCUUUCGAGAUGAAACAGGUCUCUAUUUAACUCAUUCAAAAUACAUUGCCGACCUGCUUCAAAAGACAAAUAUGGAUACAAUAAAGCCCUUACCAACACUAGCUAUUUUUGGAAAAGUGUACUCCAAAUCAAGUAGUGAUCUAGGGAUAAUCCAAUCAUGUAUAGAAGCAUAGUUGGAGCCUUGCAAUAUGUUACAAUCACAAGACCUGAUAUAUCAUACAUGGUUAGUAAGUUGAGUCAGUUCUUACAAAGUCCAACAGAGAUACUUUGGAGAGCUUGUAAAAGAGUAUUACGAUAUUUGAAAGGAACUAUCACUCAUGGUUUGCAUUUCCAGCCAAACCAAUCUUUAAAUCUUGUGGGUUUCAUAUAUGCAGACUAGGAUAGCUGUCCAGAUGAUGGAAGAUCAACAAGUGGUUAUUGUGUGUAUCUAGGAGGUGAUCUUAUUUCUUGGAGCUCAAAGAAAUAAAGUGUUGUUGCUAGGUCUAGCACCAAAUCAGAAUAUCGAGGCUUAGCUCAUGUGACAGUUGAGGUGAUUUGGCUCAAGUCCCUAGCAACAAAAUUGGCCCUUCAAUUGAGAUUAAGACUGGCAAUCUAAUGUGAUAACCAAGGAGCCGCCUCACUAGCUGCUAAUCCCGUUUAUCAUGCUAGAACUAAGCAUAUUGAAAUUGAUAUACAUUUCAUUUGUGAUAAAGUACUUAAAAAAGAAUUGGAUAUAUGGUUUGUACCCUUAGUAGAUCAAAUAGUUGAUUUGUUUACAAAACCACUUUCAAUCACUCGAUUCUUGAAACUUAAGGCCAAACUCCAGGUGAAAGAAUCCUUCUUUUGUUUGAAGGGGCGUGUAACGACAAAUAGUGCACAACUGAAGAACAUAAUUGCAACAGCUUCAGCCAUGUCAUCCUCUCCGGAAGCUUCUGCCAUGUCAACUAUUAGCUAAAGAUUUGUUAGAUUCUAUUUUUGAUUAGUUAGCAUUAGCAAAUUAGUUAGCAAUAGAUUAGUAAGCAAAAUAGAACACUCUGCUUUUGUAUAUAUAUAAGUAGAAUAGAACCAACCUCUGUUUCAAGUAAUGAGAAACAUAAAUAGUUUUCUUCACACAUAGGAUUUGUUAUUUUUAUUUUUCUAAAAAUGUUAUAUAUUAAAGGAGACAUAAUAUUUACGGGGUUCUAUAAGAAUGUGUUAUCUAGAUCCUCAAAUAAUGAUUAAUCCAUUAAUUUUCAAAUCAAAACUACAAAGUAAAUUAAGAGAGCUUUCUCCACAUAAAUUGGUUAAAGCCUUUAAGAUUGGCAAAAACCACAAAGAUGGACUAAAGUUAUUCUAACAACUCUACCUAAAGUCAUUCUCACACACUCAAGCCACACUCUAACCAAAGGAAUUAGACUUCUUACUAGGACCACAAACCUUCAGAAAACCAAUUCCUACUCUUUGUAGUACAAAGACUCCUAACAUGUAACAAAUUAAUUAUCAAAUCAUAAUCCUUUAGGACAAAGAUUCCUAAAAUACAUCAAGUUUUUAAUUUUGUUAAAAAACAAUAAAUCUUUACCUUAAACAAAUUUUAAAUUUUCUUCCAACUUUCCAAAUUCAAAACAUUCUUUGAUAAGCGAACACUUACAUAUAUAAUCAGAAUAGUGCAAUUAUAAAGAUGUCUUAUGCGUGGAAUAUUGAAGCCAAGUCAACUGAAAUGUUGAUACUGGGUCAACUGAAGGUAGCUUCUCCAUUGGUUGUGAUAGUGGAAGCUUCUUCCCAACAACUGGAGACUGGGUCGACUUCUCCCUUACACAAAGGAUGUUCGGACAGGUUGUCCGAGCACACUCUCCGAAGCUCAAGUCAGGCACCAAAUGGAUAGGAACCUUUAGAAAGGAGAGUAAAUAGGGGAACCCUCUAGUCUUGCGUACCUGGGCUCUGUUUUAAGAGGAUUUUUAUUGUGCUCAAGGGGAAAAGCACUGUAGUGCUAAGUUGGCACCUUGACCUAAUCUGUAAUAAUGGAAGUGAAGAGAUAGAGGGUUAUGAGGAUAGGCUUUGAGAAAAAAAGUUAACGAUGUUUCAUAAUUGAGAACCUGGGUGGGCAUUCUAUUUAUUAGAUAACAUAGUAAGAACAACAUUCCCUUAGAGGUAUUUUGACAUAUUAUUUGUGAAUAUAAUGGCUCUAGCUACUUCUAGAAGGUGGUGAUCCUUUCUUUCAACAAUGUAAUUUUGUUGUGGGGUUAUUAUGUAGGAGAUUUGAUGAAUAAUGCCUUUCUUAGAGAGAGAACUUCCUAGAAUAGAUUUAAAAUAUUCUUUUUCGUUGUCUAUUUUGAGAAUUUUAAUGUUCGCAAUGUAUUGGGUGUUAAUCAUGACAUAAAAUUUUUUGAACACUCACUCUAGUUCUGAUUUUUCUUUCAAAAGAUAUACCCAACAAACCCAAGCGUGAUCAUCAAUAAAUGUGAUAAAUCAUUUUUUUUCAUUAAAUGUUUAACUCGUGAAGGGCCUUAAAUAUUACUAUGGACUAAUGAAAAAGAUGAUGAAGACUUAUUUUUUAGGAGAAUAAAUGAAAUGAACAUGCUUGGCUAAGUGACAAAUUUCACAUUCAAAGAAAUCUCCAUUAUGAAAUAGUGAUGGAAACAAAGUUCAUAAAUAUGAAAAGCUUAGGUGGCUUAGUCUAUGAUGGCACAACAUUAUUUUUUGUUCUUUAGAAAGAGACUUACAACUCACAGUUUGAGCUUGUUUAUUCAAUUCGACUUCCUUCUCAAAAUAAUAUAACCCCUCAUGUUCUUUAGCAUUGCCAAUCUUCUUCCCCUAAAUCAGGUCUUGAAACACAGAAGAAGACUCAAAGAAAUGAGCACCACACUUUAAAUCUUUAGUCAACUUACUAAUAGAAAGAAGGUUGCAAGACAAAUUUGGAACAUGCAAUACAAAGUGUGGUUCAAUAUUAGGACCAAUUCUAAUAGCUCUAGUUCUACCACUGGUGAAAGAGAUCUUUCUCCUAUUUUAUCUUUGAAACUUCCUAAACUAGGAUUAUAUGAUGAGAAAAUUUUUCAUAGCCCAUCAUGUGAUCUAUGGCUCUAGAGUCAAUCACUCAUGGUUCCAGAUCCCUACUACAACUACUAAGAGCUAAGAAAAAAUUACCUCCAUAUGCUAGUAAUAAAGUAGUGGUGUCCUGUGAUGGUUUGAGUAGUUUGUACAAUUUUUUCAUUUUUCCUUUGGUAAGCAAGAACUAUGUACGUUCUCCAAAUUUUACCUCAAGCUAGGACCCGAUUUGUUAGAAAUCUCAGCUAAAAUUUGAAAACCAGAGUGAUCUCGAUUUCCAACCCUACUGUCCUUUGAAUUUGGUGGCUUACCAUGUAACUUCUUGUAGCAAUCUUUAGUGUGAUUUGUUUUCUUAUAGAAAUCACACCAAAGAUUGUUUAUCUUUUACUUCUUAGGGCAUUCUUAACCACAAACUUUGAAACUUCAGGUAAUGAUGGUUUUGAUCCACCUAUCAUAACCCAUUUUCGGCUUGACUCUCUUUGAACUUCAACAAAUAUUUAAGUAAUCAAUGGGAAAGGUUUGAUUCCUAGAAGUCAACCCCUGACUUCAUCAAGAUCAGGAUUUAAUCCUACCAAAAAAUAUCAGACUCGUUCUGUUUUAACCUACUUUUUGUAAAGUUUAGCAUCCUUAGGAUUUGACCAUGGAAUUUGGACAUAAAGAUCAAUUAAUUUAUUGCCACAAGUGAGUCAAGGCAUUGAAUUAUUAGGUAACAUCCAACUCCCCUAGUUUCAAAUCACGGGCUCCAUUUCCAAGUUAAAAAAAUUGGGUUAAGUUUUCCAUGUCUAAGCAUGCUAAAGUUUGUGCAUCCCACAUCUCCUUAGCAAUGGAAUAAUAUAAGAUAAGAUUCCUUGAUAUCUUAUUUCAUGGAGUUCACAAUCAAUGCCAUAACCAUAGAGUUUCGUGCAUCCCAUGUUGGAAAAGAGAGAUUUCUUGGAUUAUGUUUUAUUAUUGAACCAUCCACAUAUAACUAAGGUGGUCUCAUCCUCAUAUCACCAUUAGAGCAUACGGAGACCAUUGAAGGAAACUUUGAUUAUUUAGUUUCGUGGUUGUAAUUUGAAGCGGAGAAUUUUCAAAAAAAAAGUUGAAAACGAGGCUAUAGUGGAUGAACUUGUAGGGAUGGGUUGAGAGACUUUUGAAAAGACCUCAAAACUAGCAUCCUUGCACUCACCAGUGAAGGUUGUUCUAUACAUCUUUUUGUCUCAACUGAUACUAGCUCUGAUACCAUGAAAUUGGGUAAGAAAAAAAAAAACAGACCGUAAAUUGGAGAUUGCUUUUGUUUUAUUAUUUUAUUUCUUCAAUACAAGUAGAUUUAUAGGAUAGGUUUUGUAACAACCAACCCUUUAUUUUAAGAGAUUGACACCAGCUAUUUUUUAGGAUAUUCUAAUCAACUAUAAUAUCACAACUAGCAAUUAUCCUUAUUUAGAGAAUAGUAAUUAUCCAAGAUUCUCUAUAAUCUAUUUCCUACUUACCCUUGGAUCUCUAUUUUCUUUACAAGAUGCCAACUAGUGGAGGAGCUUUUAGGAUAACAUUUUGGGACCUAUAAAAGCCCUCAUAUCCGUUAGAAAUGGAACUUUGGGUUAUUAGGGAGAAGGAAAGAAGUUGAGUUUCAUCUAGCAUCUCUAUUAACUCCUGUCUUUUCUUAAGCUUAGUAAUUUUUCGUUGCAUUAUUCAUAAGUAACUAGCCUUUGAUUUUAGUCUUAUUCCUCAAAGUUUUUUUUAGAGAUUUUGAGAACUUUAUGUUUCAUCAUGAUGUUGAUUUUAAUUGUAGAUUCUAAGAUGGUUUUCUUUGUUCUUCUAGUUUUGAGUUGUGAGUAGUUUUCUAAGCUUGAGAGGAGGAGUCCAUGAGACUUCUUUCAUGAAAAACUAAUUUACAUCAUGGGGUGAAUGGAUAGUGUUUCUACCUAGUAAUUGGAGUCCUUAUUUUGUUUGGGAAGAAACCCUAUUUUCCUCUUCUUGAAAUGGAAACUUAGAGGUGGUUUAUUUUAGUUUAUUUAUUUAAUUUUUUUUUUUUGGUUACUUCAAGUUCUUGAGGAUCUUAGGACUUUUGACUUGAAAUCACUUCCAUUAAGCUUUAUGUAAAAUGCAAAAUGAACUUAAAGAUUACAAUGUUGUGGAGGUAUUUAAAUAAAAUUUCUUUUGAGCUUUAGUUGGUAAUUUCUCACAAGUGUUUUCAGUUGUAGGUUUUUUUAUUGUGCAUUGGUUGUGAAAAUGAGCCUCAUUAGACUCCGAUCCUUAGCAUUUAAAUUUCUCUUUUAGCUAUAAAAUGGUAGGUUCAAGUGUCAAAAUUUUGUUAUUUUCUAUUUUUUUUUUCAUCAUAAAAUGUGAUUGUUCAGUGAUAUUCCAAUUUGGUCACAAACACUUAAUUUUUUUUGCGAAGAAACAGAAGAUUCAUAGAUCACAACUUUUAGUGAUGAGCUUUUAUUUACAAAUUUCAUGACAAAUUUUUUUAAAUAGUGGUGAUUUAUUAUUUAUUUAUGACAAAUACUUUCAUGACAAAAAUUGAUACUUGUUGUAGUGAGGUAUUUAAAUAAAAUUUCUUUUAGGCUUUAGUUGGGGAUUACUAAUGAGUGUUCUCAGUCCUUGGUUUUUUAUUGUGCAUUGGUUUUUAAAGAUGAAGCCUUAUUGGACCCCCAAUCCUUGGUAUUUAAAUUAAUUUGUUUUUUGCAUAGAUACAAAAUCAAUUUUCUUCUAUUUCUCAAAAUAUUUUUGGAGGUUCUCUAAUUUAUUAACCUCAUAUUAAACAAGCCUCUUUCAACCACUUAUUCAAGAGAAAAUCAUUCCCACUUUUGGAACUAAUUCACCACAUAUCUCCCCAUCUUUUGCUAUCAUUUAAAACACUCUUCUUGAGAAAACUAUACCUGAACCACCAUAUUUUUUACUUGCAAAGACUCCUCAUACUUAGGAAUUGGUACCAUCACAUUUGCAUUUCAAGCAAACACAUGAUAGUGUAGACCCUCAAUUUUAUCCCUUUAGCACAUGUCUUUAAGUUCACUUCCAAUGCUUCACAGUAGUUCCUUGGUGGCCCAUAGCUACUCAUACUACUUACAUUUUUUGAGCCACCUUGGAGACUUUGGUUGAGGGAUUUAUCUAACCCCGUUGUGACUCUUGGCAGCCUUAAUUUAGACUUAGGCCCACUUAGGCACCCUAGACCCAUUUAGAUACACUUGGCCCAUUAGGCAUUACCUUAGGCCCAUUUAGAUGCACUUGGAACCUUCUAGCUUGCACACAUUCACCCUAGGUUACUUAGUCAAUCUUUCAGAAUAGGUCACUUGGACACUUCUUUUGGAAUAGUUCACUUAGGCAUGUGCUUGAUUUUGGUUAUUUAUUUUUCAGGAUAAGAUGAGUGUUGGCUUGACUUUUUAUUACAUGAAAUGAAUUUUUUAUUCUAUCUUUAUUUUAUUUUUAUUUUUAUUUUUGAAGGUUUGAGUUUGACAUUUAAAUUAUUAUAAUCCGUUGCAUUACUUUAUUUUCUUGAUUUUUUUUAAUUGCAUACGUCUUAUAUUUUUUGUUAUACCCUUAUCGAUUUAUUUGUUUAUUUACUCACUUAUUCAUUUAUUCUUUAAUUCCAUGAAUUGACAUUUUGGAUUUUUGUGGCUAUGUGAUUUGAUUUUAUAUUUGAUUUUAUUCUAUUUCCAAUUACAUGAUUUCUUAUUUCAACUUUAUUUUAAAUUUUGCAUGAGACUUGGAGCCAUCAAGGAGAGGAGAUCACGACCAAAGAGGGAAACUUGGAAGGAAUCCGGGCUGCAUAUAGAAAGUGGGCAGAUCACGACUUUAAGAAAGAAUCCGGGCUGCAUAUGAUUUGUUUGAAGAAAGAAUCCGGGCUGCAUAUAGAAAGUGGGCAGAUCACGGUUGAGGCACAUCCGGGAGCAUAUGGAAAGAAGAUUAAAGGGGAUCUGAUCACUUACCAAACAAGAUACGACUGCAUCCUUGGGGAAAUCUCCAUGUGAGCCACACAUAAUGGGCUUCCCAUAUCCACGCGCAUGUAGGAAAAAAUGGAAAUAAGAUAUUCCAUAAGGAGUGGGUUGCCUUAUAAAUAAAGGAGAGAAUCCAAGCAUAAGAGGAAUUUUUUUUUCGAAGGGGAAUAGGCCGAAAGAAUUUUCAAACGGAGACUUUUCUUUUGGAGGGCAGAGAGGACACGAGAGCAAUUCUUUUGAGAAGACGUGUGAAGAACAUUGAAGAGCCGACACAUAACCAUAAAAAAGGGAGGAGCAGCCCACAAAAUCUCCACAAAUAACGGUUUAUAGGUAAGUGUACGCUUUCAAAUUUAUCUUUGAUUUCGUUUUGAUUCGUCCUUUUAGUCUUGAGUGUUUUAAUGAUUUUUGUUCUUUGAUUUAAUUAAUCCUAUAUAAUAAAUUUCUUGUUUUAAUUUCGAUUUAGUUUUAAUUUAUUUUUCUUCUUUAGUUUGGAUGUGUUUGUGGUUUUAAUUCUUUAGUUUAAUUUAUCCCAUUAGAUAAAGUUCCUUUUUUUAUUUAUUCCAAUUCGAUUUAGUUUUAAUUUAUCUUUUAUGUUUAGAUGUGUUUGUAGUUUUCUUUAAUUUAAUUGUUUUUAUUAUAAAAGUCCCUAUUUUUAAUUUUGAUCUAGUUCAAUUUUAAUAUAUUUUUUAUGUUUAGAUGUGUUUGUGAUAUUAAUUCAUCAGUUUAAUUAUUUCUAUUAGAAAAGUUUUGUUUUUAAUUUUGAUUUAGUUCACUGUUAAUCUACCUUUUAUGUUUAGUGUUUGUCGUUUUAAUUCGUUAGUUUAACUGUUCAUAUUAGAAAAGUUCUUAUUUUUAAUUUCAAUUUAGUUCAAUUUUAAUCUAUCUCAUAUAUUUGUGAUUUUAAUUCGUUAGUUUAAUUAUUCCUAUUAGUAAAGUUCUUAUUUUUAAUUUCAAUUUAGUUCGAUUUUAAUCUAUCCUAUAUGUUUUUGCGAUUUUAAUUCGUUAGUUUAAUUAUUCGUAUUAGAAAAGUUCUUAUUUUUAAUUUCAAUUUAGUUCAAUUUUAAUCUCUCCUAUAUGUUUAAAUGUGUUUGAGAUGUUAAUUCAUUAGUUUAAGUAUUCCUCAUAGAUAAAGUUCACAUUUUUAAAAUCCCAAAUUAGUUUAAAUUUUAAUUUAGCUGUUAGUUUAAAUAUGUUUGUGAUUUUAAUUCCUUAGUUUAAGUAAUUUAAGAGAUAAAGUUUAAUUUUAUUUUAUUUUUUUUUGGAUUAAUUUAGUUUUAGUUUAUAAUUUAAUUUGAAUGCGUUAAUGAUUUCAAUUCCUUAGUUUAAAUAAUUUGUGAGAUAAAGUUUACUUUCUUUAAUUUCAAAUUAACUUAGUUUUAGUUUAUGAUUUAAUUUGAAUGUGCAAGUGAUCCUAAUUAGUUUGAUUUUAAUUUGUUUUUAGUUUAAAUAAUCACGCUAAAUAAAGUUUGUGUUUUUAAUUCCAAUUACUUUAAUUUUAAUUCAUUUUUAACUUAAAGGCAUUCGUGGAUCUUAAUUCUUUAGUUUAAAUGAUUGUAUCAAGUAAAGUUUGAGUUUUUAAUAUUCCAAUAAUUUUAUUAAGUAGAAUUUAAUUUCAAUUCAGUUUGAUUUUAAUUUGUUUUAUAAUCCGAAGGUGUUCCUGAUUUUAAUUCAAUUGUUUGAUUAACCCUCUUAGACAAAUUCCAUAUUUUUAAUUUCGAUCUUAGUUUAAUUUUAUUUUGUUAAUUUAUUUAUUUGCUUUAGUUUAAAUAUAUUUGUGAUUUCAAUUUGAUAGUUUAGCCAAUCUUAUUAGAUGAUGAUGAUGUCCUUAAUUUAAUCUAGUAUUAAUUAUUUUUAGUAUUGAAUGUGUUUGUGUUUUUUAUUUCAUUAACUUUGAAUUUAAUCCAUUUAUAUCCAAUUUUGUAGUUGAUUAUAAUUUGGUUUAAUUAAUUAAGUCAAUCACGUGUAAUUAUUUUCAUGUUUUAAGUAUGGUAAUUUUGGCUUUGAUCUAUUGACAUUUAGUAUGAGCUUUAGGAAUUUUAGAUAAUUAAUCCAGUUAAUUGUAUGUCAUUGGUUUCAUACCUUCAAGAUUUUUGAACUUUGGUCUUUGAUUCAUCAUAUUUUGUUAAAAUGCUAAUUUACCUUAAUUAAUUCCAUAUUAUUAUCUCCAUAUGCUAAGUUUGUUGGCUUUAAUAUUUGAUUGGUUAUUUUUAUUUUAAUUCAUGUGCUUCUUGAAAUCUAAAUGUUAGUCUUGGGUAAUAUUUUGUUAGUUUGUUUUAUUAGGAAGUCAUAAAUUUGAUGCCUUAGUGAUUGUUAGUUAAAUUCUUAUUUUUUGAAGGCCACUGGAAACUCAUGAAGGUUGGUCUUACCCUCACCACUUUAAUUGACAUGAUUUUCUAAAUCUUUAUUUUGUGAUUUUCGCUUUCUUUUGUUUUGAUUGGUAUUUUGUUUUCUAUGUUUUAUUAUUUUAAAAAUUAAUUCCUUUUAUUUUAAAAUCAAAACCUUUUUCUCCGAAGACCCCUUUAAGAAAUUCUUUUUUUUUAAAAAAAAAAGAAGAAAAAAUUCAUUUAGAGUUGUUAGAAUAAAAAAACCCCAUUUUCUUAAAAUAAUAUGCAACCAUUUUUUGAUCGGUUUGCAUCUUUCUCCGUUUUUUAAUGAAAAUUUUGGUUUAAAAUCAGACACGAAUCCAAGCUUAUGGUCCCACAUAAAUGGGAUAAUUCCAGGUUAGAUUUGUGUAUAUCAAUCGGGGAAUUGGUGAAACCCCUACAUAAAAAAAAAAUAAUAAUAAAAAAAAAAUAAAAAAAUAAAAAAUCUUUUCAAAACUUAUUUUUGCUACCGUCUUUGUUGGUUGUUACAAUCAUAUCUAUUUUUUUUGGAAUUGUACAUAAGAUGUGUGUAAUAAUUGAUGAUUUCGUAUUCUUUGAUCAUUUUUGCUAUGCCAAUUAGUUAAGCAUGUUAGGGUUUCUUAUUUUACUAUUUAUUAUCUAAGCCCCCCCCCCCUCUCCUGCGGAAGCACACUAUGAGCUAUAUAUGCUAUCCAGGUACGUUCCCUAAUACCCACUUUCUAAACCCCGUGAACAUGAUUGUCAUUGCGUACUAUGCCCAUGCUUGCUAUCCUAUUUGAUUGCCUUGAUAUAUAUUUGAUGCUUGUUUGAUUAUCUUUGACAAAAACACAUGUUGUGAUAUAUUUCUAUAUUAACUUUUAUGUUUCAUGAUAUCACUUGAGAAGCCGUUCAGGUACGCACUUUGAUUCUCUCUUAUGAUCAGACUUUCUUAUUUGACAUGCUAUUUUUUGAAAUCACCUAGCCUACCUAGGUAUCCAUGAUCAACCAUUUAAUUGCCACGUUUCCCUCAACUUAGUCAGUAGAGACCUCUUUAGGGCUUAGAAGGGUGCUACCUCCUAGAGGUACCUUCCUAGUAAGUAACCUGAUUCCCGGACCUAGACUCGGUUUUUUCAAAGAGAUGAUUUUUCCAAAAAUUAUGGAGUCACAUUUUAGGAUUUUUCUUUCUUGUUUUAUUUUCCCUUUAAAAUAAAAAUAAAAUAAGUGGCGACUCCGACUUUUUCCAAAAUUAAUUUUUCACAAAUAGAAAAGCAAGUCUCACCGAUCGAGCCCGCAUGUGAAAAAUACGGGUCCACAAAUUGGCGACUCCACUAGGGAUUUUGAGGAUCAAGCUUGAACACUAAUUGAGAAAAAUGUGGCAUUUAAUUGGUUGAUUAGAGGGUACCCCUUUUUUAGGCAAGGUGAUCUGGUCUACUUGUUUGUUUAGAAUGAUAUCUUAACAUGUUUGAUUGCCUUGAAUGAUCACUUGAUUGCUUACUCACUUCAGCAUGAUUCACUCUCACAUAUGCUAGAUAGGACUUUGAUUGUUUGAUAUUUAUCUGCUUCGCAUGACUGCUUGUUGCAUAACAACCAUUUCUCUUGCGUGUUCGUAUGAUUGCUUGUCUUCAUUCACUAUCUCACUUUAGAUCUUAGGUUUUUCGGAUACACCCACAUCCUUCAUUGUGCACUUUAGAUUAUCCUUGAGUGUUGAGAGAUGGGAGAGCCUUCACCAUAAAGAAACCCCCUAGGGACGCGAGGAAGUGCAUGUGUGGAGGUGAUGACCACCUUGCAUGGAAGCACCCCGUCUCCUUGGAGGCGUGCAGAGGGUUGCGUACCACUGGAGGGUACGAUCGCUUCUGCUAGGGAUCCUUUAACCCACCCAUUUUAUCCUAUAGCCACCUCAACCUUGUAAGUUAACUUAGACCCAAUUAAGAUUUCAUUCCUACACGUGGGUGCAUCUGUGGACCUUCAGAGCUGCCUUGGUCAUGAUUGGGUUCGGUUAUCCCUUAUGUAGUCUCCUUUUGGUGUGAUCAGAGAUGAGUAUCAGAUUGAGUAUAUUUGGGCUUUACUUCUACGCACUUGUCAGUUGAUUCCUACAGAGUCACAUUCGUACCGCACCUUAUCCAGUGUUUCCAUAUUUGUAGGAGGGUUUACCUUGACCGAUCUGGAUUCACUUUUGUGGAUUAGAGUUGAAGGUAGAUUGACCAGAGUAUCAGACCAGUCAGAUUAGAGAUCAGAUCAGAGGGAUAUGGACUCACAGAUAGUUACCGUCGACCAGUUUGCCGCAGCCAUGGCUUCUAUCCAGGAGGCUAUAGCUAACCUUGGUCAGAGGAUAGAUGGACAACAGACCCAACAGGUCCCAAUUCAGGAGAAUGCCCAAUUCGAUACCACAGUACCGCCACCUCCUCCGCCCAGUUAGUCAGUACCAUAGGUUAUACCUUUCACUCUGCAUAGUCAGACCGAGGUUGCCCCGUUUCCUAUCACAUUGCCUAUCCCGACCUCAGAGGACCCACAUACACGUAUGGAUAAACUUGAGCAAAGGUUAAGACAGAUGAGGGCUUCAGACGGAGUUAUUACUUAGGAGGAUUUUGAUGGAGCACCGAUAGCCAGUUUGCUAGCCAAGUUUAGGAUGCCCGAGAUUGAGAGAUACACGGGCAUAGGCUAUCCUCACAUCCAUUUGAGGCUUUAUAGUACAGUUAUGAGGGCCCACGACUGGAUGAGGCCUAGAUGGUUAUGUUUUUCCCUAUGUCCCUGAGUGGUGCGGUACAGCGUUAGUUCGCUUCAUUGGAUGUAUCACACCGUAGGACUUGGGACGACUUGACCCGGGAGUUUUUGAGAUAGUUUGCAUUUAACACUAUCAUUGAUGUUUCGAGGAGAGAGUUAGAGGUUUUGAGAUAGAGGCUAGAGGAAUCAGUCACUUCAUUCAUCUCCCGCUGGAGGGAGAAGAUUUCACAGAUCAUUAAUCGUCCUUUAGAGAAGGAUCCGAUUAGCAUGAUCAUGAGGAGCUUGCAGCCUAAAUUUGCUAGACACUUGAUGAGAUUUCCCCACACGGAUUUUGGAUCUCUAGUACAGGGUUUGUAUGGUAUAGAGGAGGGCAUUGCUAGAGGAUUGUGGCCCGAGUCUUCCCAUACUGAUUCUAAGGGGAAGAAGCCUUUAGGAGGAUAGAGAUCAAGAGAUGUUGGUGCUAUCAGUUUAGCAGGGAUGAGACUUCCUAGACACUAUCAAACGGUUGGGCAAACUUUUGGAUUCUACUAACCACCAUCACCCCAUGUGUAGUAUAGGCCACCUGCUCCCUCCAGACCCAUUACUCCUACUUACCUACAUCCAGUCUCACAGCCUGCUUUUGUCACACAUGUUAUAGAGAGACCUCCUGCCCUAUACACCCGACCCCGAGCUCUGCAGACCACCACUUAUGUGUAGAGGCCAUCACAUUAGUUCGCUUAGUUAGGUAUGCCUUUGAGUCGAGCUUUUCAUAAGCUUAUAAAGGGUGGAUUAUUGACUCCAUUGGCACCCAAGCCAGUACCUCAGCCAGUACCGCCUCAUUUUAGAUUUGACCUACACUGUUCUUAUCAUCAGGGACCAGGACAUGACACGGAUCACUGCAACGCCUUGAGACAUGCUAUUCAGGAUUUGAUAGACCAGAGUUUAGUUAACUUGGGGCAGCCAAGUGUGACCACUAACCCUCUUCCUGCCCAUUCUACACACGCAGUGCUUCCAUCUCCAAGAGAUAUUCAUCACAUGGACCUUAUAGAGGAUGACAGUAUACAUAUGUUGAGUUGGGAUGAUGGGUUACCCGAGCAAAUUGUUUUGCAUGACAGUUAUGAGAUUGAUGGGGUUUCAUUGGGUUCUUAGGCCCCUACACCAUUCAGUUUGAUCCCAGACGAGGCACCAUUCCAGUUGACUCAUCCUACACCCUUGAUUAUUGGAUGUCAUGAUACUUUUGUCCCGUUCACUUUAUGGUCAGAGGAUGAUGAUUCGGAGGGAAGAGAGAUACAGAUUGUGACUUGUAAUGGAAAGAUAGCUCAGCUACUACCACUAGUAGUUAGACCAUUUGAGGGUGCAGCCUCUCAUGAGGAGGUUAGAAUAGAGGAUGAUGAAGUUUUGAGACAGCUACAGAGCACUCAGGCCCGUAUUUCUAUUUGGAGUUUAUUAACAUCAUCCAGUACUCAUAGAGAUGCUUUGAUUCGAGCCUUGAGUCAGAUCAGGGUAGAGACUACCACCACUCCAAAGAGAUUGAUUCAUAUGAUGAAGGCCGACAGGGCCACUUGCAUUGUGUUUUCAGAUGAUGACUUGCCACUUGAGGGUUCAGACCAUGUACGCCCUCUAUAUAUCACAGUUGGUUGUUCAAGCCAUAGAGUCCCAUCUGUCCUGCUGGACAAUGACUCAGCCCUGAAUGUCUGCCCUUUAGCCACUACUGUAACCCUUGGUUUUGCACCUUCAGAUUUUGGUCCUUUUGCUCAGACAGGCAGAGCAUAUGAUAGCACUAAGAGGGAGGUUGUGGGUACCUUGGUGAUUGAUUUGAAGAUUGGUCUAGCCACAUUCUCUACUUUGUUCUAGGUUUUGAGGAUUCCUACAUCCUUUAACCUGUUACUUGGUUGACUUUGGAUACAUAGAGCUGAAGCUAUCCCUACUUCCCUUCAUCAGAAGGUGAAGUUCAUUCAUAAUGGGCAGGUUGUCACAGUACAAUCUACCAGAGAUAUGUUAGCCUCUUCCGAGCCAGUACUUCAGAUUAGUCACAGUGAGGAUGACCUAUUUUUGACUCGAUUUACUUUUGAUGAAAUACAGACUCUCGAGAUUGAGGAUUUUCGUAAAGACUUUGUGGCUAUGUCAUUUGAUUAGCACAGUAGCAUAGUGGUUCUCGAUAUGAUGAGGGGUAUGACAUUUCUACCUAGUAUGGGGUUAGGACGACGCCAGUAGGGACCCAUCAAGUUUAUAGCUGCCAUUGAUCAUGAUACAACAUUUGGACUUGGGUUCAUUCCUACCGAGGUCGAUUACCGUUACAUGACGCGGCUGUGCAAGGAGAGGGUGAGGGCCUGUUUAUCCCACACACCAUUUGAUUAUCCUAUUCGACCCUAUAGGAUGAGUUUAGUCGACUACUUUGUCAGAGGACAAGAGAUUUGACCUCGUAUAGAGGAGAUUCACAGUAUGGUUCAUACAAAUAGAAAGAUUGAGCUUCAACAUCUAUUUCACCAGUUACAGUUGAGUAAUGGGGCUCCUGGCACUUCUGUUUCUAUAUCGAUUACUCCUACGUCUCCAGAUCGAGCUAGCAUGUGGUCUCUAUGCUUUCUAGAGGAGAUCACUGAUGAUGGAGUGAUUGUUGAUCCUACUGAGAUGAUUGAUGGAGUUGUGCCUCAUGAUGAGUACCGAGAUGAGAUGGACAUGAUGACCGUGAGCUAGAUUACCAGCAUUGUUUAGCUUAAGCCUGUUUCACCAUUUGAUAUGUUUGGGAUGUCUACCAUUGAGGUUCUUGAGAGGGCCUAGAUUAUUCCUGUUCCAGAGCUUCUAGAGGAUGAUAAUAGUUUGUUUGAGGGCUCUGUUAGCCCAGUUGAGGGAGCAUCCGACCUUAUGGACCCACCUCUUUCUUUUGAUGUUUUAUCGGGAUUUGUCUCCCGCUUUAACGAUGUUUUUGUUGCUUCAUUUAUGGAUUUGAGUAUUUUUUUAGUAUUCGCCUGCCUCUUGUGAUAGUACCUCUAUAUCUGCACCCCACUCACCCACUUCACAUAUAUUUGAUAUAGAUGAUGAGGUUGCACAACCCAAUCCAAAUAGGGACUCUUCUGAUCAUGACUCCGAUCUCGUGGAUGAGAAAGUUUCACCUGCUACAAGGGAUGUUGAGAAUGUUGAUUUUGGCAUAGAGGAUCAGCCUAGAGAGCUGAAGAUUGGUUCACCCCUAUCUACAAAUGAGAGAGAUAGACUUAUUCAUUUACUCAGGUCAUACUUGGAUGUCUUUGCAUGGUCUUAUGAGGACAUGCUUGGUCUUGAUCCCUCUAUAGUUCAACACCACUUACCUAUCCUACCACAUGCCAAACCAGUUAAGUAGAAAUUGAGACGAUUACAUCCACGUUGGAGUCUGCAGGUGAAAGAGGAGAUUCAGAAACAGCUCAGUGUUGGAUUCAUAUCAAUGGUUGAGUAUCCAGAGUGAUUGGCUAAUGUUGUCCCUGUUCCCAAAAAGGAUGGCAAAGUUAGAGUUUGUGUUGACUUUAGAGAUCUUAAUAAAACCAGCCCUAAAGAUGACUUUCCUCUCCCACACAUUGAUUUGUUGGUCGAUAGCACUGCAGGCCAUUCGCUGUUAUCUUUCAUGGAUGUGUUUUCAGGGUAUAAUCAGAUUUUGAUGACUCUAGAGGAUAUGGAGAAAACAACCUUUAUUACUGAGUGGGGUACCUACUGUUACAAGGUUAUGCCAUUUGGGUUAAAGAAUGAAGGAGCCACUUAUCAGAGGGUCGCUACUACUUUAUUUCAUGACAUGAUGCAUAGGGAUGUUGAAGUUUACGUGGAUGAUAUGAUUGUGAAAUCCCGAGGCAGAGUAGAUCACCUAGAGGCUCUAGAGAGAUUCUUUGAGAGGAUCCGAAAGUUUAGAUUGAGGUUAAAUCUUAAGAAGUGCACCUUCGGAGUGACUUCUGGGAAGUUAUUGGGACAUAUGGUUAGUGAGCGAGGCAUAGAGGUCAACCUAGAUAAAAUCAAAGCCAUACUUGACAUGCCUGCACCGAAGACUGAGAAAGAGAUUAGAGGUUUUCUGGGCAGAUUAUAGUACAUCAGUCGUUUCAUAGCCAGAUUGACAGACAUAUGUGAGCCUAUCUUUUGUCUUUUGAGGAAGAACCAACCAACAGUUUGGAGCGAUGAUUGCCAGCUUGCAUUUGAGAAGAUUAAAUAGUAUUUGCUUUCUCCUCCUGUUUUAUUGCCUCCUACGCCAGGACGUCCACUUCUUCUAUAUUUGUCAAUUUCAGACAUGGCCUUGGGAUGUAUGUUAGCUCAGAUUGAUGACUCAUGGAAUGAACGAGCUAUUUACUAUCUGAGUAAGAGGAUGCUGGAGUAUGAGAUGAAGUAUGUUAUGAUUGAGCGCCUAUGCUUAGCAUUAGUUUGGGCUACCAGGAGAUUGAGGCAUUACAUGACAGAGUACUCACUGCAUUUGAUAUCCUGUCUAGAUCCAUUGAGAUACUUAUUUGAUAGACCUGCAUUAACUGGUAGACUGAUGAGAUGGCUCGUGCUUUUGACAGAGUUCGAUAUCCAGUACGUUUCUCAGAAGUCUAUUAAGGGAAGUAUUGUCGCCGACCACCUAGCCUCACUAUCGACAUCUGAGGAUAGACCAGUUGAUGAUGAUUUUCCAAAUGAGGAGUUUGUUGCUAUGACUAGCUUAUCAGGAUGGUGCAUGUACUUCGAUGGUGCAGCCAAUUAAUCAGGGUAUGGGAUAGGUGUUCUGUUGGUAUCCCCUCAGAAUGAUCACAUUCCGAGGUCUGUUCGUUUGACAUUCUCUUAUCGACAUUCUAUCACGAAUAAUAUAGUUGAGUAUGAGGCUUGUAUCCUUGGUUUAGAGACUGCGUUGGAGCUUGACAUUAAACAGAUAGAGGUAUUUGGUGACUCCAAUCUGGUACUUAGACAAAUUCAGGGAGACUGGAAGACUAGGGACGUAAAGCUUAGGCCGUAUCACGCUUAUUUGGAGUUACUGAUUACGAGAUUUGAUGACUUGAGAUAUGUUCAUCUGCCCAGAGCGCAGAACCGAUUUGCCGAUGCCUUAGCUACCCUAACUUCUUCUAUGGACAUUCCGAUUGAUGUAGUUGUACGUCCAUUGCUGAUUGAGUUGAGAUUUGCACCUACCUACUAUUGUUUGAUUGGAGAAACAGAGGUCCAGGAUGAUCUACCUUGGUAUCAUGACAUUUAUCAGUUUCUUAGAUUUGGCACAUACCCUGAGGUAGCCACUGCCAAGGAUCAGAGAGCACUGAGGCAUUUGCCUAUUAGAUUUGUGAUUUGUGGAGAUACUUUAUAUAGGCGAUCAGCUGAUGGUAUGCUUCUAUUAUGUUUAGAUUGAGCCUCUAUAGAUCGAGUGAUGAGAGAAGUUCAUGCAGGAGUUUGUGGUCCACAUAUGGGAGGACACAUGCUGGCUAGUAAAAUUAUGAGGAUAGGUUAUUUCUGGUUGACUAUGGAGACAGAUUGUUGUCAGUUUGUUUAGAAAUGCCCAGAGUGUUAGAUUCAUGGUGAUCUCAUUCAUGCACCGCCAUCAGAGUUACACACUUUGACCUCGCCAUGGCCAUUUUCAGUAUGGGGUAUUGAUAUUAUUGGGAAGGUUUCACCAAAAUCUUCAUGUGGUCAUGAGUUCAUCCUAGUUGCCAUAGAUUAUUUCACCAAGUGGGUGGAAACCGCAUCAUAUGCGAGGUUGACAUUUGCUAGGGUUGCCAGUUUCAUCAAGUUACACAUCAUUUGUCGUUAUGGGGUUCCCCAUGAGUUGAUUUCAAAUAGAGGGGUGCACUUCCAAGCUGAGGUAGAUACUUUGUUACAGAAGUAUGGCAUCCGACAUCAUAGAUCUUCAGCAUAUAGGCCACAGACCAACAAGGCAAUAGAGGCUGCGAAUAAGAAUAUUAAGAGGAUUUUGAGGAAAAUGGUUGAAACUUCUCGAGAUUGGUCAAAGAAACUCCCUUUUGCAUUGUGGGCAUACUGUACCUCUUUUCGCAGCUCUACAGGAGCUACACCUUACUCGCUAAUGUAUGGUAUGAAGGUUGUUUUGCCGGUUGAGACAGAGAUGGGUUCUUUGAGAGUAAUCCUUAAGCAGCAGAUUUCUGAGACAGAGUGGGUUUAGGCUCGGUUUGACCAGCUUAACCUUUUAGAUGAGAAGAGAUUGAGAGCAACCAAUCAUGUUCAGGCCUAUCAGAGGAAGAUGGCUCGUGCCUUCAGGAAACGGGUUAAGCCUAGACCAUUACAAAAAUGGGAUUUAGUUUUAAGGAUUCUCAGAGGUUUGAUUGGAGACCUUAGAGGAAGUUUAGACCUAGUUGGAGUGGGCCUUAUGUUAUUUGAGAGUUGACUCCAGAAGGGGCUGCAUGGUUGACUGACUUAGAUGAAAACCAGUUUUCAAAGCCUACCAAUGUGGAUCAACUGAAGAAGUAUUAUGUUUGAGAUUAGGGUCGCAGGAUGGAUGGCCAUCAUUUCAGUCAGCCUUACACCUUAUCACAUUUAUUAAUGUAUUAAACCGUUGCUAGCCUAUUGAACCCCACAUGGUAUGUUAUAGCCUUAUUUCUUUCUUAUAGCCUUAAUUACCAUUUCUAUACCCUGGUUAGGGCCCUUUGAUGUUUAUGCAUGCUUUGCUAGGAAAGUCUCAUGAGUUUUAGACUUAUAGGCCUAUUUUCUCAUUCUUGUUACCAUCCCCUUAUCACCCCCGUUUGUUCUAUUUUACUAUCAUCACAUUUUCAUUAUCUUAUUGUGUUUAUCAUUAUUUGCUUCAUCUUAUCUCUUCUCUUUCUUGGGUUGAUGAUUCUUCACAUCUUGGUGCAAAAGAGGGCAGUCAUAUCACUCCAUCCAUCCCAUCAAUUGGCAUCGAUUCAGAGAUUUUAGUUUGAGAGGUUGUCUCAUGGGUUGGGGUUCAUGUAUUCAUCAGUGGUUUGAGAGAGUUUGUUCACUCCUUGUAUCUUUCCCAUUGGAGUCCGAUUUAUUGAUGAUCAGAAGAUGCACAUUCAAAAAAAAAAAAAAAAACGCAAUGACAUGUUUGUGUAUGGUAUCUUGCUCCAUUGGGCACUUAUAUCACCUUUUGAGGUUUAUUUACUAGGUAUAUUAGUCAUUGUGGGUUCUUGUGAGAUUUUUAUACGAGUUUUCACUCCUUGAGCCACUCUUGUUAUGCAUUUGGAGUGUUGGGGGUUCAUGUGAGGGUUCUAUGGUAUCCUAUGCUUCUUGGGUCAUGGUAGAUAUGUGUUAGGUAUGAGAGAUGAGUGACCUUUUACUAGGGUCUCCAGAUCAUUGUCUUAUCCACUAUUACAUCGUUGGUUAUAUGACUUUGCUUUAUUGUACUGAUAUGGAUUGAUCAUCAUUCAUUCCCCUUUCUUAUUGCCUUACUUUGUAUCUCCUUACCCAUUUCCAGAUCUUCAUUCCACUUUUUAUCCAUUUCCUACAUAUUGAUACACGUUUUUUGAUUCGAUACCUUAUUCACAUCAUUUACAUGUUUCAUUGAUGGUUUGACCACUCAUCCUUUCUCUCAUUUCGCCCUUGACAUUUCCUUUGGUUACCUUUAGGUCCAUGGCUCAUGAGGUUUUUUUCUAUGCAUUACAUCUUAUACACGAGAGUAUGGGUUUGAUCAUUGGGUAUUUGAGCCUAGUUUCCCUUCAUUUCUUUCAUCCUAUCACCUUGACCUACGUUAUGUCUCGUGUCUUAAGACCACCCUGAGGCCAUGAGAUCAGGCGUUAUCUUUGACAGUCUUCACUUGGACAGGCUUUUGUAGACUGGUUGAAGUAUAGUCGUUACCAUGUUCUCUUUUAUGGAAGAUACUUUUGGAAGAAUUUGGUCUCUCUCUUGCUUGACAUAUUGAUGUUUGAUGGAUUUUUGAGUUUGAAGACAAUUCAUUGAUGAUAUCGGAUUUAUCCUUUUGUCGACAUCAGAUAUCCAUACUGGGGCAUAUUCCCCUUUCAUUCGGUUGAGAUGAGCCCCUAGUGGAGCACUUUCUUUGAGUUUGGGCUUAUUUUCACUGAUUCGAGAUUCCUAAUAGAGUAUGUUGAGAUGAUAUCAGUUAUAGUGGAGCAUUAUUGAGCUUAUUGACAGUUUUUAUGAUUCUAGGUUCCAUUUGCGGAGUAUUUUUGAGAUAGACUAGUGGAUCAUUUUUAAGUUGGAGGCAAUUUUCAGUGCAGUGUAUAGAUCUUAUAUAUUGGGGUAUAUUUUCCCAUUUUGAGGUCACCAGAUUCCCAUCAGAUUUAGUUAGGGAUUCAUCAGAGAAGUGCUUCUACUCUCGAGAUUAUCAUAUUCCUUAUCAUUUUGGUUAUUCAUUUGAGAUCAGAUUUAAAGUGUCUUCCUUGAGCCAUCGGCUGAUACUUCAUUCUGAUUUCUUAGCGGAUUAUUGUUGAGUUGGAGACAGUUGAUUGAUGAUGUUAGAUUCAUCAUUUUGAUUGUGCAUCAGAUAUCCACACUAGGGCAUAUUUCCCCUUUUCUUUGAGGUUUCUAGUUGUUGUUGGAUGAUAUGACUAUUCCUAUCCAUGGUUAUAGAGAUGUUUGAUUGAUUUUGACGGAUUCUUUAUUGUACAUCAGAUAUCCAUACUGGGGCAUAUUCCCCUUUCCAUGAUGAGAUUAUGUUCGGGCAGCAGUACAUAGAUGGAUGAUCAUUGUUGGUUGUUUAUCUCAUAACUUCGACAUCAUAUAUCCAUACUGGGGCAUAUUCCUCUCUCCUUUACGAGAUUUGUUUGGGUAGUGGUAUGAGGAUGGAUGAUUAGUGUCGGUUGUUUACCUCAUGACUUUGAUAUCAAAUCUUAUACUGGGGCAUAUUUCCCCAUUUUCUUUUAGUAUCCUUGAGAUUGAGACAGUGGCCAGCUUAGUUUUAGAUUGAGUGCCAGUCUGGAGUUUCCGACGAUUGACUUCAUUAGGACCCCCCUAUAAGGAUUUGUUGAGAUAGAGAUGGAUCAUAUCGGGUUUUACCCGAGGAGCAUGGGUGGAUCCUUUAGCCAAAUGUUCAUAGGAUAGAUUUGUUUUCGUCAUUGUUACCUUGAAGAUUGGAUUACCCAGAUGAGCAGUAUUUUGUGCACUUUGAGAUUUGUUUUUAGAUAAGCCACAAUAUACACACUUUGAGAUUUACCUUUUGAGAUCCGUCGACAGAGCAGCUUUUCAGACACAGAGAGAGUUCUUUCAGUUUAGACUUUUCAGAGGUUUGUCAUGAUACAUCGGUUUCUGACCUAUUGAUUUCAACGGAUGAUUGAUUUACUGGUUGUUUCAACACUGCAAGCACCCUAGAUACUGGGGCAUAUUUCCCUUCUUGAGUUCAGUAGUCCAACUCUUGGCAUUUUGAGUGUAUGGUUUUGAGCCUAUUUAUUUCCUAUCCACUUUCGAGUUAGUCUUAUUUAUCUGUUGCUUCUAGACCCUGAGUCUUACAGCCCUGAGCUAUCCACUCCUUCUACGCCCUGAGCCUCGUAACCCUGAGCUAUCAUUUUCCUCUUAGUCCUUGAGCCUCAUAGCCUUGAGCUAUCCAUUCCUUCUAGGCCCUAAGUCUCAUAGCCCUAAGCCAUCCUUCUCCUCUUAGGCCCUGAGCUUCGUAGCCUUGAGCUAUCCUUUUCCUCUUAGGCCCUGAGCCUCGUAGCCCUGAACUAUCACUUCUUAUUUAAGACCCAGAGUCUUUCCAGCCCUGAGCUAAGCCUGCAUCAUUUGGUCGCCCAUGAGUGGUAUGACCUGGAGUUUGCGUAUCGCACUCUCUUUCUAGUUGAUCAGUCAUAGAGCUCCGAGCUCAUGGCCCUGAGCUAUUCGUUGUAACCCUGAGUUACUCAUUGCAUCAUGACCCAGAGUCAUUCAUUCCAUCCAUAGCCUUGAGCUAUUCAUUGUAACCCUGAGUUACUCAUUGCACCAUGACCUAGAGUCAUUCAUGACAUCUUGAGCCUUGAGCUCACGACCCAGAGUCAUUUGCAUCCUUCACAUCCCUGAGAUGUUUCGUUUCAUCAUUCUAGCCAAUUGUGAGUGGCCUCGACCCGGCACCAUGAGCCGAAAAGCAUCCUGAUCGGCUAUCCGUUUAGAGCCCUGAGUUCUCGACCUAGAGUCGAUUUUCAUUUAUGACCUAGAGUAAUUUCUUUCCAUUUAGAGCCCUGGGCUCAUGACCUGGAGUCAUUCACUCCAUCUAUGACCCAUAGUCAUUCUUAGCAUUUAUAGCCCUGAGCUCGCAACCCAGAGUCGUUUAUCCUAUUCAUGACCCAGAGUCAUUUAUCCUAUUUCCGACCAUGAGUCAUUUAUCCUAUUUUUGACCUAGAGUCGUUCAUCCUAUCCAUGACCUAGAGUCAUUCAUCUCAUCCAUGACUUUGAGUCAUCAUUUUCAUAUAUUUCCAUCUUUGUGCUACUUGUCACAUACCUUUAUCUCUUUACUGUCAUUCUCCCCACAUAGAGUAGUUUCAUCCUUGUCGUUGAAGCCUUGUGUUCCAACCUUUCUCUCGCCAUGUGCUAAGACAAAAUCUCUGGUCCUUCUUUAGUUCUUCGGUAUAGUUCACUUUGUUCCAUUCAUUAUUCGUAUUUUUACUCACAUUCAUUACACUCGCAAUCUAUACCGAAGAGGGGCAUAUUUGUAUACCCUCAAUUUUGUCCCUUUAGCACAUGUCUUUAAGUUCACUUUCAAUGUUCCACAGUAGUUCUUUGGUGGCCCAUAACUACUCAUACUACUUACCUUUUUUGAGCCACCUCAGAGACUUUGUUGAGGGAUUUAUCUAACCUCAUUGUGACUCUUGGCAGCCCUAAUUUAGACUUAGGCCCACUUAGGCACCCUAGACCCAUUUAGAUACACUUGGCCCAUUAGGCAUCACCUUAGGCCCAUUUAGAUGCACUUGACACCUUCUAGCUUGCACACAUUCACCCUAGGUCACUUAGACAAUCUUUCAGAAUAGGUCACUUGGACACUUCUUUUGGAAUAGUUCACUUAGGCAUGUGCUUGAUUUUGGUUACUUAUUUUUCAGGAUAAGAUGAGUGUUGGCUUGACUUUUUAUUACAUGAAAUGAAUUUUUUAUUCUAUCUUUAUUUUAUUUUUAUUUUUAUUUUUGAAGGUUUGAGUUUGACAUUUAAAUUAUUAUAAUCCGUUGCAUUACUUUAAUUUCUUGAUUUUUUUUAAUUGCAUACGUCUGAUAUUUAUUUUUAUACCCUUACCAAUUUAUUUGUUUAUUUACUCACUUAUUCAUUUAUUCCUUAAUUCCAUGAAUUGACAUUUUGGAUUUUUGUGGCUAUGUGAUUUGAUUUUCUAUUUUAUUUUAUUUUAUUUCCAAUUACAUGAUUUCUUAUUUCAACUUUAUUUUUAAUUUUGCAUGAGACUUGGAGCCAUCAAGGAAAGGAAAUCACGGCCAAAUAGGGAAACUUGGAAGGAAUUCGGGCUGCAUAUUAUUUGCUUGAAGAAAGAAUCCGAGCUGCAUAUAGAAAGUGGGCAGAUCAUGGCUGAGGAACAUCCGGGAGCAUAUGGAAAGAAGAUUAAAGGGGAUCUGAUCACUUACCAAACAAGAUACGACUGCAUCGUUGGGGAAAUCUCCAAGUGAGCCACACAUAAUGGACUUCCCAUAUCCACGCACACGUAGGAAAAAAUGGAAAUAAGAUAUUCCAUAAAGAGUGGGUUGCCUUAUAAAUAAAGGAGAGAAUCCAAGCAUAAGAGGAAUUUUUUUUUCGAAGGGGAAUAGGCGGAAAGAAUUUUCACAUGGAGACUUUUCUUUUGGAGGGCAGAGAGGACACGAGAGCAAUUCUUUUGAGAUGACUCGCGAAGAACUUUGAAGAGCCGACACAUAACCAUAAAAGAGGGAGGAACAACCCACAAAAUCUUCACAAAUAACGGUUUAUAGGUAAGUGUACGCUUUCAAAUUUAUCUUUGAUUUCGUUUUGAUUCAUCCUUUUAGUCUUGAGUGUUUUAAUGAUUUUAGUUCUUUGAUUUAAUUAAUCCUAUCUAAUAAAUUUCUUGUUUUAAUUUCGAUUUAGUUUUAAUUUAUUUUUCUUUUUUAGUUUGGAUGUGUUUGUGGUUUUAAUUCUUUAGUUUAAUUUAUCCCAUUAGAUAAAGUUCCCUUUUUUUUUAUUCCAAUUCGAUUUAGUUUUAAUUUAUCUUUUAUGUUUAGAUGUGUUUGUAGUUUUCUUUAAUUUAAUUGUUUCUAUUAUAAAAGUCCCUAUUUUUAAUUUUGAUCUAGUUCAAUUUUAAUAUAUUUUUUAUGCUUAGAUGUGUUUGUGAUAUUAAUUUGUCAGUUUAAUUAUUUCUAUUAGAAAAGUUUUGUUUUUAAUUUUGAUUUAGUUCACUGUUAAUCUACCUUUUAUGUUUAGUGUUUGUCGUUUUAAUUCGUUAGUUUAACUGUUCAUAUUAGAAAAGUUCUUAUUUUUAAUUUCAAUUUAGUUCAAUUUUAAUCUAUCUCAUAUAUUUGUGAUUUUAAUUCGUUAGUUUAAUUAUUCCUAUUAGUAAAGUUCUUAUUUUUAAUUUCAAUUUAGUUCGAUUUUAAUCUAUCCUAUAUGUUUUUGCGAUUUUAAUUCGUUAGUUUAAUUAUUCGUAUUAGAAAAGUUCUUAUUUUUAAUUUCAAUUUUAAUCUCUCUUAUAUGUUUAAAUGUGUUUGAGAUGUUAAUUAUUAGUUUAAGUAUUCCUCAUAGAUAAAGUUCACAUUUUUAAAAUCCCAAAUUAGUUUAAAUUUUAAUUUAGCUGUUAGUUUAAAUAUGUUUGUGAUUUUAAUUCCUUAGUUUAAGUAAUUUAAGAGAUAAAGUUUAAUUUUAUUUUAUUUUUUUGGAUUAAUUUAGUUUUAGUUUAUAAUUUAAUUUGAAUGCGUUAAUGAUUUCAAUUCCUUAGUUUAAAUAAUUUGUGAGAUAAAGUUUACUUUCUUUAAUUUCAAAUUAACUUAGUUUUAGUUUAUGAUUUAAUUUGAAUGUGUUAGUGAUCCUAAUUAGUUUGAUUUUAAUUCGUUUUUAGUUUAAAUAAUCACGCUAAAUAAAGUUUGUAUUUUUAAUUCCAAUUACUUUAAUUUUAAUUCGUUUUUAACUUAAAAGCAUUCGUGGAUCUUAAUUCUUUAGUUUAAAUGAUUGUAUUAAGUAAAGUUUGAGUUUUUAAUAUUCCAAUAACUUUAUUAAGUAGAAUUUAAUUUCAAUUCAGUUUGAUUUUAAUUUGUUUUAUAAUCUGAACGUGUUCAUGAUUUUAAUUCAAUUGUUUGAUUAACCCUCUUUAACAAAUUCCAUAUUUUUAAUUUCGAUCUUAGUUUAAUUUUAUUUUGUUAAUUUAUUUAUUUGCUUUAGUUUAAAUAUAUUUGUGAUUUCAAUUUGAUAGUUUAGCCAAUCUUAUUAGAUGAUGAUGUCCUUAAUUUAAUCUAGUAUUAAUUAUUUUUAGUAUUGAAUGUGUUUGUGUUUUUUAUUUCAUUAACUUUGAAUUUAAUCCGUUUAUAUCCAAUUUUGCAAUUGAUUAUAAUUUUGUUUAAUUAAUUCAGUCAAUCACGUGUAAUUAUUUUCAUGUUUUAAGUAUGGUAAUUUUGGCUUUGAUCUAUUGACAUUUAGUAUGAGCUUUAGGAAUUUUAGAUAAUUAAUCCAGUUAAUUGUAUGUCAUUGGUUUCAUACCUUCAAGAUUUUUGAACUUUGGUAUUUGAUUCAUCAUAUUUUGUUAAAAUGCUAAUUUACCUUAAUUGAUUCCAUAUUAUUAUCUCCAUAUGCUAAGUUUGUUGGCUUUAAUAUUUGAUUGGUUAUUUUUAUUUUAAUUCAUGUGCUUCUUGAAAUCUAAAUGUUAGUCUUUGGUAAUAUUUUGUUAGUUUGUUUUAUUAGGAAAUUAUAAAUUUGAUGUCUUAGUGAUUGUUAGUUAAAUUCUUAUUUUUUGAAGGCCAUUGGAAACUCAUGAAAGUUGGUCUUACCCUCACCACUUUAAUUGACAUGAUUUUCUAAAUCUUUAUUUUGUGAUUUUCGCUUUCUUUUGUUUUGAUUGGUAUUUGGUUUUCUUUGUUUUAUUAUUUUAAAAAUUAAUUCCUUUUAUUUUAAAAUCAAAACCUUUUUCUCCGAAGACCCCUUUAAGAAAUUCUUUUUUUUUUAAAAAAAAAAAUCAUUUAGAGUCCUUAGAAUAAAAAAACCCCAUUUUCUUAAAAUAAUAUGCAACCAUUUUUUGAUCGAUUUCCAUCUUUCUCGGUUUUUUAAUGAAAAUUUUGGUUUAAAAUCAAACACAAAUCCAAGCUUAUGGUCCCACAUAAAUGGGAUAAUUUCAGGUUAGAUUUGUGUAUAUCAAUUGGGGAAUUGGUGAAACCCCUACAUAAAAAAAAUAAAAAAUAAAUAAAAAAUCUUUUCAAAACUUAUUUUUGCUACCGCCUUUGUUGGUUGUUACAUUCAUAUCUUUUUUUUUGGAAUUGUACAUAAGAUGUGUGUAAUAAUUGAUGAUUUCGUAUUCUUUGAUCAUUUUUGCUAUGAGCUAUAUAUGCUAUCCAGGUAUGUUCCCUAAUACCCACUUUCUAAACCCCGUGAACAUGAUUGUCAUUGUGUACUAUGCCCAUGCUUGCUAUCCUAUUUGAUUGCCUUGAUAUAUAUUUGAUGCUUUUUUUUUAUUAUCUUUGACAAAAACACAUGUUGUGAUAUAUUUUUAUACUAACUUUUAUGUUUCAUGAUAGCGCUUGAGAAGCCGUUUAGGUACGCACUUUGAUUCUCUCUUAUGAUCAGACUUUCUUAUUUGGCAUGCUAUUUUUUGAAAUCACCUAGCCUACCUAGGUAUCCAUGAUCAACCAUUUAAUUGUCACGUUUCCCUCAACUUAAUUAGUAGAGACCUCUUUAGGGCUUAGAGGGGUGCUACCUCCUAGAGGUAUCUUCCUAGUAAGUAACCUAAUCCCCGGACCUAGACUCGGUUUUUUCAAAGAGAUGCUUUUUUCAAAAAUUAUGGAGUCACAUUUUAGGGUUUUUCUUUCUUGUUUUAUUUUCCCUUUAAAAUAAAAAUAAAAUAAUGGCGACUCCGACUUUUUCCAAAAUUAAUUUUUCACAAAUAGAAAAGCAAGUCUCUCCGAUCGAAUGAGGGCGCAUGUGAAAAAUGCGGGUCCAUAGAUAGGCCUCUCAUUUCUAAUGUAUGCAAGUUUUAACUGUAUACCAUGGUAAAUUAGAUGAGAAACUAUAGUAAAUUGGAUGAAAGAUUAACCCGACGUGAUUUCUUUGUCAAUUUGGAAGGAUGGUGUAAUUUUAGGAAAUGACAAGCUUGCACAUAAUUAUAAUUAUAUUUUGAUGAACGAGACAAUUGUUUAAUGUUCUAUCUUGGUGUUUGGCAUUCAACAAAUUAUGUUCAUAUUUAAUUAAAAAGUUUAAUGUAACCUUGUAAAUGCAUAGUUUAUACUCACAUUGUUUAGAUCAUAUCUGGAAAGUUGAAAAAAAAAAUGGGACUCCAUUACAUAUCUCAUUAAUAAAUAUGUAUGAAUUACUUAUUAAAAAUAGAAAUAGGUCAUCCAUGCCAUGAGAAGUCAUGCCUCCAAAAGCAAAAAGCAAAAAACAAGUUCUUACAAUUCAACUUUUUUGGCAUCCAUGAUGAGUUUAUCAACCUAACUAUUACCCACCAACUAAUAAUAAUUGUAGCAUUAAUGCGAGUCAACUAACAAUCCUUCUUCCAUUUACCUCUAUCUUGGAAUUUGAUCUAUUAAAUUUUCUUCCUUUUACCUCUAUCUUGGUAUUUGACAUGUUAAAAUUGGACCUUCACUCCAUGUUAUAUACGAGCAUAGUUUUUAAGUAGAAAUAGGUAUAGUUGCUAUGCUACUAAAUUUUAUAUUUGGAAAUUGGAAAUAUUAAAAAUGUUUUAAUUGAAAAUAAAUAUAAUUUUAAUAUUUUCAAAUAUUUUAAUGAAAUAAAAUUAAUUUGGUGUCCCAUUUUUUUUUUUCAGGAUCAAUAAAGUGUGAACCCCAUAUUUAAGAAUCCUACGUAACUAUGUUUAGAAUUUGUAAAUGACAUAUAAACAUUCAUUGACCUAAAAACUCUCCUUGAGAGGUUUAAUUAAUAUAUACUGGAAAUUUCCACCCAAAAAACAUAGCACAAUACCUUGUUUGAGGUAAAUUUAGUGGAAUGCAUUAUGGGAAUUGCUCAAUAGUUAAAAAUGAGGGUGUGCUUGUUAAACUCAAAAGAUUAAAUACGUGGUCAACGUGAGAACUGAUACCAAUUUUUCAGACGAUACAACAACCCAACUGUCAAUUCAUAAAUUUUAUAUAAAUGAGGAGACAUACUGCUCCUUGGACCAAGGUAGAUUUUGUUUUUGAGUCUACGUUAUUUUCUCCAAAAAAAAUAUUAUAACUAUAAAAUUGUUUUCUAUUUUUUAUUGUUAAAAACAAAAAAACAUAUAUUUUCAGAUAAUAUCUUUUAAUAAUUUUUCAUUAUUUUUGCAUAUUUUUUUAAUGUAGUUUUGAAAAAUAAUUAUACAAACAUGGAAAAUAAUUAAAAAUAAAAUACUAGAUAUACAAAUUAUUUUAAAAAUAGGUUAAAUAUAAUUCAGGUUCCUAAAGAGAAUUUUGUUUUAUAAAACACUAUAAAAUAGUUUUUAAAAACUAUUUUUUACAAUUGUUUUAAAAAACAAUUACCAAUUACCAAAUAGGGCCCUAAAAAUAGAGAUGUGUCAAUAUUAACUAACAAGCUAGAAAGAGAGAUGUGUUAAUAUUAUAAUUAACCAUUAUAGGCAAACAUUGAAGUCAUUCUAUCAUAUCCAAAAUUGGCACCAUAAUUUUCCAUUUUCAACUUAUUUUCUUUUUACCGAUGUAACUAUGUGGAAAUUUCUUGUUUUAUUAAUUCAAUAUGCAUGAGAUAUUUCAAUGGUCCAUCCGUCUAAUUAAUGGUUGGAAACCGAUAGAAAUAUGAAACAACUUUUUCAUAUUGUUAAGAAUCUUUUAAAAUGUCUUUCUUUUGUCACUUCAAAUGAUUGGGUUCAUUAAUCUUAACCAUUCAUUCAAUGCUUGAGUUUGCAUCCACUGCUCACAUCCCUAUCCACCAUUAUACAUAUUGAUAUAUUUAUUAUUUUUGUUUUUAUUUCUAAGAUUAACAACUUUGGAACAUAAAAUGAUUAGGGAGUAGAGCAUGAAUGCAAGAACAACUUUUGAACUUAAACAUUAAGAUUGAAAUGGUCUAAAUCAGAUCAAGUGAUUUACUUGUGUGUUGGGUGUAUCCCAGAAGCCCACAUCAAAUGGAAAAUCACCCUCACCUCCCUGGAUUUGUUCAAUCAUACCAUCCAUGGGUCCCUUUUUCUGUGUUGCAGUUUCUUCUGUCCUGAGGCUUGCGAUAAGCAUCUCUCCAGAAGCCGAAAAGUCAGUUUCUUGAUCCAUUUGAGCAUGCUCAGCUAACAGGCUUUCCCACCAUAUGAUGUCAUCAUUCGGUUGUGGUGAAGUGGAUGAUGGCUUCCUGGAAGUACUGACUUGUGUGUCAAAAGUAUCCACAGCUGUAGUUUUUAGUUCAAACCUUGGCAAGGCUUUGGAGAACUUGUGAGGGUGAGGCUUUAUAGCUUUGGUUUUAGAAUGUGUUUGGGGUUUAUCUCUCCCUUCUUCCUGGAACUGAACCUCCUUUUUGAAGUGGUGACUAUGCCAAUAGUUCUUGACAUCAUUAGCAGUCCUCCCUGGAAGCCUACCCGCAAUCAAGGACCAUCUAUACACGCACAACAUCAGACAAAGUAUCAACUGAACAGCUCUUUUGUAAGUUCUGAACAGCUUCAGAACUAAUAUAAUAUCAUUAUCAAGCUAGUACUUGAGUUAUUAUAGACUUGCCUGUUCCCCAACAAAUUGUGAAGCCUAAUCAUGAGAUCAACCUCGUCUAAUGCAAACUCUCCUCUCUUGAUAUCCGGCUUCAAAUAAUUGAGCCAUCUCAACCUGCAGCUUUUUCGGCAUCUAUUCAACCCUGCAAACUCAAGAAAAUGAAACUCUUUAAGCAAAACAGAAGUAAAAAAACACAAAUAAAUACUGAUCCCUUUCUCUUUCAUGUUACCUGCUCGGAGGGGAACCAGAUGCCACUUUCCUUCUCCAUAUUUCUCAAUGCAUUUCCUCAGGAGAACAUCCUCUUCUUGGAUCCAUGCACCCUUUCUAACUCCUAAGCUCUCCAUCGAGUCAACUCAACACAAGAGACCGGCUCCUUCUCUAAUUAUUGAUUGAUAUAUAACAACCUCGAACCUGUUCUAUCUCAUGACUCGGACACCAGACCCCUAAUUGGUUUAUUCGACACGUUUCUUAUGGUGCAUUACUGGCUUCCAAAUGCGCUGGAGUUCAUGGACAAAGGGUGUGUGUUGUUGUUACCUCGCGUCUUUGGCGGUCCACGUAGUAACCAGAUGGAUGGACGCGUGAUCUCAACUCAUAAAGGUUUUUGAUCCAGUCGUCAUUCCUGCAAGAAGGCAUCCGGACAGGGUGUCUGGACGCAUCCUCCGAUGGUUUUGUUAGCCAUGGUUAGAGAGAGGAAUAUAAAUUAGUUGGCCUUUUACCAGGUAUUAAGAAGUUACCAGGAGGAUCCCCUUCUUCUUCGUGCGAAGGCAUAUAUAUACAGCUUCAGGGGUACUGUUCCUCUCAUUAAUGGCGAGGAGAUAUUUUAUGUUUGUCAUGAUGACAUUCGGAGGCAGCAUGGUCAUCGCCACCCUACUGGCGGCUGUCAGAAACCGUGGUAGGUGAUGCUGCUGUCUAGAUAUCGUGGGAAAUGAUCAUGUAGAAUGAUCGUGGGAAGUGACUUGUUGUCACCUCGACCCGUCCUUUCACUCUGCAGAUGAUGGGAUGUGGGCCAUGGCUGGUUGUCGUGAUAGCGUGUAAGACUUGCUUUACUUUAAUUGAUGAUCCGGACGAUUAAAUCCGGAUGGUCACAUGCUGACUAUCCGGAUUGUAUAGUGGAGCAGAUACAUUAUGAAGGUUGUCCGGAUGUCUAUGCUCUGUCAGCGUCGUUUGCUCUUCCUUGGACAGAAGAAGCUGAAACGUCAUGUGCUUUUCCUUGAGGCGGUCCGGAUAGGAGAACCAUCAUCAUGCGUAUCCUUAAGGGAAUCCGGAUGAUGAUGGUCCGGCUGAUAACACGUGCUGCGUGUCACUGUGAGGUGCGUGCCACGUGUUUCCCAGAGGGAGGGGUCCCUACAUUGCCCCCCUUUUUAACUUGCCUAUUUUGCCAAAAAAUGGGCGGGUUAAAAAAUAACUGGCUUUUUGAAUUUUGAAGAGGUCUCUUCGUCUGACUGAGCCACGUGGCGAGAGGGGGUGCGGAAGCCAUAAAAGGCAUUUAUGAUGAGCCGGCGACUCUGGGAAUUCCCAGGCAGCAUGUUGUUUCAAUGAUAGCGCUGUUUGGACGUUUGGCUUUCCGAGGGCUGGUCCCCCUAUAAAUAUCGUACUGUACCUUCUUUUUCAUUUUUUCUACUGCAUUUUCCUGAGAUCCUUUCUUCUUCUUGCUUUUGUUGCGUCCUUUGCUUUUUCUGAGUAAAGAAACUCGAAAACACUUUUGUACCGGUGAUUUUGUGUCGCGACAUUUGUUUGCUGCUGGUGUUCUUGUAUUCGAAACGACGACCUUUCUUCUUCAGAGCUUCAUUUGGUACGUGUACUUUUGCUAUUGCUGUUCCUUUUGUUGCGUUUUGUUGGUUUUGGUUUCUGAUUUGUUCGGGUUAGGGUUUGUGUAUUUUCUGGGUUACUUGUGUUUUACCCAUUGCGCUUCUUGUGUGUAGUUUUGGGCUUGUGUUUGUGGUAAGAAAUGGCUGCAAAAAAGACUGUUUCAUCUUCUCGGGGUACCGAGGUUCGUGGAAAAGCGAUAGAUAAGUUGGACGCGAAGGAAUUCCGGGAACGGUUCUGUAUCCCAAAUGACGUGGCUAUCGAAUUGCUGAAUGGGAGGGUGCUUGUUCCUUCUGAGAAAGCAGAAGAAAAAACUAUCAUCUUCUCGAAGGAACAAUUCAACGCGGGGCUCCGGUUCCCUCUGCUGGCGUUGUUCAAGGAGUUCCUCCACUUCACCCAGAUUCCACCCGUCUUUAUUCAUCCCAACAUCGUCCGGGUGCUGAUGGGAUGCAGCAUCAUAAACAUGCUGUACAACCUCGAUCUCACGCUGCUGGAGGUGUUUUUUGUGUAUUCUUUGAAGAAGGUCAAAAAUGACAUCUUCAGCAUGUCCGCACACCUGCCCUCCCUCCAACUGGUGACGGAGCUGCCAGAUUCGACAAAGGGAGGGGCGACGGGACACGUGGUGGUCCGGGGUGCAUGGGCGGGGCUUUUGGAGCAUCCGGCGAGGCCUUUCUCUCCAAACUACUCCUUGGUGGUUCCGGGUAGGUUUGCUUUGUGACUAUUGUCCGGUUUUUACUUUGUUGAUUUUUUGUUGACUCUUCCGGAUGGCAUUCUCAUCUUUUGUUGCUGUUAAUGUAGGUCCGGAAUUGAGGGGCCACCUUGUGGACUGGGUGGAGAAGGCGUCCUUUGGCUGUCUCAGCAAAUUGUUCGAGAUAGACGCCAAGGAGAGGCAGUGCAAGACGCUGCUGACCGCGCGGAACCUGACGGCGGUCGUCCGGGAGCCCCGAGAAUAUGUCAUCAACAUUCUCCCCAGGAAGAUGCCAAAGGAAGUUGUUCCUGGGGAGCAUUAUACUGUGAAGGAUUUCCCGAUUUACGAGGCGUUAAAAGAGGCUGACGUUAAAAAAUGUCGACUUCUCCUGGAGGAUCGGGAGAAGAAGAAGAACGAAGGGACCCUUCGGAAGGCUCCCGGACAGAAUCGUGACGCAGACUCUCCUCCAGAGAAAAUUCCAGCGAAAAAGAGGAAGCUGGUGAAGAAAAAUGGGAAGGACUUGAAGAAGCCCAGUUCUCCCAUGGAAUUUGCUCCUUCGCCCAUUAUUCACGAGGCGGAGGUAAUGAUAGAGGAGCCAGUGAACGCUGCCCCUCAUUCCAUCUCAAGCGGGUCCGGACACCUUGCGGGGCUGAACCACUCAAGCACCUCCUUGGCAGCAGUUGCGCGUCUAGUGAAUUUGGCUGAGGAAGCUGCGUCUGUCAACCAUCCGGACUCCUGCAAUCCGGAUGCCGAUGCAGCUGAGGCCAUUUGCGCGACCCCCAUGGAGGAAGUGGGAGCAGAAAGCCAGAGUCAGCCCUCUGACGAUCCGAACCUGCUGGCUCUUGUUCUAGUGACGGGGCCAUCCUCAAAGAAGCCUCGCUCGGUGCGCGAUCUGAAGUCCGGACUCCACGGGCAGCUUCAAGAGCGGUAGCAAGAGAUUGAAGUCAGUUGCUCAUCUGCCCACGACGCUCAUCCGGAGGGGGGCGAAGUGGAGAUGGUAACUGAGGCUCCAUCCGUCCCGAUGGUGGUCCCGGCUGAGGUUGCACCUGGGGAGGCCCAUCCGGCCGGAAAUGUUGGGGCCCCUCACUCGGAACAAAAAUCGCCUUCUGCUGCUUCAUCCGGGGGUGGACCUGUUAAUGACGCAUCUUGCUCCUCCGACAACUCUUUUAGUUAUGCGGAGUUGGAAGAUAAGCUGAAAGAGAUUCCACCCGGCUCGCCUGAUAUCAUGCCCUCAGCCCAGAUGUUCGAAAAUGUGGAAAUGGUAAAACUGUUUUUCGUGCUUUUUGAUUGUUUUAUCAUUUUGUUGUGUUGUUGUGGUAUGAUUUGUAACUUUGCAUUGCUUGUUUGUGUGUCAGCUGGUGAGUGGUCUCCGCGGCAUGGCCCAACACCACGAUCUCUUUUUUGAUUUGCUGCGGACCACUGAUUAUAUGAGGAUCUUUGCCUCUUGGCAUAAAGAAAGCGAAAACCAACUGCGCCUGAAACUGGAAGAGGCUGAAGCUGGCUUAUCCACCAUUCGAAAAGAAAAUGAAGCCCUCCGGGUGGAUUUGGCUGAGGCAAAGAGUCAGGAGGAAUCAGCGGCCGACCGCCUGCAUGAGGCAGCAGAUGAGAUAACCCAACUGAGGGGGGAGGUGAGGCAACUCCGGACAGAAGUUUCUAUUGAAAAGAAACAGAGGGAAGAUUUAAAGCUGCGCUUGGUUGCACAAAAAGAGGAGCUAGAACGGGAGUUUGCUGUAGAGAGGGAGGAAAUUGAAGCAGAAUAUAAAAAACAGGUGGAUGAUACGUUCAUCUUUGGGUAUCGGUGCUGCAUGAAGAAGAACGGUAUCAAGCGGGACGUGCCUUCAAUUCCUCCGGGUGAAGAAAAGAAACUUUAUGACAAGCCUGCUCCCUGACAGUUUCUCUUUUUGCAAUUUCUUCUGUAAUCUUCCUUUUGUAUUUUUGUGGUCCGGAGACCUCUUUUGUACAUAUUUUUAGCUAUGUCAAUAAAAAUACUUCUUUUCUCAUUUGAACUUGCCUUGGCUUUCUUAUUGAUAAUACUGCUUUAAAUUAGACACAUUCCAUGGUCUAAGUAAUGGAGUUCCGUCUAGCUUUUGUAAAUGAUAGGCUCCAUUGUCACUUGCUUUAGACACUAUAUAAGGUCCUUCCCAAUUGGCUUGGAACUUCCCUGCACCUACUUCAGUAGUAUUUUCAAAAAAUUUUCUAAGGACUAGCGUACCAUUUUUUAAGCUUCUUGGUCUCACUUUGCGAUUGUAAUGUGCUGAUGCCCUUUGUUGAUAAUCUGCCAUCCGGAUGGACGCGCUUUCCCUCACUUCAUCCGUCCAAUCCAAAUUUCUUCCUAAUUGCAUGUUUGCAUCACUUUGUUUUGCUGCGUUGGUCCAGAUAGUAGGGAGACCUAUUUCGAUAGGAAUGACGGCGUCCAUUCCAUAUGCAAGAGCGAAAGGAGUAUUUCCUGUUGGCCGUCCGGGUGUAGUUCGGUAGGCCCAUAGGACGCCGGGCAGCUCCUCGACCCAUUUUCCUUUGGCUUGCUCAAGCCUUUUCUUUAAGGCAGUGAUUAGGGUCUUGUUUGUGGCUUCUGCUUGCCCAUUGCUUUGAGGAUAUCGUGGUGUGGAGUAUGAGUUCCGGAUGUUUAGCUCUGAACAGAAAUUUCUAAAUGCAAUGCUAUCGAAUUGUGGACCAUUGUCGGCUAUGAUGGUUUGGGGAAUUCCAAAACGGCAGAUAAUAUUUUUCCAUACAAACUUGGUGACAUCCUUAUCUUUGGUGCUAGCAUAUGCUUCAGCUUCCACCCACUUACUGAAAUAAUCUGUGGCAACAAGCAAAAAUUUCUUUUGGGCAGGUGCAGUUGGGAGAGGUCUCACUAUGUCCAUGCCCCACUGUGCGAAGGGCCAUGGACCUGAGAUUGAUUUUAACGUUGUUGAUGGCAUAUGUGGGAUGGGAGCAUACCUUUGACAUUUAUCACAUCUUUUGACAUAUGCUGCCGCCUCUUUCUUCAUUGUUGGCCAAUAGUAUCCUUGUGAAUGGGCUCUAUGUGCCAGAGAUCGUCCUCCCGAAUGAUUUCCGUAUAUUCCCUCAUGUAACUCAGCCAACACAUAUUGAGCUUCUGAAUGCCCUAGGCACCGAAGAUAUGGUCCUGUGAAGGAUCGCUUGUACAGGUGCCCCCCAAUUAAGGUAAAACGGGCAGCUUGCACCCGGACUUUAUGUGCCUGUUUGGGAUCUCCGGGUAGAGUUCCUGUCCGGAUAUAUUCUGUGAUAUCAUUCAUCCAUUCUUGGUCGUCCGCUUGGGGUGCCUCAGUGGUACUGCAGAUUGAAAUUUCUGAGACAGAGGGGUUGGUUUGCACAUGUAUGGGCAGUAGAAUGGCUUCCUUGAUAGAGAGGGAGGCAGCUAUGCCGGCCAAAGCGUCAGCGCGCCUAUUGUCAGCUCGCUUGAUUUUUUCGAUUGUCCAUUCAGUGAAUUGCUGCAAGGUGUUUCUUACUUUAGCUAAGUAUCGCGCCAUGCGUGCGUCCUUAGCCUCAUAUUCCUCCUGGACAUGUUUUACCACGAGUUGUGAGUCGCUGAAGAUCCGGAGUUUGGAGACGGAUAGAGCAAGGGCGAGGUCCAAUCCGGACAAGAUAGCCUCAUAUUCUGCUUCAUUGUUAGAGGCGGAGAAUCCCAGCCGGAUGGCUUGUUCCAAAUGUUCCCCAGUUGGGGACUGCAAUAAGAGCCCGACUCCAGAGCCUGAUGAACGUGAGGCUCCGUCAACUCGCAGAGUCCACCAUUCUUUUUUCCUUGAUCCUUCAUGUUGGCCGGGUUUUCGGGAAUAUUCUAGCACGAAGUCAGCCAUUACCUGGCCUUUCAUGGACAACCUUGGUUGGAAUUCAAUCCCAAACUCGCUUAAUUCGAUGGCCCAUUGUAGCAUUCUCCCGGUUAAAUCUGGCUUGUGCAGAAUGUUGCGAAGGGGUUGAUCAGUCAACACGAUCACCGGGUGGGCUUGAAAAUAGGGCCGGAGCUUUUGGGCAGCGCUUCGAAGGGCUAAGGAUAUUAGCUCCAUUUUUGAAUAUCUGGUUUCUACGUCUGCCAAUGCCCUGCUGACAUAGUAGAUGGGCUUCUGCUCCUUGGGUGAUGGGCAGCGGAAUAGAACGGCACUGAUUGCCCAUUCUGACACUGCUAGAUACAUGUAUAAUUUCUCCUUUGGGAUGGGGCUGCUCAAGAUGGGUGGUUGCAUAAGAUAAUGUUUAAUUCUUUCCAAAGCGUUUUGGCAAUUGUCCGUCCACCCGUGCGUUCCAGCUUUUCGUAUCGCCAAGAAGAAGGGUCGCAACUCAUCAAUGAAGCGGGCUAUGAAACGCCCUAAUGCAACGAGUUUGCCUGUGAGGCGCUGUAACUCUUUCUUGUUCCUGGGAGGGGGUGUUUCCAUGACUGCUUUGACUUGAUCCGGGCUGACUUCUAUGCCCCUUUGGCUGACCAUAAAUCCUAGAAAUUUUCUGGCACUUACGCCAAAGGCGCAUUUAGAAGGAUUUAGCUUCAUGCCAUACCUUCGUAAGAGGUAAAAAACCUCUUGCAAAUGAAGGAUAUGCUGCUCCCGAGUUUUGCUUUUAACCACGAUAUCGUCAAUAUAAACCUCUACUGAGUGGCCUAUCAGAGGUUUGAAGAUUUUAGUCAUCAAUCUUUGAUAAGUGGCGCCAGCAUUUUUGAGUCCGAAUGGCAUGACUUUAUAACAAUAGAGGUCGUGUGGUGUUAUGAAUGCUAUUUUUUCUUCGUCAUCCGGGGACAUGGGGAUUUGAUGAUAUCCGGAGAAGGCAUCCAAGAAAGAGAGCAUCCCUUGCCCGGAAGUGGAAUCCACAAUCUGAUCUAUUCGCGGCAAGGGAAAACUGUCUUUUGGACACGCAUUGUUCAGAUUGGUGUAAUCUACACAAACUCGCCAUUUUCCUUCUUUUUUGGGUACCACGACUACGUUUGCCAACCAAUCCGGAUAAGAAACUUCUCUGAUGAAUCCGGCUUCGAGCAAUUUGUCAAUCUCGUUCCGGAUGACUCUUUGUCUAUCUGGGUGGAAGCGCCUAAUCCUCUGUCGGACGGGUCUGGCAGUUGAAACGACGUUAAGCCUGUGAGAUGUAAUGGAGGGAUGAAUUCCCUUCAUGUCAGAAUGUGCCCACGCGAAGAUGUCAUGGUUCUGUCUGAGGAUAUUUUGCAUGCCCUGAGUCUCUUCUUGUGUCAUGAGGGAACUGAUGUUCGUGAGGUGAUCGCUUUCCUCCGAAAUUUGGAUUGUUUGUAAGGGAUCUGCUGCCGGGGGAUCUUUGUCCGUCGGACCCAAUAAUUGCUAUUGGUCGCGUGCAAUGCUGGGUUCAGGGGGAGAUGCAUCCUCCUGGUUGGCCCCUGCUUCACGUGCUAUCUGAUAGCACUGGCGAGCGGCUAAUUGGCUGCCAUAUAAGUCGAUUUGACCAUCGUGGGUAAGAAAAAUCACCAUUUGAUGGUAUGUAGAGGGGAUAGCUUUCAUGUAGUGGAGCCAUGUGCGCCCCAAAAUGAUAUUGAAGGGUGAUAGCUCCUGUACUACUGAAAACUGUACAUUGAGAGUGACUGGGCCAGCUUGGACCGGCAGUAUGAUAUCUCCCAAGGAUGUGGUUGAUGAUCCGUUGAAUCCGGAUAAGAUUCGUCCGGGGUUUUCAAGGCCCGUGAGACUAUGUCCCAUGUGGCCAACGACUGAUGCUUGCACCAGGUCGGCUGAACUGCCUGGGUCAACUAAGAUACGCCGCACAUCGAAGUCCCCAAUUUCUAGGGACAGGAUGAGGGCGUCGCGAUGUGGUUGUAGUGUCCGGGUGGGAUCUACUGGUGGAAAAAUUAUUGUUCCAUCUAUGGGGCGAGGACCCUCUCCAGUUAGACCCGGCCGGAUGGAAUUAAUGCGUUCGCGUAUUGAUGCAGCCCGCAACAAUUUUUGCCUUUUCCGUCUGGAGUCAUACUCCUCGUCAGAUGGUCCUCCGUUAAUAUAGUUGAUAACGGCCUUGGUGGCAACUGGGGCCCUAGGGGCUCCAGGGUUGUUGUGCUGGGAAACGUCCCUACCCCCCGUAUCCGUGCGGAGGUAUUGCUUCAAAUGCCCAGCUUUUAUGAGUCUUUCGACCAAAUACUGGAAAGAUCGGCACGUCUCUGUUGUAUGGCCAUGAUCUUUGUGGAAGGCACAUCUCCUGCUACGAUCCCUUGUAGAUGGGUCCGUUGCAAUAGGUCUAGGCCACUUGAAGUCGGACAAGCCUUGGAUCAUUGGGAGAAGUUUCUCAUAUGAUAUAGAAAGAGGUGUGAGAGGCGGCAUUUUCGGGCGACUUGGCCCUUCCUGCCUUCGGUCAGACGGCUUUGGCCGAUCCGGAGGUUUGGUAUUUCUCUCCGUAUUACUUCCGGAUGGCCGUCCGGCAACCAAAACUUGCUGGGUGGCUGCACGUACGUCAUCUUCGAGCAUUGAAUAUUUGUUGGCUCGUCUGAAUAAGUCGUCCAUCGUAGUAGGAGGCUUUUUAGCCAGUGAUUCGAAAAAUGGAGUGCCUGGACAGAUGCUUCGUUUGAAGAUCUGUAGAACAGCAUCCAUACUGCAAGCUUCCACUUGAAGUACGGCUUGGCCAAACCGCUUCACAAAUUCCCUUAAGGAUUCGUUAUCUUGCAUUUUUAUGUUCUGCAAGGUGCUGAUAUUUUGCUUGUGUCGGGCGGAACACAGGUAUUGUCCCACGAAAGCUUCGGACAGGUCCCUGAAAUUGCCAACAGAGUUGGGAGGUAGGCGAUGAAACCAUGAGAGGGCCUGUCCUUGUAGACUGGCGGGAAAUACUUUGCAUAGCAGCGCAUCGUUGCCAAUAUCGAGCGUCAUGAGCUGUCGAUAAUGCAUGAUGUGAUCGAAGGGAUCGCUGGUUCCAUCGUAUGUGGAAAAUUUAGGUACGAGGAAUCCCCUUGGGGGCUCAUAAUUAAUGAUAUGAGAGCAGAAAGGCGUGGAGAGCAUGUCAUCCAGCCUUUUGCUGAUGGAGCCAACGGGUGGCCCGUUUGGGAUGUUUCUCCCAGUUGGCUAUUCCGCUAGGUGCAGAUGAACGUUCCGCAUCACAGGGGUGACUAUGGGGUCACGAUGCGGGUGAUCGUUUUGCACCAUGGGGGUUGCCAUGGGGUCAGGGUGUGGUGCCCAGGUUGUGGCCAUAGGUGGCCUUGAUCUUCUAGGUUCUUGCGGGCCUAGUCUUGCGCGCAUCGAAUUUGACAACCGCGACUUUUUAUCACGUUGCCUUUUUGCUGAAAAGUGAGUAGAGUCUGAGCUUUCCUCACGGGGAGCUCAAGGCAUAGGCGUGCAUGGCUCAUGAGGCCUCACGUUGCAUGCCCCUGGGAUUGCCCCUGUUGUCCCAGGGUAUAUUGACUCUGGUUCUUGCUGAGGCCUUGAGUUUGCUACUUGGCCCCUCGAAUGUUGAAGUCGAGGAGGCUCUGAUGUUGAAGCCUGGAUGCGUAACACAACGUUUUCUUCUCUCAAUCUUUCUGUCUCCUGGAGGAGAGCUUUUAGCUGUCUUUCGCUUGCCAACUGUCUCCUUUCGAUGGCUAGGCGCCAUUCAAAAUUAUCAUCCUCUCCCCUACCAGAUGAAUGACUUUGGGAUGGUGUGGCCAUUGUUUUUAGUGACUGAAUCAAAGUAAAGAAAAGUUCCCACAGACAGCGCCAAUGUUGUUACCUCGCGUCUUUGGCGGUCCACGUAGUAACCAGAUGGAUGGACGCGUGAUCUCAACUCAUAAAGGUUUUUGAUCCAGUCGUCAUUCCUGCAAGAAGGCAUCCGGACAGGGUGUCCGGACGCAUCCUCCGAUGGUUUUGUUAGCCAUGGUCAGAGAGAGGAAUAUAAAUCAGUUGGCCUUUUACCAGGUAUUAAGAAGUUACCAGGAGGAUCCCCUUCUUCUUCGUGCGAAGGCAUAUAUAUACAGCUUCAGGGGUACUGUUCCUCUCAUUAAUGGCGAGGAGAUAUUUUAUGUUUGUCAUGAUGACAUUCGGAGGCAGCAUGGUCAUCGCCACCCUACUGGCGGCUGUCAGAAACCGUGGUAGGUGAUGCUGCUGUCUAGAUAUCGUGGGAAAUGAUCAUGUAGAAUGAUCGUGGGAAGUGACUUGUUGUCACCUCGACCCGUCCUUUCACUCUGCAGAUGAUGGGACGUGGGCCAUGGCUGGUUGUCGUGAUAGCGUGUAAGACUUGCUUUACUUUAAUUGAUGAUCCGGACGAUUAAAUCCGGAUGGUCACAUGCUGACUAUCCGGAUUGUAUAGUGGAGCGGAUACAUUAUGAAGGUUGUCCGGAUGUCUAUGCUCUGUCAGCGUCGUUUGCUCUUCCUUGGACAGAAGAAGCUGAAACGUCAUGUGCUUUUCCUUGAGGCGGUCCGGAUAGGAGAACCAUCAUCAUGCGUAUCCUUAAGGGAAUCCGGAUGAUGAUGGUCCGGCUGAUAACACGUGCUGCGUGUCACUGUGAGGUGCGUGCCACGUGUUUCCCAGAGGGAGGGGUCCCUACAUGUGUCAUAAGAGAUAUUUAGGAAUUAAUUGCUGACUAGUAUCCUUGAUGAACAAUCUCUAUUUUGUGGUCCAAAUGUAUAAACUGGUGUGAUCCUGAAGGCAACCACGUGCAACCAUUUUUUAACGUCCAGAGGAAUUCAUAUGGACAUUGGUAGGAUGAAUGGGACAUUACGUAGAAGAUUUGGAUUCUGAUACCACUGUUUCCUUAGACAAAAAGCAACCAAGUGAUGGGAACCUUUGAGGGCCACCGCUCCUCUUUCAACUUGAACAUUUUCUUUUGUCGACUAACCCAUGUUCACUGAAAAGGAAAGCUCCAUGGGUCCUCUACCAUUAUAUUAUAGCCGCUAUGCAGUGGCAGCAGCUAAUUAAUGGGAAUUGUCAGUGAGGAAAGGUACAAUCAUUAGGAUAUGCCUCUGGCUCGCGGAGGACUUUGUUUCUGAUCAGUAACGUCGAUAAAAAUAUAUUUUAGAACAUUUUCUAAUGUCAAUUCAAUGACCGGGUUCAUUCUCAACCAUCCAUCUGUUGCUUGGGACGUGUGUCAUUUCCUACCAUGUAUUCUUCUCACUGACAAUUCCCUCAAAUAUAUACAUAUACCCAAUGUUAAAAAAAUUGACUUUGUUACCCUCACUGAUUUUCGAGUUUUAUGGAAAUAUCUGUAGAAAUUUGCAUAUAAAUUAAAAUUGUUUUAAAAUUUGAAAAAUGAUGGAAAUUGAUAAAAGUAUAAAAUUUUCACAUGAACCUUUGAAAAUUUUGAUAAAAUAAGUAAUGUGUAGAUAUUAAAUUAUUAUAUUUUUAAAAAUUAAUAAAAUAACAAAUAUUAGUUUUGAAGUGAAUAUUUGGAUUAGUAGUGUUAAGAAAAAAAUUUUAUUGUUAAUAAAAAUAGAAGAAAGUUAUGAUUUUGCACAUCAUUAACUUCUUAAUUCUGCAGGUCGUUGCAUCAUUUUCUCCAAAGACCUUUUGAUGUUAAUGAAGGGAAAAAAAAAAAAAAAAAAAGCUUAAUAUAGAGGCAGCAAUAAGAUAUCUUCUUGGAGAAGACGUUUUUAAAUUUAUGUGGGAAUAUUAUAGGCUUUAAUGAAACUUUUAUAAUAUCAUUUUUAUCCUUCUUUUUUUUCUUAAUUAAAAAAAAUUGUUAUUCCAAAUAUAUCAUUUUCUAAACCUAAACUAUUCAAUCGGUGUGUAUUUGUAGACCCCUUUUGUGGAGGGCCCCGAAGAGAGUUUUUCUCUCUUCUUUGCAUUUCCUUUUUGAAAUAAGGGGGGACGGGGGGGGGGGGGGGGCCUUUUUCCCCGGGAAAACCGGUGCCUGGAAAAGGGGGGGGCCCUGGUGGGGGUUUAUCCCCCCCCAAAGAAGGAAAAAUAAGGGUGGGAAAGGGUUUCCCAGGAAAAAAAAAAAAAAAGGGAGGGAACCCCCCAGGGGGAGGGGUGGUGGGAAAGGGAAGGAAAAAGAACCCAAAAGGAAAAACCCUUAAAAAGGGGGCCUUUUAAAAAAUUUUUUUGAAAAAUUUAUUUUUUUCAAAAGAAAAAGACUUUUGGGAAAAGAGGGGGGGAAAUUUCAAAAAAAAAAAAGAGGGGGGGGUUUUGGAAAAUUCAGGGAAGGGCCCCUUUUAUUUUACAAAAAAUAUUUUUUGAUUUUUUGGGGGUAUCCCAAACCCCAAAUUUUUUUNNNNNNNNNNNNNNNNNNNNNNNNNNNNNNNNNNNNNNNNNNNNNNNNNNNNNNNNNNNNNNNNNNNNNNNNNNNNNNNNNNNNNNNNNNNNNNNNNNNNAAGCCUUUUGCAGUUUAAGGAGGGGAAAAAAAAAAAAAAAAAAGGUUUAAUAUAGGGGCAGCAAUAGGAUUUUUUCUGGGAGAAGAGUUUUUAAACUUUAGUGGGAAAUAUAUUGGGCUUAAAGAAAAUUUUAAAAAUUUCAUUUUUUCCUUUUUUUUUUUUUUAAAUAAAAAAAAAUUGUUAUUCAAAUUAUUUCAUUUUUUAAACUUAAAUUUUUAAAUGGGGGGGUAUUGGUAGCCCCCUUUGGGGGGGGGCCCGGAAGAGAGUUUUUUUUUUUUCUUGGCUUUCCUUUUUUAAAAAAAGGGGGGCCGGGGGGGGGGGGGGGGCCUUUUCUCCCGGGAAACCGGCUGCAUGGAGAUGGCAGGGGCCAUGCUGGUGGUUGAUCAGCCAGCAAUGAAGGAAUAGUAAGGUUGGUAAUGGCUUGCCAAGGAAGAAAUAAAAAACAGGAAGGAUACACUCGAGGGGCAGGAGUGCUGGAGAUGGGAAGGAAAAGGAACCAGAGAGGAAGACACCUUAGAGAGGGAGCCUUUGAGAGAGUUUUUCUGAAACAUUGAUCUUUUCAGAAGGAGAAGGACGUUUGGGAGAGGAGGUGGGGAUAUUCAGACGAGAGAGAGGAGGGUGGCGUUGUGGAGUAUUCAGGUAAGGUCCUCUGUUAGUCUACGAAGAUUAUUUUGUGAUUUUCUGUGGGUAUCCAAAACCACAAAUUUGUUUUACUCAAAUACGAUUGCCUACAUGUGCUUGCUCUGUUUUUUUUGCUUUCUAUAAUUUUGUUGAUUUUUCCCCUGCAAGAGGUUGGAUUCCCACCUGGGUUUGAUGUUUGAUUACGGCAUUGAGAACUUCCAGUUCUCUCCACCCUUGCAUGGCCGGGCAUGGCCACAUUGAACCCAUACCAUGUUCCAGCUAUCUUAGUUCCCACCCAUGCCCAUUACGCCCAUUCCCCUCACCCCCGCAUGGCCAUGCAUAGCCAUGCAUGGCCGCCACCUUUCAUACCCAUUUCCUCAAGCUCGCUCAGUCAGCUGAAUCAAUGGCGGCAUUGGAGCUCCUCCUCCCUUCAUCCUUCCCGUAGCUCCGCCUCCUCCCCCUCAUCUUUGGCUCCACUUCCAUGUUUUGAUAGGUAUCUUAUGAGUUUUCCAGUUUCAAGCUUGUAGUUUUGGGUUUUUCAAAUUAAAAUACUGUUGGAAGAUGGGUCUUUGAGCCCGCCCAUAUUAGCAUUGAACAUGGGCUUGGGUUGAGGAACUAGGCCCAAGCUUGUGAUGGGGAUGCUUGUUUUGGGCUUGCCCUUGAAGCCAUUGGGUUUUGGGCUUACCUAUGUUGGAUGGUUGUAUUGGGUUUGCCCCUGAAGACAUUGGACUUGGGCUUGAGUUGGCGUCCAGGCCUAGUUCGUGUGGAUGAAGGGUCUUAUGUCAAUCCUUCAAAAAUCCCUUGUUUUAAUUUAAUUCUUCAAAUAUUUGUUUAAAUCUUAUUUUCAUAAAUCGAAUCCUUGUCUCAUAUUUAUCAGUUAUUCAAAGUCUAAUCCAUCAAAAAAAUCACAUGUCUUAAUUUACUUCUUCAAAUAUUCGUCUAAAUUUUAUGUUCAUCAAUUAAAAUUAUUAUCCUAUAUUCAACUAUCUAUCUAGUCUAAUCCUUCAAAAAUCUCAUGUUUUAAUUUAAUUCUUCAAAUACUUGUUUAAAUCUUAUUUUCAUAAAUCAAAUCAUUAUCCCAUAUUUAUUAGUUAUUCAAAGUCUAAUCCAUAAAAAAAAUCUCAUGUCUUAAUUUAAUUAUUCAAAUAUUCGUUUAAAUCUAAUGUUCAUCAAUUAGAAUUAUUGUCUUAUAUUCAUCUAUCUAUCUAGUCCAAUCCUUCAAAAAUCCUAUGUUUUAAUUUAAUUCUUCAAAUAUUUGUUUAAAUCUCAUUUUCAUCCAUUAGAAUUAUUUAUCCCACAUUAUCUAGCUAUUUAAAGUCUAAAUCUUUCAAGGAAAUCCUAUGUCUUAAUUUAAUUCUUCAAUAAUUAGUUCAAAUCUCAUUUUCAUCCAUUAAAAUCAUUUGUCUCAUAUUUAUCGAGUCAUCUAAAGUCUAAAUCUUUCAAGGAAAUCAUGUCUUAAUUUAAUUCUUCAAUAAUUCGCUUAAAUCUUAUUUCCAUCAAUUAGAAUUAUUAUCGUAUAUUUACCUAAUUAUUCAAAGUUUAACCCUUCAAAAAUCUCAUGUCUUAAUUCAAUUUUUCAACAGUCCGUUCAAACCCUAUUUGUCUAAAUGUCAUUUUCGUUAAUUAGGAAUUAUUGUCUCAUAUUUAUUUAUUCAAAGUCUAAUCCUUCAAAAAUCCAAUAUCAUAAUUUAAUUUUCAAUCCUAAAAAUUCCACUAUUCGUCUAAAUGUUAUUUUCGUCAGUUAGAAACUCCAUACUUGUUUAUCUCUUUUAAAAAUCUCAAUCAUUGAACUUAAUUUUCAACCUUAAAAAUUCCACUAUCCUUUUUUUUUUUAUUCGUUUAAAUGUUGUUUUCCUUAAUUAGUAUUAUUACCCUAUGUUAGUUUAUUUAUUCAAAAUCUAAUUCUUCAAAAACCUCAUGUCUCAAUUUAAUUUUUCAAUCCUAAAAAUUCUAUAAUUCGUUUAAAUGUUAUCCUCAUCAAUUGGAUUCAUUAUCUCAUAUCUGUUUAAAGUCCAAUCUUUUGAAAACCCCAUGUCCUAAUUUAACUUUCAAUCCUAGAAAUUCCAUUAUCCGUCUAAAUUUUAUUUUUGUUAAUUAGAAUUCUUAUUCCAUAUCUAUUUAUUUAUAUAAGGCCCAAUUCUUCAAAAAUCCAACUUCUGAAUUAAAUUUUCGAUCCCAAAAAAAUUCUACUAUUCAUCUUUAUUCGCCUAAAUAUUAUUCUCGUUAAUUAGUGUUAUAAUCUCAUAUUUAUCUAUUUAUUCAAAGCCUAAUCUUUCAAAAAUCCAACGCCCCAAUUUAAUUUUCAAUUAAAAAGAUUCCACUAUUCAUUUCUUUAUUCGUUUAAACAUUAUUUUUGUUAAUUAGCACCAUUAUUCCAUAUUUAUUUAUUUAUUUAUUUCAAUCAUUAAAAUUCAAUUCUUCAAAACUGGAUUUCCAAAUUUAAUCUUUAGACUCAAAAAUUUCCACCAUUCACUUUUAUUCAUUUAAAUAUCAUUUUUGUUUCCGUUAUUAUAAAUUCCACGUUUACUUAUUCUUUUCUUCUAAAAAUUCCAAUAAUUAAAGUUCAAUUAUUCAAAGAUUCGACUUUCAAACUUAAUUUUCAAAAUCCCACUAUUCACUUUCAUCCGUUCAAACAUCAUUUUUGUCGAAAUUCGAGUUUCAAAUUAAUUUCUAAUCUCACAAAUCUCACUAUUCACUUUCAUCCGUUCCAAUAUCGUUUUGAUUAAUUAAUAACAUUAUUUCAUAUUUACCUAUUUAUUUCUCUUAAAAAAAUCUCAAUCACUAAAGUCUAAUUCUUCAAAAUUCUGAUUUCUAAAUUUAGCUAUCUGAAAUUCCAGUUGCCCUAUCUUCGAAGUUAAUUUUCAGUUCCCAAUAUUCUGAUUAUCGUAUUUACCCAGUUACUCAUUUGUUAUCAUCAUUAUUUUUGUUACCAUUUUAUUUGUUCAUUUCUAAAAAGUCCGCCUUCAAAUGAUUUUCAAGAUUUCCAAUUUUCAUAAAUCAACUUUCAUAAUUUCUAUUUCUCAAAUAACUUACGAUUCUGAUUUCUUUCAAAAUUUAACUCCCAAAACUCCAAUUUUCUAACUUAAUCUUUUUUAAGAUCCCGAACCCUCAAAUUAUUUUCAAAAUUCCAACCUCUUUCAAAUUCAAUUUCUAAAAUUCUCAUUCUCACAUUCAACCCCUAAAAGUCUGAUCUUCAAAUAAACUCUAAAACCCCAAUUUUCUAGUGAUCUUCAAGAUUCCAAUUUUUUGAAUUAAAUUUCAAAAGUCUAAUUUUCUCUCAAAUAGUUUUAAUCCCGCUCGGGUUUUCAAACGAUCUUCUACUCCUCUUGAUUUUAAUAAGCGUGAACAAAUUUUUCAUAAUUCCAGAAUAAUGGAAUCUGACAUUAAGUCAUGCUGAAUAAACAGGCUUUGGUGGGAGCCCAACAUGGGUGACUUUAUGAUUUAUUGAUUGAUUGAUUGUUUAAUUGGAUUAUCAUACAUCCUGCUCUCUGACAUGCAUGAGAUUAUUUCUUAAUUAUGCACUAACCCGCUCUCUUGAUAGCUCAUUGAUCGUUUGAUGCCAAGGUAUGCCCCGCUCCCACUUUGAUCAUUUUUUUAUUGAGUGUUUUGAUUCUCAUAUGUGCAUGAUCAAUUUGAGUAUCCAUUGAUUUUCCUACCGAUUGUCAUGUCAGCUUCAUUUUAUUAGUAGAGACCCGACUUUAGGGACUUAGAGGGGUGCUAUGGCCUUUACCGUACCUUCCCGAUAAGUAACCUGACCCUCGACCUCGAUCCGAUUUUUCGUAGAUCACCUUUUCCAAAAUAAGGAGUCGCAGUUAGGGUUUUCUUUCUUAUUUUGUUUACCCUUUUAAAAAUAAAACAAAAAUAAGUGGCGACUCCAAGUCAUUUUUUAUAUCAAUAAAAGUCAUUUUUCAAAUUAAAAUUGAGCUCGCUAUCGAGUGGAAAACGCAUGAGCCGAAAUGCGGGGUCCAUAAAAUGGCGACUCCACUGGGGAUCGUAGAGGGUCAAACUUGAACUUAAGAUGAAGCAAAUGUGGCAUUUGAUGAGUCAAUCAGUGGAUACCUGUCUCUUGAUUACACAUUGGGAGUUCCCGAGUUUUCAUUUGGGACGUUGGCAUGAUUGAUCGUGUUGGUUAAUCAUCUUGAUUGAGGAUUUUGAUAUAGUGAUCCCUUUUGUUCUCCAUUGAUAUAUUUGUUUGAGAUAUUUGACAUGCUAUUUAUGAUGAUUGAUUUGUUUUGAUUGAAGAUUCCGAUAUGACUAUUUUCUCUAUGCCUCAUUAUCAUAUUUGUUUGAGAUAUUGAAAUGUUGAUUGAACCGAUUGUUCAUCUUGUUUCGCUUAGCAAAGUGAUUCCGAUCCUUGCCAUGACUGUUUUGAUCACCUUGCAUGUAUGGAUUCAUUGUUAUAUAUCAUCGUUUGAUUUGACAUAUUGAUUCACUUGCUUGUAUAUUAUCUUGAUUGUCUUUGAGCAUGAUGUUCGUAUCGUCAUUCAUCCUGAUCGUCAUAGCUUUUGCGUGGGCAUGAAUGAUAUACCAUGUACUCUGCUUGACUGCAUGCCGUAUGACUACCCCUCUUUUGCAUGAUUGCAUGCCACCUGUCUAUGUGGGUCGCAUAUCUAUCCCCUUACCUCCAACUCUCUUGGUUUCGGUCAUUCUUUUCAUCCCGGUUCUCACUAUUGCAAGUGUGAGACCUUCUAUGCGCUUGCUCUCCGACCGAGCCAGAGAUUAGGAGUAGGGUCUAGCAAUGGGCUAUAUCGAUGUACGGAAGCAUUCUGGAGGAGAGCGACACUUUGAUGUCGAUGGGAGUCCGAUCAUUGAAGACCUGUAUAGCCUGGAGCUAGGAUUCAUGGAUAUUUGUGUGGCCAGUGUGUUUCUUUUCCCGUUUUAGCUUCUUAGGGUUAUCGGAUGCACCCACACAGUUCACUGUGCACUCUAGUUGGCCAUUGUUGAGAGUUUGAGCGGUUCCACCAUAAGAAACCCCCUAGGAUGUUGAGGUAGUGCAUGUGUGGAGGUGAUGUCCACCUUGCAUGGAAGCACUCCGUCUUUUCGGAGGCGUGCAGAGGGUUGCGUACCACUGGAUGGUACGAUCGCUUCUGCUAGGGAUCUUUUAAAGUCCACCUAUCUCCUUUUAGAGCCGCCUUGACCUUGUAGGUUAAGCCUUAGACAUUUCAUUUAGAAUUUUCCUUCCCGAACACGUGGGUGCAUCUGUGGGCCUUCAAAGCUGGUUCAGUAGUGACAGGUUUAGUUACCUUCGCAGUAGUCUCUUAUAUAUCUGCUCAAGACUGGAUAUCAGUUUGAUUGCUUCCAGGCUACCUUUCGACACAUUUGAUAGACAUUCUUUGUGAAGUUUCCCUUACCCCGCAUCUUAUCUAGUAUUUCCAUGGUUGUAGGAGUAUCGAUACAUUCAGUCUGGGUUCGACUUCUUGGAUCAGAGUUGGGGGUAGAUUGAUCAAGGCAUCGGACCAGUCAGACCAGAGAUCUGAUCAGAGAGAUAUGGAUUCACAGAUAGUUAUUUUCGAUUAGUUUGCUGAGGCCAUGGCUUCGAUUCAGGAGGCUAUAGCUAGCCUCGGUCGGAGGAUAGAUGGGCAGCAAGCCCAGCAGGUCCCGCUUCAGGAUAGCGCCCAGUAUGACCCUACAGUGCCACCACCCCCUCCACCCAUCAGUCAGCACCACAGGCCAUGUCGUUCACUCUGCAUAGUCAGACCGAGGUUGCUCCACCUCCCGUCACCGUGCCUACCUCGACCUCAGAGGACCCGCAUGCUCGCAUGCUCGCAUGGAUAGGCUUGAGCAGGGGUUAAGGCAAUUGAGGACUUCAGACAGAGCCAUUACUUGGGAGGAUUUUGAUGGAGCACCAGUGGCCAGUUUACCGGCCAAGUUCAGGAUGCCAGAGAUCGAGCGAUACACGGGGAUUGGGUGCCCCCGCAUCCAUUUGAGGCUUUACAGUACAAUCAUGAGGGCUCAUGGAUUGGACGGGGCUCAGAUGAUUAUGCUUUUCCCCAUGUCCUUGGGUGGCGCUGCACAGCGUUGGUUUGCUUCUUUGGAUGUAUCACGUCGUCGGACUUGGGAUGAUCUGGCCCAAGAGUUCUUGAGACAGUAUGCAUUUAAUACUGUCAUUGACGUAUUGAGGAGAGAGCUCAAGGCUCUGAGACAAAGGGCAGAUGAGUCAGUUUCAUCAUUCAUCUCCCACUGGCGCGAGAAGAUUGCCGAGAUCAUUGACAAGCAUCCGGAGAGGGAUCAGAUACAGAUGGUUUUGAGGAGCCUACAGCCCAGGAUUUCCAGACACGUGGUCGGGGUACCCUUAAUAGAUUUUGGUUCGUUAGUUUCGGCUUUAUACGAUGUCGAGGAUGGCAUCUCGAGAGGAUUGUGGACAGAUUCUUCCCUUAGUGAUAUUAAGGGGAAGAAGCCCUUUGUAGGACAGAGGUCAGUGGAUGUGAGCGCCAUUGGUUCUUCUAGUCAGAGGCCUCUCAGGUGCCAUCAGCCGAUCCUACAACUUUCCGAGCCUCAUUCUUCCUAUGCACCUCAUCAGUAUAGGCCACGGGCACCUCGUCCGACUUAUGAUCAGACAUACAUGCCGCAAACUUUGGCUUUGCCUUAUUAUGCCUCCCAGGGCAUUGAGAGACCCCCGGUUUCCUACACGGCCACAUGACAGCCAUGCUAUGUUGCUCAGUUCACUGUGAGACCCACGACGCCUUAUCCCCGACCCAGAGCUCAGCAGACUUCUGCUCCAUUUGCUUUGAGGGCACAUAGACAGUUCUCGCAGUUAGGCAUGUCGUUAAGCCAGGCUCUUCGGAAGCUUACAAAGGCAGGGUUGUUGACUGCUCUUGCUCCUAGGCAGCCACCUCAUUCGAUUCCGCCUCAGUUCAGGAUGGAUAUGCACUGUGCAUACCAUCAGGGGCCUGGACAUGAGACCGAUCGAUGCACCGCUUUGAGGCAUGCCAUUCAGGAUUUGAUCAACUAGGGUUUGGUGCACUUGGGUCAGCCAAGUGUGACCACAAACCCGUUACCCGCGCACACCACGCAUGCAAUCCCUCCACCAGUCGAUGGUAUUCAUUUCUUGGACUUCGAUGAGAUCGACGACCACGUCCACAUGUUGAGUGAGGACGAUUCAGACCCGGAGCCCAUCAUGCCAGAUGUGGUUUAUGAGAUGAGUUAGGUGACUCUAGGGCCUCGGAUGCUUGCUCCAUUUCGAUUAGUUCCCGAGGCAGCAUCGGUGUAGAUUACCACUAUUGAGCCAUUGAUUUUGCCACAUUACAGCAUCCGGACGCCUUUCAUCUUGAUCCUGGAUGUUGAGGAGGUUCAGGCUCCAUGUGUUGAUGAUUCUCAGACUCUGGAUGUUCAGUAUAUUCUCCGAGGAGGUAGAGUGAUGCGACAGCCACCUCCCGCGGCAGCUAGGCCAGUUGAGGGCACAUAUGCUCCCGAGAAGGUCAGAGUAAAGGACGAUGAGAUCUUGAGACAGCUACAGAGCACUCAGGCUCAUAUUUCCAUCUAAAGCCUGUUGGCAUCCUCGAGCACUCACCGUGAUGCUCUGAUUCGAGCUUUGAGCCAGAUCAGGGUCGAGAUUACCACCUCCCUUGAGGGAUUGAUUCAUAUGAUGACGGCCAGCAAAGCCACAUGCAUUGUAUUCUCAGACGAUGAUUUGCCACCGGAGGGCUCGGAUCACACGCGUCCACUCUAUAUAUCUGUCGGUUGCUCAGGUCGUCGAGUCUCAUCCGUCCUUCUGGACAAUGGCUCGACCCUGAACGUAUGUCCUCUUGCCACUGUCAUUGCCCUCGAAUACGCUCCCUCUGACUACAGUCCCUCCACUCAAACCGUUCGGGCGUAUGAUAGCACUCGGAGGGAGGUCAUGGGUACACUAGAGAUUGAGCUACUGAUUGGUCCAGCCACUUUCAUCACCAUGUUUCAGGUUUUGAGGAUUCCUACAUCCUUUAACCUGCUUCUGGGCCGACCAUGGAUCCAUAGAGUUGGGGCCAUUCCUUCUUUCCUUCAUUAGAAAGUGAAGUUUAUUCAUGAUGGUCGGGUCAUCGUGGUGCAGUCUGUAGGGGAUACAUUCAUUUCGGCCGAGCCCGUGCUCGAGAUUAGUCACGCUGAUGAUGAUCUUUUUCUAACCGGAUUCACCUUUGAUGAGGUACAGACCCUAGAGAUGGAGGAUUUCUGCCGAGACUUUGUAGCCAUGUCCUUCAACCAGCACAACAGCACGGUGGUGCUCAAUAUUAUGCGGAACAUGUCUUAUCUUCCCGGUAUGGGGUUAGGGCGGCGUCAGCACAGGCCUAGUGAGUUCAUGGCCUUUCCGGACCGCGAUGUACCAUUCGGGCUCAGAUUCAUCCCCACCAAGGCCGAUUAUCGUUAUAUGGCACGACUGUGCAGGGAGAGGGUGAGGGCUUGCUUGACUCAUACGCCCUUUUAUUAUCCUGUUUGCCCAUACACCAUGAGCCUAGCCGAUUACUUUAUGAGGGCAUCAGAGCCACAUGCACCAUCUGAUGGGAUCAUCGGAGGACUCAGCACCACCCAGGAGGCUGAGCUUCAGUGUCUCGUCCAGCAGUUACAGUUGAGUGACGGAGCCCCUGGCCUUUCGACUUCUGCUUUGAUCGCUCCUCCUUCCCUAAAUCGCACAAGCCUUAUGACGCUUUGCUUCCCGAAUGAGAUCGAUGAGCACGAGACUUUUGCCAAGAUCAGAGACAUAGUGGAUGGAGCCAUGCCACGUGACGAGUACGUUGAUGAGAUGCUCGCGAUGAGCUUGAGCCAAAUCGAGAAGAUAGCCCCGUCUGAGCUCGCUUCACCAUUUGAUCUCUUCGGGGUGUCCGUCCUCGAGAUCGUCGAGGAGAUCUAGUUCGCUCUUGCUCCGAAGAUCGUCGAGGAUGUUAUAGUUGCUGAUGGUUUGUUUGAUGGCCCUGUUGGCCUAGUUGAGGGAGCGUCCGACCUUAUGGACCCACCUUUUUCCUUUGAUGUUUUAUCGGGAUUUGUCUCCCGUCAUGACUAUGUUUCUAACUUUUCAUCUAUGGAUUUAAGCAUCUUUGAGUAUUUGUCUGUCUGUCAUGUUAUCGCUUUAUCUACACCAUCUUCACCCACAUCACAGAUUUUUGACAUUGAUGAUGAGAUUGCGCAGCAUGAUUCAGACGAUGACUUGUCUUCUAUUUCCGAUUCGGAUCCCGUUGAUGAGAGAGUUUCACCUGCUGUAGGGGACGCGGAGAUUGUUGAUUUCGGCAUAGCAGAUCAGCCUAGGGAGUUGAGGAUCAGAUCAGAUUUAUCUGUUGAUGAGAGAGAUAACCUCAUCCAGUUGCUCAGAGCAUACUUGGACGUUUUCGCAUGGUCCUAUGAGGACAUGCCAGGCCUUGAUCCAUCUAUCGUCUAGCAUCGUUUGCCACUUCUACCCCAUGCCAGACCGGUUAAGCAGAAGUUGAGACGAUUGCAUCCUCGUUGGAACUUGCAGGUCAAGAAGGAGAUUCAGAAGCAGCUUAGUGUAGGAUUCUUAUCAGUGGUCGAGUACCCGGAGUGGCUGGCCAAUGUCGUCCCUACUCCCAAAAAGAACGACAAGGUGAGAGUCUGUGUUGAUUUUCGAGAUCUCAACAAGGCCAGUCCUAAGGAUGAUUUUCCUCUUCCACACAUCGACAUGCUAGUUGGCAGUAUGGCAGGUCAUUCGAUGUUGUCCUUUAUGGACGGAUUUUUCGGGUACAGUCAAAUCUUGAUGGCUCCAGAGGACAUAGAGAAGACGUCCUUCAUUACCGAGUGGGUACUUAUUGCUAUAGAGUCAUGCCAUUUGGAUUGAAGAACGCAGGAGCCACCUAUCAGAGAGCGGCGACCACUCUCUUCCAUGACAUGAUGCAUUGGGAUGUCGAGGUUUAUGUAGACGACAUGAUAGUGAAAUCCUGAGAGAGACCAGAUCACCUAGCAGCUCUAGAGAGGUUCUUUGAGAGGAUCCGACGACUGUUCAGAUUGAGAUUGAACCCCAAGAAGUGCACUUUCAAAGUGACUUCUAGGAAACUCUUGGGGUAUAUGGUUAGUGAGAGAAGCAUAGACGUAGAUCCGGAUAAGAUCAGAGCCAUCCUGGACAUGCCUACACCGAGGACAGAGAGAGAGGUCAGAAGCUUCUUGGGUAGACUUCAGUACAUCAGUAAAUUCAUCGCCAGAUUGAUAGACAUCUGUGAGCCCAUUUUCCGGCUAUUGAGGAAGAGUCAACCUACUGUUUGGGAUGAUUAGUGUCAGCGCAUUUGAGAGGAUCAGAGAGUACUUGUUGUCACCUCCAGUCUUGGCGCCUCCUACACCAGGCCGUCCUUUACUCUUAUACCUAUCCGUCUCAGACGUGGCUUUAGGAUGCAUGUUGGCCCAGCUCGAUGAUUCAGGCAAAGAUCGAGCUAUUUAUUAUCUGAGUAAGAGCAUGCUAGACUACGAGACGAGAUAUAUCAUGAUUGAGCGCUAUUGCUUGGCAUUGGUUUGGGCCACUCGACGAUUGAGACAUUACAUGACUGAGUAUUCAGUGUAUCUGAUAUCCCGUCUAGAUCAUCUGAGAUAUUUGUUUGACAGGCUUGCUCUGGUCGGUCGCCUCAUGAGAUGGUUGGUACUUCUAACUGAGUUUGACAUCCAUUAUGUCACUCAGAAGUCCAUCAGAGGGAGCAUUGUGGCAGACCACCUAGCUUCUUUACCAGUUUCUGAUGGCAGAGCUAUUGAUGACGACUUCCCAGACGAUGAUGUCGCAGCUGUGACCAGUUUAUCAGGUUGGCACAUGUACUUUGAUGGUGCAGCCAACCAUUCUGGAUACGGGAUAGGUGUCCUGUUGAUAUCCCCUCAUGGUGAUCACAUUCCCAGAUCUGUUCAUUUGGCAUUCUCGGAUCGACAUCCUGCCAUGAACAACAUUGUUGAGUAUGAGGCUUGUAUCUUGGGAUUGGAGACGGCUCUCGAGCUUGGGAUUAGACAGAUGAAGGUGUUUGGUGACUCUAAUUUGGUAUUGAGACAAAUUCAAGGUGAGUGGAAGACUAGAGAUGCGAAUCUUAGGCCUUACCAUGCGUAUUUGGAGCUACUGGUCAGGAGAUUUGAUGAUUUGAGAUAUACCCAUCUGCCUAGAGUGCAGAACCAGUUCGCUGAUGCUUUAGCUACUCUAGCUUCCAUGACUGACAUUCUUGCUGAUGCCACUGUUCGCCCAUUAUUGAUCGAGUCGAGAUCUGCUCCUGUAUACUGUUGUUUGAUUGGCGAUACGGAGAUAGACAAUGGUCUGCCUUGGUACCAUGACAUAUAUCACUUUCUAAGACUUGGCGUAUAUCCUGAGGCCUCCACGGCCAAGGAUAAGAGAGCAUUGAGACAGUUAGCCGCCCGAUUCGUGAUUUAUGGCGAGACAUUAUAUAGACGAUCAGUUGAUGGGAUGUUAUUAUUGUGCUUGGACCGUGCCUCUACCGAUCGAGUGAUAAGAGAGGUUCAUGCAGGAGUCUGCGGACCACAUAUGGGAGGACAUAUGUUGGCCCGUAAGAUCAUGAGGACCGGUUACUUCUGGUUGACCAUGAAGACGGAUUGCUGCCAGUUUGUUCAGAGAUGUCCCGAGUGUCAGAUACACGGAGAUCUCAUUCACGUGCCGCUCUCCGAGCUGCAUGCACUAACUUCACCAUGGCCAUUUUCCGUAUGGGGUAUUGAUAUCAUCGGGAAGAUUUCACCGAAAUCUUCCAAUGGUCAUGAGUUCAUCCUGGUCGCCAUCGAUUACUUCACCAAGUGGGUGAAGGUUGCUUCGUAUGCAAGAUUGACAUCAUCUGGAGUUGCUAGUUUCAUCAGAUCACACAUUAUCUAUCACUAUAGAGUCCCUCAUGAGUUGAUUUUGGAUAGAGGGGUACAUUUUAGGGCAGAGGUUGACACCUUGGUGCAACAAUAUAGCAUCCGACAUCAUAGGUCGUCUACGUACAGGCCACAGACGAAUGGGACAGUAGAGGCCGCGAAUAAGAAUAUCAAGAGGAUAUUACGAAGGAUGGUUGAGACUUAUCGGGAUUGGUCAGAGAAGCUCCCAUUUGCAUUGUGGGUUUAUCGGACUUCUUUUCGCACCUCUACAGGAACCACACCCUACUCAUUGGUAUACGACAUGGAGGUUGUGCUACCCGUUGAGAUUGAAAUGGGUUCAUUGAGAGUGGCACUAGAGUAGCAGAUUCUCGAGGCAGAUUGGGCUCAGGCUCGAUUUGAUCAGCUCAAUCUCCUAGAUGAGAGGAGAUUGAGAGUAGCAGUCCAUGUUCGUGCAUAUCAAAGGAAGAUGGCCCGCACUUUCAAAAAGUGGGUCAAACCCAAACCAUUACGGAUAGGCGACUUGGUUUUGAAAGUCAUCAGGGGAUUGAUUAGAGAUCUUAGAGGAAAGUUUAGACCCAACUGGAGCAGACCUUAUUUCAUCAGGGAGUUGACCUCAGAGGGCGUCGCAUGGUUGAUCGAUUUAGAUGGAAACCGUUUCUCAGAGCCAACCAAUGUGGAUAAGCUAAAGAGGUACUAUGUUUGAGACCAUGGUCGCAGGAUGGGUGGCCAUCAUUUCGGUUAGCCAUAUACCUUGUUAUUCCAUUUUUGAUAUAUAGUCCGUUGCUAGCCCAUUGAGCCUCACAUGCAUAUUAUAACCUUUCUUUCUUAUCGCCUUGCUCACAUUUUCACACUGGGAUAGGGGCCCUUUAAUGUAUGCAUGCAUUGUUUGGGACUUUCAUGAGCCUUAGACCUAGGGGCACGUUUUUCUCAUUAUCUUUUCCUAUCACUACACCUCUGCACUUUCAUCUCAUCUCGUUGGUUGUGUUCCUCGUCUUUUCUUCCUUAUCCUAUCUACUACUUGUUUGUUUCAUAUUCUCUCCACCCUGAGUGGUGAUCCUCCUCAGUUCAUCACAUGGAGGGUAGUCACAUCAUUUCCACCAUCUAUCUCACGGACAUUGGUUUAGAGAUCCUUAGUUUGAGAAGGUCAUCUCGUUAGAGAGAGUUUUAGGUUGCCUUAGCGCUUGAGAUGGUGUCCAUCCAUUAUCGACAUCAUCCUUGGGGUUCAUUUGUUCAUGUUCAGGGUAUGUGUGUUUGUAUAUAUGUAAAAUAUAUAUAUAUAUAAAAAAAAUAAAAAAAUAAAAAUGAAAAUGAAAAGAAAAGAAAAAGAAAAAUAAUAAGCACAUGUGUGUAUGUGCAUAGUAUUCUCGAUCAUUGAGUAUGUAUAUUGAUGUUUGGGGGUCAUUUUUAUCGAGUAUGUUCGUUAUUGGGAGUUCGUAUGUGAGCUCUCUAAGAUCCCAUGUUAUUUGUAUUGCUUUGUCAUGUCUAUUUGUGAGAGACAUGAGUGACCUUCUCCUUAGGACUUCGAGUCAUUGUCCUUUCCAUCAUUACAUUCAUUAUUGAUGUGACUUCACUUCAUGUUUGAUCUGAGUCGAUCACCACCUUUCUUCAUAUAUUCAUUGUUUCGCUGUCAUUUUUACCGUUGCUUGUGAUUCAUCUCAUUCACUUCACGUCUUAUUCUCUUCUUACAGCAACCCAUCUCGGGUUCGAUACUCACUUCGCAUCAUCAUUACACAUAUCGCUAUCAAUUCAUUUUGCUUCAUUUGUCCCCUUAUCGACAUCAUAUUCACGUUAGGCAUCCUUAGGUCCAUGGCUCAUGGGAUUCACUAUACAUGUUGCAUUUCAUAUAUGAGGGCAUGGGUUUUGAUCAUGGGGUAUUUGAGCCUAGUUUUCUUUCAUUUCUAUCACCCUAUCACCUUGGCUUAUGUUACGUCCCGUGUCUUAAGACCACCCUGAGGCCAUGGGAUUAGAUGUCGUCUUCGACAUCCUCUACUUGGAUAGGUGUUUGAGAUCUGGUUGAUAUUUAGAUAUCGUCAUGCUUCUUCUUCUGGGAGUUGCCUCUUUGAUGUGUAGGUCUGAUUCAGUUGUGUUCGGAUUACCAGGAUCAUGAGUUUGACAAUGAUUGAUUUGGUGUCACCUGAUUUUUGACCUAUCGUACCUCUGGUACCACACUGGGGCAUAUCCCAUUUCAUUUGGAGGUUUAUGGAUCCUCACGGACUUGCACGAUCAUCAUCACUUACUGGAUGCUCACUAAGACGUGGACAUGAUCGUUACCUUACGAAGCCUCCCGAGAUCCAUCUAGUUAGGCCCUCACUUCUCGACACUUGGAUGCCAUCAUGCUUCUCCAUCCGGGAGGUACAUCUUGGAUCUAUGUGCAUGAUUCAGUUAUGGAUUCGGAUGACUAGUGUUACAUGUUCGACGACAGAUGAUUUCAUGUCGCUCGAUUUCUGACCUGUCGUGCACCUGAUGCCAUACUGGGGUAUAUUUUCGUUUCAGAUGAGAUUUACGGAUCUUCACGGAGGUUACAUGUGCGACGAUAGAUGACUUCAUGUCAUUUUGCUCUUCGGACCUGUCGUGCACCUGAUGCCAUACUGGGGUGUAUUUUCGUUUCGGAUGAGAUUUACGGAUCUUCACGGAGGUUACAUAUGCGACGAUAGAUGACUUCAUGUCAUUUUGCUCUUCGGACCUGUCAUGCACCUGAUUGUCAUACUGGGGCAUAUUUUCCAUUUUAGAUGAGAUUUAUGGAUCUUCACUUAUGUCACAUGUUCGAUGAUAGAUGGUUUUAUGUCGCCCGAUUUCUGACCUGUCAUACGUUCGAUGCCAUACUAGGGCAUAUUACCGUUCUGGAUGAGAUUUACAGAUCUUGGUGGAGUUGUGCGCUUAUUCCCAUUUACGAGAUGUACAUCGAGACAAUGAUCUAUUCGCUAUCUUUACGAUGAUUCCUUAGUGGAGCCUCUCGGGAGUUACCUAGUUAGGCCUACACUUCUCGACAUUUCGAUGUCAUCAUGCUUUCCUUCCGAGAGACGCCCCUUUGAUCUAUGGGUCUGAUUCAGUUGUAUACAUGGAUGACUUGGUUCACGCAUUCGAUGAGGGGUGAUUUGAGCUCAUCUGGUUUUUCUAACCUGUCGCACAUUCGAUGCCAUACUGGAGCAUAUUCGCGAUCUCAAUCGAGAUCUGUAGAUCUCCAUGGAUUUGCAUGAUCAUCCCCAGUUAUGAGAUACACGUCAGGUUGAUGAUUCGAUUUCAUUUUGUCCUGAUUCUCUGGUGGAGCCUUUAUUGGGCCUUUCAGUCAGACUCAUAUUUUUCGAUAUUAUCAUGAUUCUUAAGUGAAGUUACUCCAGGCUCAUAGGUUCCCACAUCACCAUUUCAGUGGAGUAUACGUCAGAUCUUUUAUGUGUCCCCAUGGAGUUACUCUCGAGUUAUCAGGACAGAUCGGGUACAUAUGAUGCCAUACUGGGGUGUAUUUCCCUCAUUUAGUCGUGGAGGCGAUCGUUCUCUCACAGAUCCUUUAUGGUUUCCAUCCCUCAGCCGAGAUGUAUUAUAUUUGCCUUACUGAUCGCUAUUCCUGUGAUUUUCGUCAAGAUGAGCUUUCAGUGGAGCACGAUGUUCGGGUUUUGAUCGCCCCAUUGGCCAGGACUAUUCAGUAGAUUGUUAUGUCAAGAUCAUGGUGUGUCUCUUACCAGACCACUCCCUAAGACUAUCGAACUAUCCGUUCGGGAUGACGAUAGGUUCUUCAAGCAGAGCAUUAUGAGUUAGAGGAGUUCGGCUUAUUACGACACUCUGACAGACCUCGUGAUUUCUUCGGGCAGGUCCUGAGACUAUGUUCACCAUCGACCUGAUCAUUCUGACUAGCUAGUAGAGCCUCUUUCGGGGCUCAUAGAGUCUCUUUCGGACCCUUCCAGCGGAUUGAGAUUUGCAGCGGCAUGCCACACUGGGGCAUAUUUCUCUCUCAUCAUUUCCUUGUAGUUCGGCGUUCAGAGCCAUCAUCUUCACUUCCUAGGUUGACGUUCGGAGUCACAUUCCCCGUUUCGGCGUUCAGAGCCAUCAUCUCAUCUUUGUUGGCAUUCAGAGCCAUCACUUUCCCGUUUCGGCGUUCAAAGCCAUCAUCGUAUCUUCGUUCGGUGUUCAGAGCCAUCACUUCUCAGUUUCGGCAUUCAGAGCCAUCACCGUAUCUUCGUUCGGCAUUCAAAGCCAUCACUUCUCAGUAUCGGUGUUCAGAGUCAUCCUCAUCACAUUUUCAGUCUUGGCGUUCAAAGCCAUUAUCACUCCUCAGUUUGACGUUCAAAGUCGCAUUCCCAUAUUGGCGUUCAAAGCCAUCAUUUCGUUCGACGUUCAGAGCCAUCACUUCUCAGUAUUGGCGUUCAAAGCCACAUCUUCGCUUGGCGUCCAGAUCUGUUUCUUCAUUUGACGUCCAGAGUUACUACGUCACCCAUUUCGGCAUUUAGCGUUCUGUUUUGUUUCAUUUUGACAUUCAGAGCCAUCAUCGUAUCUUCGUUCGGUGUUCAGAGCCAUCACUUCUCAGUAUCGGUGUUCGGGGCCAUCCUCGUCGCAUUUUCAGUUUCGGCGUUCAGAGCCAUCAUCAUCAUGUUUUCAGUUUGAUGUUCAGAGUCAUCAUCAUCACCUCUUAGUUUGACGUUCAGAGCCAUCAUUUCGUUCACCGUUCAGAGCCAUCACUUCUCAGUAUCGGUGAUUACUACUCAAAAAGUGCUAUUUGAUAGCUUGUAAUUAACUCUUUUAAACUCUUUUGAGUAGUAGUUAUCACCUUUUAACCCAAUUAACAUAUUAAGGACCCUUGCAAUCAAUUCUAAUCAAAUUGUGUUAAGUUUUGGUGUUUUGAUAGCUUUUUUUAUCACCAAAGCAAUCCGAGAUUGAGGAGAGUUCUUUGGAAUCCAUGGCAAAAGAUGUCCGGACAAGGCGUCCGAACACACCAUUGGAGGGCGGCGGAACAUGGUCUGUGGCAGGCUGUCGGAAUGACGUAGCAAGGCUUGCUCACUUUAGUCAAUGUUUUCCAUCCGGACAACAUAUCUGGAUAGGAUAUGCUAUCAUCUGGAGUGUGAUGUUCACGAGUGUCGUGUGCUUCUCCCUGAGGGAGUCCGGAUAGCAUGGCGGCGCGUGUCCUCUUGGGGAAUUCGGAUGGAGUUGCUUCGAAUAGCAUGGCGUCGCAUGUCCCUUGAGGGAAUCCGGAUGGAGUUGUGCCGGAUAGCAAUGCGCGCUCCGUGUCAUCAGGGGGAGGGGUCCCUACACCUUGUACACGCAGACGGUCCCCCUUGCGAUGCGCGGAUAUCUCACUCCCGGAAUUCUGUCCGGUCAAACAUGUCCGGAUCCUCUGAUCGGAUAUUUCACAUCCGGCGCCUGACGUCGGAUGGGAGAGGAGGGCGUUUCAACUUCCCCGGUCAGACAUGUCUGGAUCCUCUGAUAGUGCUUACCUGGAGAGCAUCCACAGCCGACAAUUCAGAUUACCCGGAUUUUGCACAGUGCCGCGGUGUUCUCCUGAAGUUUCCCAAUAUUUUCGACCGACAUUUUGAGAUAUUUUGCUUUAGAUAUUUGAUGUCUAAAUCCCAAACUCUUCUUGUAAUCCACCUAUCAUAGGAUUCCUUAGUCUUUAAGUAAGAACAAAGGGUGAAUAACCUCAUAUAUAUAGUUUGUAAUUUCCUUUACACAGGAUAUCAUGUAAAGAGUCGGAGCUUGUUCUUAGACGCAUCUUUUGUACAAUUUUGCAAGAAAUAUAUUUUACAGAGCACUGGCUCUGUUUUUCAUUUAUAUUUUUGUUUUCUUAUUCUUUUUCUUACUAGCCAAACAAGCUCUGAAGAAGUUUCCUCAGAGAAUGAGUGGCUAGACUUUUAGUUCCUUGGAGCUAAGGUUGCCAGGAAAGGUUCCAAGUGCAAGAAUUAGUAGCUUUGUGGUUUCAGCCAUUAAUGAAGAGAAAGUGUGAUCCUUUAAUGAUUUCUUUCUUUUUAGUUAACUUAAAACACCUUCAAUUCAAGGCAAGUGAUCUUCGUCCAUGGAGAUGCACUAGUUUUCCUCUUGCGAGCUUUUGGGAAGUGACUUGAAGGUAGGAUUUUCUAGAAUUGCCAACACUUGGUAAGCUUUUGGACUCCAAGGAGACAUCCAUUAGUUAUCUCUUGCGAGCUUGAGAAGGGAAGUCCAAAGUUAAAGAUCACCUUGAAUGGCAAAUGUUAGGUGAGAGGCACAAGCCAUUGCAAGUUGCAUCAGUGAGAGGGAAUUAGAGUUGAAAUCCAUUUAAAGGAUACAUCUGUACAAUACCGGUUAGAGAAUUGACUAUAUGUUAAUUCUCUAAUGUGAGGAAACGAACCAAAUGACUAGAGCUCUAUUUUUGCAUAAGGAAUCUCCUCUGUGAACCCAAACCUCCAAGGAAUGUUUUUCUUCAUAAGUAAUUUCCAUUACUUUCUUUUUAGUUAGCUUGAAACAAAACCUCGUUUAACCAAAGUUUGUGUUUUUUUUCUUAAGCUAACCUUGAAAUGAAAAGACACCAAUUUAACUUUGAAUUGAUAUCAGUUGUGAGUUGAAAACCCUUCCCAGUGAACGAUCCUAGAGCCACUAUGCUAUAUUAGCUAAAACUAUCCUAAUGCAUGGUGAUAUAGGUUAUAAAUUUUAUUGAUUACUCUCUCAAUCAAAGAGCACCAGCUGGACAUGAAUCAACUGAGACACCAAUUAGGACACGAAAUCGGCGUUCAGAGCCAUUGCCUACUUUCAUUUCGACAUUCAGAGUCAUUUUUCACUUAAUUUGGUGUUCAAAGCCACAUCUUCGCUUAGCGUUCAGAUCCAUUUCUUCAUUUGAUGUCCAGAGUCACUACAUCACCCAUUUCGGCAUUUAGUGUCUUGUUUUGUUUCAUUUUGACUUUUAGAGCCAUCAUCGCAUCUUCGUUCGGCGUUCAGAGCCAUCAUCGUGUUUUCAGCUUGAUGUUCAGAGUCAUCGUCAUCACUUCCUAGUUUGACGUUCCUCGUCGCAUUCCCGGUUUUGGCGUUCAGAGCCAUCAUCGCAUCUUCGUUCGGCGUUCAGAGCCAUCACUUCUCAGUAUCGGUGUUCAGAUCCAUCCUCGUCGCAUUCCCGAUUUUGGCGUUCAGAGCCAUCAUCACAUCUUCGUUCGGCGUUCAGAGCCAUGUUUUGCUUUAUUCGGCAUUUAGAGCUAUAUCUUCGUUCGGCAUUCGGAUCCACUUCUUCAUUCGGUGUUCAGAGCCAUUGCAUAUCGUUUGUUUCGACGUUUAGAGCCACAUCUUCAUUCUGUGUUCAGGACCAUUAUCUGUUUAUUAGUGUUUUGAGUCGAGGUUUUAGUUCGACACUCAGAGUCUUCAUGUAUAUCUCUCAUUCGAUUCAUCACCAUUUUCCUCCUUUCUAGCAUUCAAAGCCAUAGGGUACACUCCUUUGGGUCUUUUUGAGCCAUUUCUUUUCUUUAAUUUUGAUGUUCAGAGCCACUGUUAUAUUUGACGUUUGCCACCACUACCACAUUUUUUCUUUUAGUUUGGCGUUCAGAGCCGUCUUUCAUACCCAUUCAUGCAUUUUGAGUCAUCAUCUUUCUUAGUUUUGGCAUUCAGAACCAUUGUUCUGUUUGACGUUCAGUGCCACCGUCAUUCUCUAGUUUGGCGUUCAGAGCCAUUGUACACAUUCGUUCGAGGACCUUGAGUCGCCAUCUUUCUGUGUUUUGACGUUCAGAGUCCUUUCCCCUCGACCGUAUCGUUCAAGGUCACAAUUUUGACAUUCAUGUUCAUUGGCAUUACACAUCUUGCCUUCAUGGGUUUGCGUCUAUCCUCAUUUUCCUUACCGUGUUACCCUGUGCUUAUGCUUAUCGCUUAUUCGUCAUUGCUCUUCCAGCUUUCUCAUUUCAUUGCUCAUGACGUAGUCCUUUGAGUUUACAACACACACUUCGGUCAUGUCGUUGGGCACCCUACACUCGGCACUUCCAUGUAGUUCUCUUAGGGCAGUCCUCUCGAGGCAUAUUCGUUCGUGUACUCCGAGUCAUCUUUGGAGAAGUCUUAGAGAGAGUUUGGGUCUUUGGUGCGGCUUCAGAGGCACUUUGAGAAAUCCACUCUCCUUCUAGGAUUUUAGGACUCUUUCCAUACCCCUGAUGGUUCGGGUGAGUUUGUGUUCUACGUGUAUACCUUUAGGGGUCUCUUUUUUUUUUUCGGUAGAGUUCACUUCGUUACACUCAUUACUUACACUUGUUUUUCAUUCCAGUGUUCACAUUCCUUACACUCGUGAGCUCUACCGAAGAGGGGCAUAUUUGUAGACCCCUUUUGUGGAGGGCCCCGGGAGAGAGUUUUUCUCUCUUCUUUGCAUUUCCUUUUUGAAAUAAGGGAGGGGGGGGGGGGAAGGGGGCCUUUUCUCCCAGGAAACCGGCUGCAUGGAGAUGGCAGGGGCCAUGCUGGUGGUUGAGGAGCCAUGCUGGCUGAUGAAGGAAUAGUAAGGUUGGUAAUGGCCUGCCAAGGAAGAAAUAAAAAACAAGAAGGAUACACUCGGGGGGCAGGAGUGCUAGAGAUGGGAAGGAAAAGGAACCAGAGAGGAAGACACCUUAGAGAGGGAGCCUUUGAGAGAGUUUUUCUGAAACAUUGAUCUUUUCAGAAGGAGAGAGACGUUUAGGAGAGGAAGUGGGGAUAUUCAGACGAGAGAGAGGAGGGUGGCGCUGUGGAAUAUUCAGGUAAGGUCCUUUGUUAGUCUACGAAGAUUAUUUUAUGAUUUGUUGUGGGUAUCCAAAACCACAAAUUUGUUUUACUCAAAUACGAUUGCCUACAUGUGCUUGCUCUGUUUUUUUUUCUUUCUAUAAUUUUGUUGAUUUUUCCCUUGCAAGAGGUUGGAUCCUCACCUGGGUUUGAUGUUUCAUUAUGGCAUUGAGAACUUCCAGUUCUCUCUACCCUUGCAUGGCCGGGCAUGGCCACAUUGAACCCAUACCAUGCUCCAGCUAUCCUAGUUCCCACCCAUGCCCAUUACGCCCAUUCCCCUCACCCUAGCAUGGCCAUGCAUAGCCAUGCAUGGCCGCCACCUUUCAUACCCAUUUCCUCAAGCUCGCUCAGUCAGCUGAAUCAAUGGCGGCAUUGGAGCUCCUCCUCCCUUCAUCAUUCCCGUAGCUCCGCCUCCUCCUCCUCAUCUCUCCCUCUCCGCAAUCAACGACUUCGACUCCAUCUCCAUCUCUGAUGCUUUGCUGCCUCUCAACUCCGACGUCGGCAACGGUUGCAGCAGCGGGGGCUCCUCGAGUUCCCUCACCACGAGUUACUCCACUUGGAGACCGAGUUUCAUCCAGAGAAGUGUGAGCAGCCACUCGCUUCAUCACAACGACCGCCGCCUUUCAUAUCUGUCUCCUCUGAAGCCGCCGUAAGUGCUCCAAGCCUCUCUUAUUCUCGUCGUCUUCUCUCUUCGCAGUGCAAAAUGGAAUCUGGGGUGAAGCAUGCUAUGGUGGUGAAAGUUAUGGGUCGAACUAGCUCAAGAGGUCAGGUGACCCAGAUGAGAGUGAAGUUUUUGGAUGACCAGAAUAGGUUUAUCAUGAGGAAUGUGAAGGGACCUGUCAGAGAAGGAGACAUCCUCACCCUGCUUGAGUCUGAGAGGGAGGCCAGAAGGUUGCGUUGAUGAGGUCAUCUUUGGCUCCACUUCCAUGUUUUGAUAGGUAUCUUAUGAGUUUUCCAGUUUCAAACUUGUAGUUUUGGGUUUUUUCAAAUUAAAAUACUGUUGGAAGAUGGGUCUUUGAGCCCGCCCAUAUUAGGAUUGAACAUGGGCUUGGGUUGAGGAACUAGGCCCAAGCUUGUGAUGGGGAUGCUUGUCUUGGGCUUGCCCUUGAAGCCAUUGGGUUUUGGGCUUACCUAUGUUGGAUGGUUGUAUUGGGUUUGCCCCUAAAGACAUUGGACUUGGGCUUGAGUUGGCAUCCAGGCCCAAUUCGUGUGGAUGAAGGGUCUUAUGCUAAUCCUUCAAAAAUCCCUUAUUUUAAUUUAAUUAUUCAAAUAUUUGUUUAAAUCUUAUUUUCAUAAAUCGAAUCCUUGUCUCAUAUUUAUCAGUUAUUCAAAGUCUAAUCCAUCAAAAAAAUCACAUGUCUUAAUUUACUUCUUCAAAUAUUCAUCUAAAUUUUAUGUUCAUCAAUUAAAAUUAUUAUCCUAUAUUCAUCUAUCUAUCUAGUCCAAUCCUUAAAAAAUCCCAUGUUUUAAUUUAAUUCUUCAAAUACUUGUUUAAAUCUUAUUUUCAUAAAUCGAAUCAUUAUCCCAUAUUUAUUAGUUAUUCAAAGUCUAAUCCAUCAAAAAAAAUCUCAUGUCUUAAUUUAAUUAUUCAAAUAUUCGUUUAAAUCUUAUGUUCAUCAAUUAGAAUUAUUAUCUUAUAUUCAUCUAUCUAUCUAGUCCAAUCCUUCAAAAAUCCUAUGUUUUAAUUUAAUUCUUCAAAUAUUUGUUUAAAUCUCAUUUUCAUCCAUUAGAAUUAUUUAUCCCACAUUAUCUAGCUAUUUAAAGUCUAAAUCUUUCAAGGAAAUCCUACGUCUUAAUUUAAUUCUUCAAUAAUUAGUUCAAAUCUCAUUUUCAUCCAUUAGAAUCAUUUGUCCCAUAUUUAUCCAAUCAUCUAAAGUCUAAAUCUUUCAAGGAAAUCAUGUCUUAAUUUAAUUCUUCAAUAAUUCGCUUAAAUCUUAUUUCCAUCAAUUAGAAUUAUUAUCGUAUAUUUACCUAAUUAUUCAAAGUCUAACCCUUCAAAAAUCUCAUGUCUUAAUUCAAUUUUUCAACAGUUCGUUCAAACCCUAUUCGUCUAAAUGUCAUUUUCGUUAAUUAGGAAUUAUUGUCUCAUAUUUAUUUAUUCAAAGUCUAAUCCUUCAAAAAUCCAAUAUCAUAAUUUAAUUUUCAAUCCUAAAAAUUCCACUAUUCGUCUAAAUAUUAUUUUCGUCAGUUAGAAACUCCAUACUUGUUUAUCUCUUUUAAAAAUCUCAAUCAUUGAACUUAAUUUUCAACCCUAAAAAUUCCACUAUCCUUUUUUUUUAUUAUUCAUUUAAAUGUUGUUUUCCUUAAUUAGUAUUAUUACCCUAUGUUAGUUUAUUUAUUUAAAAUCUAAUUCUUCAAAAACCUCAUGUCUCAAUUUAAUUUUUCAAUCCUAAAAAUUCUAUAAUUCGUAUAAAUGUUAUCCUCAUCAAUUGGAUUCAUUAUCCCAUAUCUGUUUAAAGUCCAAUCUUUUGAAAACCCCAUGUCCUAAUUUAACUUUCAAUCCUAGAAAUUCCAUUAUCCGUCUAAAUUUUAUUUUUGUUAAUUAGAAUUCUUAUUCCAUAUCUAUUUAUUUAUAUAAGGCCCAAUUCUUAAAAAAUCCAACUUCUAAAUUAAAUUUUCGAUCCCAAAAAAAUUCUACUAUUCAUCUUUAUUCGCCUAAAUAUUAUUCUCGUUAAUUAGUGUUAUAAUCCCAUACUUAUCUAUUUAUUCAAAGCCUAAUCUUUCAAAAAUCCAACGCCCCAAUUUAAUUUUCAAUUAAAAAGAUUCCACUAUUCAUUUCUUUAUUCGUUUAAACAUUAUUUUUGUUAAUUAGCACCAUUAUUCCAUAUUUAUUUAUUUAUUUAUUUCAAUCAUUAAAAUUCAAUUCUUCAAAACCGGAUUUCCAAAUUUAAUCUUUAGACUAAAAAAUUCCACCAUUCACUUUUAUUCAUUUAAAUAUCAUUUUUGUUACCGUUAUUAUAAAUUCCAUGUUUACUUAUUCCUUUCUUCUAAAAAUUCCAAUAAUUAAAGUUCAAUUAUUCAAAGAUUCGACUUUCAAACUUAAUUUUCAAAAUCCCACUAUUCACUUUCAUCCGUUCAAACAUCAUUUUUGUCAAAAUCCGAGUUUCAAAUUAAUUUCUAAUCUCACAAAUCUCACUAUUCACUUUCAUCCGUUCCAAUAUCGUUUUGAUUAAUUGAUAACAUUAUUCCAUAUUUACCUAUUUAUUUCUCUUAAAAAAAUCUCAAUCACUAAAGUCUAAUUCUUCAAAAUUCCGAUUUCUAAAUUUAGCUAUCUGAAAUUCCAAUUGCCCUAUCUUCGAAGUUAAUUUUCAGUUCCCAAUAUUCUGAUUAUCGUAUUUACCCAGUUACUCAUUUGUUAUCAUCAUUAUUUUUGUUACCAUUUUAUUUGUUCAUUUCUAAAAAGUCCGCCUUCAAAUGAUUUUCAAGAUUUCCAAUUUUCAUAAAUCAACUUUCAUAAUUUCUAUUUCUCAAAUAACUUACGAUUCUGAUUUCUUUCAAAAUUUAACUCCCAAAACUCCAAUUUUCGCAACUUAAUCUUUUUUAAGAUCCCGAACCCUCAAAUCAUUUUCAAAAUUCCAACCUCUUUCAAAUUCAAUUUCUAAAAUUCUCAUUCUCACAUUCAACCCCUAAAAGUCUGAUCUUCAAAUGAACUCUAAAACCCCAAUUUUCUAGUGAUCUUCGAGAUUCCAAUUUUUUCAAUUAAAUUUCAAAAGUCUAAUUUUCUCUCAAAUAGUUUUAAUCCCGCUCGGGUUUUCAAACGAUCUUCUGCUCCUCUUGAUUUUAAUAAGCGUGAAUGAAUUUUUCAUAAUUCCAUAAUAAUGGAAUCUGUGACAUUAAGUCAUGCUGAAUAAACGGGCUUUGGUGGGGGGCCUAACAUGGGUGACUUUAUGAUUGAUUGAUUGAUUGUUUGAUUGGAUUAUCAUACAUCCUGCUCUCUAACAUGCAUGAGAUUAUUUCUUAAUUGUGCACUAACCCGCUCUCUUGAUAGCGCAUUGAUCGUUUGAUGCCAAGGUAUGCCCCGCUCCCACUUCGAUCGUUUUUUUAUUGAGUGUUUUGAUUCUCAUAUGUGCAUGAUCAAUUUGAGUAUCCAUUGAUUUUCCUACCGAUUGCCAUGUCAGCUUCAUUUUAUUAGUAGAGACUCGACUUUAGGGACUUAUAGGGAUGCUAUGGCCUUUACCGUACUUUCUCGAUAAGUAACCUGACCCCCGACUCCGAUCCGAUUUUUCGUAGAUCACCUUUUCCAAAAUAAGGAGUCGCACUUAGGGUUUUCUUUCUUAUUUUGUUUAUCCUUUUAAAAAUAAAACAAAAAUAAGUGGCGACUCCAAGUCAUUUUUUGCAUCAAUAAAAAUCAUUUUUCAAAUUAAAAUUGUGCUCGCCAUCGAGUGGAAAACGCAUGAGCCGAAAUGUGGGGUCCACAGUAUUAUUGGUUUAAUGCGACUUACAAAACCAAAGUUCCAUCUUUUUUUAUUGCUUUGAUGUGGAAUAUAAAAAAAUUAAUUGGUUAAAAGAGAUUCAAUACUCCUCAUAUUUGUGAAUCUAUCGCUUCCCUUCUUUUUAUUUGAAAAAUAACAUAUUUUUUUUAUAUAAAUGUCACUUAUCAUCUCAAGUAUUUAUACAUAAUUUUAAGAAAAAAGUGAGGAUAUUUAUAUCAAAACGAAGCCAAAAAAGAAUGGAGGGUUAGACCCUGUUUGGUAACUAUUUUUUAAAAUAGUUUUUGAAAAUUAUUUUAUAAUGUUUUAUAAAACAAAAGUCGGUUUGAAAACCUAAAAUAUUUUUAAUAUUUUUAAAUAUGUUUUAAAAAUAACUUUUUAUGUCCAAUGUUUUAUUUUUAAAUCAUACUAUAUGUUUGUAUAAUUAUUUUCUAAAUUUUUUUUAGAAAAUAAGUAAAAAUAAUAUAAAACUAUUAAAAUAUGUUAUCUAAAAAAAACUUUAUUUUAUGUUCUUAGAAACAUAAAAAAAAAAAAAAAAUUCUAGUUGUCAAACAUAUUUUCGUGUUUUUUUAUUUUGAAUAAUAAAAAGUUAUUCUAAAAAACCAUGCUAAGCAAAUUCUUAAAUUUCUGAAAAAAAAAAAACAAAAAACAUAUAAGGUUACCAAGAAAUUUUUUUAUGAGGCUUCUAAAUUUUCAAUGAAGAAUCGGAUUGAGUCUUCAGUUAAAAAAUGGAAUCUUAAUUGACAAUUAUACCUUUAAUUUAAAAAUGAAGCAUCAUAAUUCAAUUCAAAAACUGAAGUCUUAAUUAAUAAGUAUACCUUUAGUUCAAAAAUAAAGUCUGGAUUGUAAUGAGAUCUUAACUAUAUUUUUUAAAAAAUAUAUAUUUUUAUGAGAUGCUCGUACGCGGCACUUUAGAGACCAUCAUAAAUUUUAUAAAGUAGUUAGAUAUGGGACAUUUUGGCCCAAAACUCCAGCAAGUAGCACCUCUGUUUUGUGCUGGGUGCUGGACCAGACGACAGUGGUCAAAGCUGACCGUGACCUGGGCCCACAGGCUAAUUUUAAGCAGCACUCGUUACCAGCGCUUCCAGCGUGCUGGGUCAGAGGAGGCAGCGGUGGUGAAAGUGGGCUGUGAGCUGGGCCCACAACCAAUUUUGUGAAAAUCCAGAAGGUGAAAAUCGGUGACGUGGCACCAACAUGUUCCAAACCGUCGACAUUUUCAUCACUGAAUUUUCCCGCAUUUCAGCCAUAAUUUCCAAGUACAUGUACAAGUUUUUAGGUAAAUUAAUUGUGGAACAUGUGAGAGUAUAAGUUUUGGGGCAAAUUAGUUGUACAACAUGUCAUAGCCUCACUGGAAGGGAAGAGGGUUUAUAUAUUCAAAUAUUACUUAUAUUUAUUUUCUUAAUUUAUUGAACUUAAAAAUAAGAUAUUAUUUAAAAAUUUCUAAUAAAUUUUUUAUUUAUUAUUUAAUUAAUUAAAUUAAAUUUUAUUUUUUUUAAGUUAUAGAAUUAAAACUUUUUAUUUAAAUAUUGUUUGAUAAAUUUAAAAUUUAUUUUAAAUUCUCAAAUUUAUGGUUAAACAUAAAUAUUUAAACUAUUAUAAAUACAUAAAAUAUAAUAGAUUUAUUAAAAAUAAAUAAAUUAUUGAUGUGAAAUCAUGAUUAUAAAAUAUGUUAUUAUGUAGCAAAUAAGAUAAAAAAAGAUUUGAGAUUAAGGAAAAAAAAAACUAUUUUGCCUUAAUAUUUGAAGUUUAAAAAAAAUUGUAAUAUUGUUAUUUAAUCACCGAUAUGUGUUUGAAUGUCUAUCUCCUUAAUUUGUUAAGCCUAAGAGAAGUUAUUUGUUUUCCCAAUUCAAUAUCUGUGUAAUCUCAAAAGAGACUACAAAAGAGUAUUAAAGUACUUAAUACAAAUGAUAAACUCAAGUCCUACGAGCUUAAGUAUUCAGGUUAUGCCUCAUGGUUAAAUUUUAUCUCGGAUUUUCCCAUCCCCAUUUUAUCUUGUACAUAAUUCUUGCUACAUAAUCUGAAUAGUGCAGAUGUGAAGGCAUGUAUGUCCCAGUCAUUUUUGCUAUUUGUAGUCCUUAAUUAUAUAAUCAGAAUAAAAAUGCGUUACAUUAAUCAAAUAUUAACUACGAAGUAACUUCUCAUUUAUCUCAUGACUUCAUCAAUGAGGCCCAUUUCAAAAGGAAAAUCAAAAUUCCCACCUCCAUUGGUAUCUACAGCUGAUGCAGUUUCGUCAGCCAGGAGGCUGGCAAUAAGCUCCUGAUCUUCAAUGGUAUGGUCAGCGAAUAGGCUUUCCCACCAUAAAAUAUCCUGGUUUGGUUGGACCAGUGUGGGUUGCAGCUCACUACAAGUACUGCCUUGUGUCUCAGAAGCAUCCACAGCUGUAGUUUUGAAUGUGAACCCUAGAAAGAGUUUGCAAGGCUUAGGCUUUAUCAGAGUGUUUUCAGAAUUGGUUUGGGCUUUAUCUUUCCCUUUUUCCUGGAUGGGAACCAUCUUCUUGAAGCGAUGAUGGUGCCAGUAAUUCUUGACAUCAUUCGCAGUCCUCCCUGGAAGUCUGCCGGCAAUCAAGGACCAUCUAGAAAAACAUAGCUACAAUUUUUUUUUAAAGUGUUGAAUUAAAAUGAUCUUAUUUGAGUUUCUAAUUCAUGGGGGUAUUGUUUCUUUAACCAUCAGCUCAAGAACUUGGUUUGGGCUAAGGAUCAGACAAGGAAAAAAAUUAAGGGAAGGUAGGUACAAUUCUUUUUUCUUUGCAAGUGAAAAAGCUUAAUUGAUUAUUUUCCUUCAAUUUUUUUCUUUCAUUUUCCUCGUAUUUUCUCAGGAUUCAAUCCAAACUUGUAUCUCUAUUACCAAUCUAACAGUGGCUAUACUAAAUGUAAUAGGAAAUUAAUAAAUAAACUUGCCUGUUUCCCAACAGCUUAUGAAGUCUAAUCAUGAGAUCGACUUCAUCUGAUGCAAAUUUUCCUCUCUUAAUAUUUGGCUUUAAAUAGUUGAACCAUCUCAAUCUACAGCUUUUGCGGCAUCUACUCAAACCUGAAAAAGCAACUCUUCCAGUUAGGAAUAUAAAAGUUUGCAGGCUUCCUCUCAUAUGUAUAUAUUACCUGCUCGGAGUGGAACCAGAUGCCACUUUUCUUCUCCAUAAUUCUCAACACAUUUUCUUAAAAGAAUAUCUUCUUCCCGAGUCCAUUUUCCCUUUGUAACUCCCAAACUCUCCAUAGCUAUUCCUCAACUCGACAUAGAACAUAUGCAACUUGUCCGAUUAAUUUAAACACUUGGUAUGUACUUCAUAUGAUUUGCGUGCUUUCAUUCCAACCACAGAACUCCAAGUAGUACUGAUUCUUAAUUAAGUGACAUGAGCUGGUUGGUAGCCUUAGUAACAACAGUGUAACAGCCACUUCAGUUUAAACGUGCAGUCAUUCUUAAGCCACAUAAGCCUUAGUAACAAUUCAAGCGUGUAAUUAUAUAUAUAUACACACAACUUGGGAUGUACUUCAUAUGACUUACGAUGCUUGUAUUCCAACCACAGGUCCCUAAGUACGGAUUCUUAAGUGACCGAAGCUGGUUGUUGGUCUUUGCUACACCAGAGUAACAGGAACUUCAGUUUAACCGUGUAAUUGUUUAUAGCUAAAAACAAAGACACAAUAAAGAAAGACCAACUUGUAAGAAUUUUACGUGGCCAUGCAUAUUAUUAUGUGAUAUUUAUUUAAGUAUCAAAUUAAGUAUUAUGGUUUAAUAAAUAAUAAAGCUAAAAUUUUAUUCGAGAAGUUAGUUUCCUAAAUUAAAGGUACUUUGAUGGAAAGUGAACUUCUAAUUUUAUAAGGAAACUGGUUCUCUUUCUUCUCUAUAAAUAAACAUACUAUUCCAUCAAUAACAUGUAUAAGAGAAAGCAUAAGGGUGAAGGGGUUAAGGAAAAGAAACACAAUUAUUAUGCUUAUUAUUUGGUCUCUUAAAAAAAUUCCCUAGUAAUUAAAGGUAUGUUUUUGUUUUUCUCUCAAUAAUAGAAUUGUGAAAAUCACAUUGUUCUAAAAUCCUUGGCUAUUAUGAUUGUUUUGCAAGAAUUAGGGUUAUGAUUGUUCUAUAGGAAUUAGGGUUAUUAUUUUUUUGCAUAAAUAAAGAAAACCUAACAUAUCAUGAUAUUAGAGACAUGGUUCAUCAACUUAUGAUUUUCUUUUAAAGAUUAUUUUAUGUCUCUUGUCUGAUAUCAAAUUUUGAUAAGAAAAUUAAAUUUAUUGAUUAUAUUUUUCUACUGCAAUCAAAAUAUUUUGUCGAUAUUUUUGUAUUUAAUUUCUUCCCGAAAUCAAUUUUGGUGGCUUCAAGUUAUUAUAUGAAUUACGAUUUUAUGACAAUUAUUUUUUUUUCUACACAAUUGUUUAUUGCUAUUAAUGCACGAUUUGAAUAAAUUGAAUUCUUUACGACUUUAUGUUAAACUUGAUCCUUUUAUGAAGAAAUUGCAUAUUGUACAAUUUGGGAUCAUAAGUUAUUUUUUACAAAUUAUCUUUUAUGCUUCCAUAAUAGUAUUAUGAAGGUUUAACAUGAUUGAGAUUUUGUUUAAUUUGAUAUUCAUAUUAUAUUUGUUUACGGUCACCAAAGUGGUCAAACUUUAAUGUCUUGAAUAUCAAAUUAUAUAAUAAUUAUUUAUAUUAAACAAUUUGAAAUUCGCUUAUGAACAGUUUGUUAGUUACCAAAGUGGCCAAACCUUAAAGUUUUGUGUUUAUCAAAUUGUAUAAUAUUAUUAUUGAUUACCUAUGAUGUAUGAGGUGAUAUAAGAAUGAUUAAAUUGUUAUAAGUUAAAGACCAUUUGGUUUAAGGUCUUAUUAUGAGUGAUUAUUUAUAUGAAUUAUAUAUUAUGUAUAUUAUUGUCAAUGUCAUACAAAUUGACAUUUAUGAGAUUUUGAGGCAGAAUUCACAUAAAUAUAAAUAGAGUUAAUUAUAUGAGAAUUUCUUAUAUAAUCUCAUAUUCUUGUUAUAGUAACAUGUCUUGCAUGUUUAUAAUUUUGUAUUAGUAUUGAUGUAUAGAAAGUCUUUGAUAUUUACCUUGUUUACGAAGUCUCAUUAAGCUUUUUCAUCAUGUUUGGCAAUUCUGAUUAUAAUUGUUGUAAUAUUAUGGUUUUCCAAUAAACUUGUAUGUUUAACUAUUAUAUAAUGUUUAUAAUAAUAGUUAAAUUUUGAUUGAUUACAAAGUAAUGUUUUUAUGAUAAUUAUAUUAUCACGUAGGAGUUCAUAUUAUUUAUAGUGUGUUAGUCACCAAAGUGAUCAUACUAGAAAGUUGAUGAGCAUCCUUUAAAGAUGUAAAUGUUGUUUAUUACAAAAUUUUGAAAUUUAUAUAAUGUAAAGUUUUUUAGUCACCAAAAUGGCCAAACUUGAAAGUUUCAUGAAUUUCAUAUUAAGUAAUACAUACUUAUGUUAUUCAAUUACUCAUUACUUAUGAAUGCUUGCAACAUAUUUAAGUACUUUUUGAAUGAGUAUAUUAAAAGAUAUUUAAGGAUUGCAAAAUAUAUAUAUAUUGUUUUUCUAAAUUAGUUGUUUGAAUCUGAUUGUGUUUUUGCUUAUAACUUACCAAGUUUAAUUACAAAAGCAUGAUAUUUUAUAUUUUAGUAUUGUCCUCAAAUUUGCUAAUUAUUUUGCAAUAUUAAGUUUAUUAUUGUUCCUCUAAAUAAAGAAUAUCCAUGAUUGAGGGCUAAUCAAUAUCAUCUUGAAUUUUGAUGAUAUGUAAGAAAUGAGCCCUUCAAAAUGAUAUGACUGCAAGACUAAAAAUCUUGGAAAUAAUAGAUGAAUUUUCAUAUUAUGCAAUCUUGUUUUAGUAUAGACCACUUCAAAUCUAUCCAAAACAUUAUUAAGAAUGGGUGUGAUAUGAUUGAAUUGAUCAUCAUAUUUCUUUGAAAGGACAUAAAACUACUUGAUGAAAAUUCAUUCCCCUUGAAGAUUUGUGAAACUUAUAAGAGAUUAAUGAUUAAAAUCUACAAGUAUUAUGAAUGAACCAAUAAGAGAUUAUUCUUGUGAAAUUAUCAAGAAUCAUAAAAGGAAACUCAAAAUGUUGAGUAUCACUUUAUUGGAAAAUUAUAAAUAGUUGAAGGAUUGCAUAAAUUGUUAAAUAUGAUUUAAAAGAACAGUUAAGUUUUGUUAUAUUGUAUGAUUAAAAUAAUAUUUCAUUAAAGUUUUCCUUAUAAUGAGAUUAAAAAACAAAUAGAAUCAAAGUAUGGAGUUAGACAAUUAUGUUUUAAGGCGGUAAAUAUUACAAUUACUAUUAAACUCUUUAUGCACUUGAUUCUUAUGUUAUAUCAAUUAUAAUUUUAAUUCAAUGCUACUCUGUUAAGAGUAUGUCAAGUAUCUCUCACUACCCCAAAGAUAUAAGAUUUACAAUCCAAACCGAAGUAUCAUGAAUGAUUGUUGAAACUGAUAAUGUUGUGGUUCAUUAAGAAUGUUUAUAUUAGUGGGAGUGAUAAGUACUAUUAAAUAUGGUUACCUAAGGAGUUAUAAUAAAGUUGUCUUUAACUUUAUAACUUCUAAAAUGUUGCUUACUAUUAACAAAGGUUAAAGCUAGUAAGUAGCCACUAAAUGAUUAAUCACUUUUAAAUGAAGUUAAUUAGACCUCCUAUUAUUAGGAAUGACAUUAAAAUUAAAUAAAUAAAUAAUCUUAUAAGGGGAAAGAUUUGUUAUUCCAAGUAUCAACCAUGUGGUAUUAUAACCACAUAAAGAUUUUUCAAGUUAGAAGUUUAGCAUGAAAUGUUCGACUUUUAGUUUUAUUUGAUACUUCAAGUUUGUUUCUCAAUUAAUGUAAAAUGUGAGCCAAGUGGGAGAAUAUCAUAUUUUCAUUAAGUGGCUCAUAUUUUAAUGAUUUGAGUAAGUUUAAGAGAUAAACUUGUGGUUGUUAAUUAAAACUAUAACUGAAAGUCAAUUAAAGUUAAUAUACAAAUUUUAAUAUUCCUUCGUGAUAUCUUAAACUCUAUAAUGUCAUAAUGUUCUUUGGAUUUAAGAAAACCACUAUAAUUUAGUGAAUAUAUCCAAAGAUCAAUGGGAGAAAACUUAUUUUUAUAUUGAUAAUGUCCUUCUUGUUAUUAUUGCAUUUCUAUUUAUUGCAUUAAGUUAUGAAAUAAAAUCUCAAAAUUUUAUUAUAAAAUAUAUAAAAGAGACAAUAUUAUGAGAUUGAAUAACAUAUCUUAUGUGAAGUUACAUGAAUUGUUAGAUUGUCUCAUAAAGUAUAUAUUUAAAAAAUUUUGAGAUAUUUGAUGGAUUGAAAGUGUUAUGAGAAUAAAAACCUUAAUGUUGCAUGCUUUCGAUUUACUUCCUGAUUCAAUUAUGCUAAAUGACAGUUGAAAGUCUACUUUUGUUAUUUGUUCCUAUUAAUUGAAGAUUAUGCAAAGGAAUAAUAUUAUGUAAAGGUAUGACAAUCUUCUAUCAAAGUAUGUAUUGUGGCAUAAUAUGUCACAAAUUAUGAAUUAUGGUUGCGGAAUAUUAUUUUGGAACUUGUAUUUGUUGACUUUAUUGCUAAGUUGCUAAAAAUAAUAGAUUCUGGUGCCACUUCUCUUUCAACAACAAAUAUUUUAUGAUUAUCGAGGACAUAAGGUUAAAGUUUUUGUUUUAUAUGAGAUAACUUAAAAACAGGAGUGUUAGAUUAAUUGAUUAUGUGUACAACUUAUGAUUGAAGACCUAAUGAUGAAAAAAGUGCUACUAAGACAUUGAAUACCACGUAGAAAUUACGAGUCUUAGGCACAUUAUACUAUUGUCUCAUGAUGAUGAUUAUUUAUCGAACACUUUGGAGCUUGAUUAUAUGUUUAUGAAAUUUCUUUAUAUUUGUUUUGUAUAGAUAAUUGCAUACAGAUUAAUGUUAAAAGAAAAGUCUUUGACAAAGACAUUAUUAUGGACUAUUAUUAUACUUCUUAUUCACAAGUCAUGUUAAGUGGGAGCUAAUUGUGUAGCACAUGGAAGAAACUAUAUCAAAAUAGUGAUGUACAACCGUCGUGACUCUCAUUAGUUUUUAUUUAAUUAUGAUUUAUGAUGCGAUCAAUGUAAGAAUGUUUUAGCUUGAUAUUUUGCACAUUAUGUUUUAUUUAUUAAACCAUGAAGUGAAAAUAUAUCACAUGGGCCAGGUGGUAAUAAAUUAUGUUCAUAUUUAACUAGAAAUUUAAUUUAACAUCACAUGUUUAGAUCAUGAUUGGGACAUUAGAGUGGAAAACAAAAAGAUGAGAAUCCAUUCCAUUUCUCAUUAAUUACUAUGUAUGAAUUACUUACUAAAAAUUGGAAUAGGUCAUCCAUGUCAUUAGAAGUCAUGCCUCCCAAUUCUAUGAUGAGUUUAUAGAGCUAACUCUUACACAUCAACCAAUGUAGCAUUGUCUCUUAGUCAACUAAACAAAACCCAACUCUUAUAAUUUACUUUUAUCUUCAUUAUUUUAAAAAUAUAUUUAUUUUUUUAUAAACCAGAUAAUUAUAAUUCACUUUUUUUUAUAUGUUUUAAUUAAAGAUAAUUUUAAUAAUUUCAAAUAUUUUAAUCAAAUAACUUUAAUUUAGUGUCCCAAUUUUUUUUCAAGAUAUAAACAAAUAUCUUAUUUGAAUCCUAUGUAACUAUUUUUAAAAUUUGUAAAUGACAUACAAACAUUCAUUAAACCUAAAAACUCUCUAAGAGAGGUUUAAAUUAAUACUUGAAAUUUCCACCCAAAAAACUUAGCACAGUACGUACCAUGUUUGAGGUAAAUGUAGUACUUGAACUCAUAAUAGGAAUCGCUCAAUAGUUAACCAUGUGGGUGUCCUUGUUAAACCCAAAAAAAAAUUUGAAGUAUCAGAUACCAAUUGUUCAUAUGACGACACAACAGCCCAGCUAUCAAUUCAUGAAUUAUAUCUAAAUGAGGAGACAUACUGCUCCUCUGAACAAAGGUAGAUUCUGUUUUUAGUCUCCAACGAGAUUAUUUUCUCCAGAAAAAUAGCCAGAAAAGCUAAAAAGAGAGAUGUCUCAGUACUCGUCGUCAACCGUUAGAGGCAAUCAUUGAAUUCAUUCUAUCAUAUCCAAGUUGGUAUCAUAUUUUCCACUGUCAACUCAUUUUCCUUUUACUGAUGUAAAUAUCUGGAAAUUUCUUGUUUUAUCAAUAUAUAUAUAUAUAUAUAUAUAUGAUUGAGAUAUUUCAAUGAUCCAUCCAUCUAAUUAAUGGUUGGAAAACGAUAGAAAUAUGGCUGAAAAUUUUCAAAUCAUAGAUUUUAAUUUGGAGAUACAGAUAUUGUUAAGAAUGUUUCAAAAUGUCUUCUUUUGUCACUUCAAAUGAUUGGGUUCAUUAAUCCUGACCAUUCAUUCGAUGCUUGAGUUGGAUGCUGACCUGAAUCAUUUUCUACUAUUUUUUACAUCUAAUACUGUUCACGUCCAUAUCCGUCUUUGCACACACGCAUGUAUACAUAUAUAUAUAUAUAUAUAGAAAUGGUCUAAAUCACAUCAGAUCUUUUGCUUGUGUGUUGGGUGUAUCCGAGAAUGGAAAAUCACCCUCGCCUCCCUGGAUUUGUUCCACCAUACAAUCUGUGGUUCCCGUUGUCUCUGUUGCAGUUUCUUCUGUCCAGAGGCUUGAGAUAAGCAUCUCUCCAGAACAUCGAGUCGAAAAGUCAGUUUCUUGAUCCCUUUGAGCAUGGCCAUCUAAAAGGCUUUCCCACCAUAUGAUGUCAUCAUUUGGUUGUUGUGACGUGGAUGAUGGCUUACUAGAAGCACUAACUUGUGUGUCAAGAGUAUCCACAGCUUUAGUUUUCAGUUCAAACCUUGGCAAGGUUUUGGAGAACUUGUAAGGCCAAGGCUUUUAGAACUUUGGUGUUAGAAUGUGUUUGGGGUUUUUUUCUCCCUUCUUCCCGGAACUGAACCUUCUUUUUGAAGUGGUGAGUAUGCCAAUAAUUCUUGACAUCAUUAGCAGUCCUCCCUGGAAGUCUAUCAGCUGUAAUCAAGGACCAUCCAUACAAGCACAACAACAGAUAAGGUAUUAACUGAUGAACAGCUCUUUCGUCAGUUCUAAAUUCAUGGAGGCUCUUCUAAUUUGGAAUAUAGCUUUAGAAUUGAUACAAUAAUAUCAAGCUAGUUAUGACUCUUCAAAUAGUUGACCCAUCUCAAUCUGCAGCUUUUUCGGCAUCUAUUCAAGCCUGCAAACUCAAGAAAACGAAACUCUUUUAAGCAAAACAAAAGGGGAAAAAGAACACACACACAAAUUAAUACUGAUCACUUUCUGUUACCUGCUCUGGAGGGGGGAGGGGGGGGGGGGGGGGGGGGGGGGGGGGGGNCCAAAAACCCCCUUUNNNNNNNNNNNNNNNNNNNNNNNNNNNNNNNNNNNNNNNNNNNNNNNNNNNNNNNNNNNNNNNNNNNNNNNNNNNNNNNNNNNNNNNNNNNNNNNNNNNNGGGGGGGGGGGGGGACCAGAUGCCACUUUCCUUCUCCAUAUUUCUCAACGCAUUUCCUAAGGAGAACUUCUUCCUGGCUCCAUGCACCUUUUCUAACUCCUAAGCUCUCCAUAAAUUGAGAUCAACACGAGGGCAGCUCCUUCCUUAAUUAUUGCUUGAUAUAUAGGUGCAUGUAUAACAACCACAAAAACUGCAGUUCCUAUCUAUAUUUACCAUGUUCCUUGCGACAUUUUCCUUUUCUUAUAACCGGAUGCUAAACUUAAGGGGAAGAAAAGAUCAACAUAAUGACCUCUAACCAUGUUCUAUGUCAUGACUCGGACACCGGACCCCUUAGUGGUUUAUUCAAGACGUUUCUUAUGGGUAUCAUAGUGCUUUGAUUGGCUUCCAAAUGUACUGAAGGUCAUGGACCAGUGUGUGUCACAAGGGAUAUUAAGUUGCAAUUUACCAAUUAUGUAUCAAUAUAUUAUAAAUAUAGUACAGUUCAAAUGCAAUCUAGGAAUUUCUGAUGGACAGGUACCCAUGACUGUUAUCCUUUAUGAACAAUCCCUAUUUUGUUAUCCAAAUGUAUAAAUUGGAGUGGUUCUGAAGACAACAGCCAUUUUUUAUCGUUCAGAUUAAUUCUUCCGUACAUUCAUAGAAUGAAUGGACAUUGAUUAUAUGGACCAUAGCAGAUUAUAUGUACAUUAGAACCUUUGAGUGCCACCUCCCCUUUCAACUUUGACAGUCUUUUGUACUACCCCAUGCUAAUUGACAAAGGAGGCUCCAUGGGUCCUCUAUAAUUGUUACGGUAUAUGUUCACAUCAUAGCCACUAUACAGUGGCAGCAACCAUAUAUCCAUGGGAAUUGCCAGUGAUGAGAGGUACAAUUAUUAAGAUAUUCCUCUGGCUCACGGGGAUCUUGUUUCCGACCGGUACCCUUGUCCCACCCAAGGAUGAAAAUUUCGGGAUAUAUCAACGACGUAUCAUUGAUAUAUUGUGUAUCGGAGAAGGUUGAUAUGAUAUAUGAUAAAAUAUAUUGUCUGACGGAAAUAUCGAGAAAUAUCGGUAAUCAUGGAUAUAUCAGCAAUACAAGUAAAAUAUCGACCCUAAAUGGGAAAAAAUCACUAAAAUUUCAAAAGAUAUAUUUGAUAUAUGGGAGAUGUAUCUGUGAAAAAUCAAUAAAAAAAUUAAAUUAUUAUAAAUAAGUUAAUUUUAAUUAUUUUAUAAUUUAUUUUAUAUGCUAAUUAAAUAUAAAACAAAUAUAAAAUUAUCAAUAUUUUUAAAUAAAAAUAUUUUGUAUCAAAAUGUACCAAUAUUUUUAAAUAAAAAUCAUAAAUAUAUUUAAAUUACAUAAUUAGUAUAUUUGCAAUAAUUUAGUUUUAAAUUAAUAAUUUCAUUUUAUUUUGAUAUUCAAGUGUAAUAAUAGUAAGGGUCUCCAAAAAGCCCGCGGCCCACGGCCCGGCCAGGCCCGGCGGGCUAAAGCCCGGCAGGCCCGAGCCCAUUUCUGGAUGGGCCGGGCCGUGGGCCCCAAAUUAGGCCCGGCCCGACCCGUAGGCCUGCCACUUUAAAAAAUAUAUAUAUAUAUUAAAAAAAUAUUCAAGAAAUAGAAAAUGUUACAUUAAUAAAAAUAUUCAUUGUUAACUAUUUUAUUCAUUGAAUGUAUACAUUACAUUUGAAAAUGUGGGAAAAGUUUACAUUACUACAAAAUAAAUACAUCCCAACUAGGUUGGCACCUACUUAUAUGUCAAUCAUUUGUACUUUUCAACCAUAAAAAUAAAAAUAAAAAUAUGACAUACAUUUAGUAAAAUAUUUUAAUCAUUAUCUCUUGGCAAUGAUGGCGAACUAGUGAAAUUGAAAGGUUGUUCUGCUCUUAUUAUAUAACCAAUCAUUUCUUCACGACAAUAAGAUUCAUCAUAAGAAAAUGUUUUUAAAUUUCCACUUUCAUCUUUACCUAAUUGCAUAUAAUUUCUAAUAUCUACAUUAUUUUUAGUUUUACAAUUUUCAUGAUACCUUUUUAAAUGACUUGUACCUGCAUUUGAGCCACCACUAAGAAGUUUGUUACAAAUUUUACAUUUUGCUUUUAUUUCUUUUUUAUUAUUUUCUAAAUUUAUUUCUAUUCUAUCAAAAAAAAUUCCAUAUAUUUGAAGUAAAUUUUUUGCUAUCACAUGCAUUAGAUGAAGAACAAGAACCACUUGCCAUAAUUAUAAUUAUUGAUAAAAUAUUAUGCUAAAAAUAAUAAAUGUAAAAUUAAAAUGUAAGAAAUAAAUAAAAGAAAAGGUGAAGUAUGUUACUAAAUUGGAGAAUCGAAGCAGAAAUUCCUUCAAAUUUGAACUCUUUGAACCACCAAUGCUUGUUUUUCACCACCAAUAAUAUUGAAUAAUUUGAGACAAAAUGCAAUAAUCGGAAAUAUUGUGGAAUGGGAGAGAGCUUAAGAGUUGAGAGAAUAGAAAAAAAUUGAGGGUAUUUAAUAUUUAUAGGGAUUUAAAUAUUAGGAUUUAAUUUUUUUUAAAAAAAAAAUUUCAAGACCGUUCAACGGUCAUAUAUUUGAAAUUGAAUUAUGAGUGGCAUGUUCAACGGUCAUGUAACCGUUGAACAGCCAACUCAUUUUUAUUUUUUUUCAAAAAUCAUACAACAUUUCUAAUAUAUAUAUAUAAUUAAUGCAAAAUAGUUACACAAAAGAGGGUCAGCUUAGUUGGUGGCUAGCUUCCUUAUGGUUCCAUAAGCCCCUUCCCUUCAAAAUUAAAAAUUAUUUUAAUUUUUACCCCGGCCCGCCAGGCCCGCAUCCCGGCCUGCAAGCCCGCCCAGCUUGAGGGCCCACAGGCCUUAGAUAUAUCAAGGGUCCGGCCCGGCCCGUUGACCAGUCAACGAGCUCAGUGGCCCGGCCCGUUGACCAGUCAACGAGCUCAGUGGCCCGCCCCGGGCUGGGCCAUGGGCCUUACUCCUCCAGGCCGGGCGGCCCGGCCGGCCCGUUGGAGACCCUUAAAUAAUAGUAUAGUGAGAAUAAAUUAACUUAGUAUAUUUUUAAAUUAGUGUAACAUUGAAUUUAAAUUAGUACAUUUUUACAAUUAAUUAAUAUAUUUUCAAUAGAAGUAAGCAAAUUAACUUAACAUAGUAAUAUAUUUUAAUAACAUAAUUAGUAUAUUUGUAAUAAUUUAACUUUAUAAUGAGUAUACACUUACAAAAUUCACAUUUUUUAUCAAUCAACACUAUAUAAUUAAAUUUAAUAUCACAAAUCAUAUCAUACAUAUAUCAUUUUUUCAACAAAACAACUUUAAAAUGUCUGUUAUACUUUUAAUUUUAUUUUUAAGAGUUUUUUUCCUAUAUUUUCAUAAGUUUUGAUCAAUUUUUUUGUUUAUCGAUAUUUUGUAUCAAAAUAUCAAUCAAUAUAUCUUCAAUAUAUCUGAUACAUCCAUAAAAUUCAAGUACUGAUAUAUCUGUGAUUAUCGAUAUUUUCAUCCUUGAUUCUACCAUGUACUCUCCUCAUUGAGAAUUAUUUUCCCUCAAAUAUAUACAUAUACCUAAGCUUAAAAGUAUUGAUUUUGUUAGAAUUGUUGAUUUGAGUUUUAUGGGAAUAUCAAUAGAAAUUUGCAUUAGAUUAGAAUUAUUGUAAAAAUUAAAAAAUGAUCGAUGAAAAUUGAUAAAAUAAGUCUCCACAAAACAUGAGAUAAUUCUGCAGGCCGGUACGUUCUGACGACAUCAUUUUCUCCCCAAAAUAACUAGAAAACUAGGGGAUAUACGAUAUCUGGACAUGAAUAUUUGAAGGCUUUUACUUUGAUCUUUCUAAUGCUGGGUUCAUUCUCAACCACACAUCCACUGCUUUAUUUUGUGUGUGAGAGAGAUUGGUCAGCUUCAUUAGUUUGGAUGAGCAAGGGUCAGCUUCGUUGGUUUGGAUGAGAAUUGGUCAGCUUCCUUUUUCCAUAUUAAUUGUAGCAUUAAUGCGAGUCAACUAACAAUCCUUCUUCCAUUUACCUCUGGGAAUUUGAUCUAUUAAAUUUUCUCCCUUUUACCUCUAUCUUGGUAUUUGACAUGUUAAAAUUGGACCCCCACUCCAUGUUAUUUACGAGCAUAGUUUUUAAGUAGAAAUAGGUAUAGUUGCUAUGUGUAGACCCCAAAAUUUGUCCCAAUUUUAUCUUUACAUUAAUUUUGAGCCUAGUUUUAAAUUCCAAUUACAUAUUUUUUUUUGUCCACUCACCAUUUAAUAGCUUUUAUUAUUUUGCAUAUCAUUUUAUUUUAUUUUAUUACUAAUACUUUUAUUUUAUUAUUAUUAUUACUAUUAUUUUAUUAUUAUUAUUAUUAUUAUUAUAUCUAUUUUAUUUUUAUUUUUUUAUUCUUUUCUCUCUCCUCUCUCCUCUCUCCUCACUCUUUCCUAUUCCCCAACCACCCCACCAUUUUCUUCUCUCUCUUCCCAUUCUUCCCACAUAGCCGCCCCCCCUCAUUUCCCUUUUCCCUCAUUUUUAUGUUUAUCCCCAUUUUGCCCCCCAGCUUUUCCCCCGAAUUCUCAAGAUUUUCCCCCCCAUUUUUUCCUCCUCUCUUCUAUCUCCUUUUUCCUCUUUUCCACCAUUUCUCUGCCGCCCGCUCCACUCUGUUGCCCCCCUUCAUUCUUCUGUCCCCCUCACUCUUCUACUCUUUUUUCUCCACCCAAAGACACACAUGGCCCCAUGGAUUUUAUUUUAUUUUUUCUCUCCAUUUUUUUCCUUCUCUCUCCCCACACUCCACUUCCCUUCCCGGCCGGUCACACACCCACGCUCUCAUCUCUUCCCUCUUUCUCUCUUCUCAUUUCUCCCUUUGGAUUUUGGUUUUUUUUUCUUUUUUUUUCUUUUCCAUUUUUUUUAGGUGGUCGAGCCUCCCAUUUCCUCUUCUCCUUCCCUCAUUUUUUUUUCUCCAUUUUUUCUCUCGCUCCACGACGGUGGCAUGACGUCGGUCGGCAACCCCCUUCCCAUUUCCAUUAUUAUUAUUAUUAUUAUUAUUAUUAUUGUCAUUAUUAUUGUUACUAUUAUUGUUAUUUUUAUUGUUAUUAUUAUUGUUGUUAUUUUAUUUUAUUUUAAUGGUAAUUGUUGUUUGUGAAAUUUGGAUUGUUGAAUUAAUAUGAAAUUUGGGGUUAAUUUGUUGUUGGUAGAUCAAUGCGUAAUUCAAUUUAAUUUAUUGUUAGUGAAUUAAUUUGAAAUUUGUUAAUUUGGGUUUGUGGGCAUAUUGUAUUUGGUGGUUAAUUUGAGGAUAUUUGGAUUACAUCAAUUGCAUAUUGUUUAUUUGGACUUGGGCCUAUCGUUAAGUUGUUAUUUGUUUGGGCUUAUUGGAUUGGGCUUAGAAUAUUAUUUCUCUUGACUAUGUAUUUUUUUUUUUUAUGUGGGCUUGUUAAUUGAUAUGAAUUUUGGGGCCCAUAAUGUGGGUGGGAUUUGUUGGAUUAUUUGAAUAUUUGAUAUGGGCUUGGCCAAUUUGAAUUGUUUAAUUCAGACAUGGGACAAUUGUGGUGUAUAUUAAACUAGGCUUAGAUUAUGAAAUAUUAAAUUUAGGUCUAGUAGAAUUUAUUUUAAUUUAUCCCAUUUUAAGUUUGGUUGAUUGUGUUUGUAUUUUUGGUUAUUAAUUUGGUUGUUCUAGGUUAAAAACUAUAGUAAUUUGGGCUCAUUUUAAUUGACGAAAUUGAUGGGACUAAUUUGAAAUUGGAAUUUGGGUUUGAAUAUUUGUUUGAGAUUUUAUACAUCUCUGGAUAUUUACAUCUGUGCUAUUCUUGUUUUUACAUGGACCCAUUCUGCAAUCUUGUUGGCUGAGUACGAAUGGAUGACACGUGGAACUUAUUGUAAGUUUAUUUUACACGUUUUAUUGCCUACUUUUAUCUUAUUUUAAUUUUAUAGGCUUAUGUAAAUAUUCAUUUGUAUAUAUUUAUUGAGUGUGUACAGAAUUGAACAUCGAGCAAACUAGAAAUUUUGUUUAAAUGAGAGGAAGAAUUCGAUAAAUAGGUUUUAAUAAAAUAAUAAUUUUAAAAUAUUUUUUUUAUAAAAGAAAGUUUUUUAUUUAUUUAUAAAGAUUCAGAAAAAUCCCAAAGAAUUGUUUUUUUGAUAGAAUUUAAAGAAUUGUUUUUAAUAAAAUUGUCCAAAAAUUUCUUCAUUUAAUAAAAAUUGUUUUAUAAAUAAAGUUGUCUCAAAAAUUAAUUUUUAAUAAAAUUGUCUAAAAAUAUAUAUAUUUCUUUUUUAAUGAAUUCUUUUUCCUUAAUUAAAAUGUGAUUAAAGGUAUUAUUUAGAAAUAGAAGAUUUCAUUUAACCUUUUUUUUGUUAAAAUUUAUUUUGCAAAUAAAGUUAUGUCAUUUUAAAUAAUUUGUAAAAAUCACUUUUUUUUUUAAAUGAAAUUGAAUCUAAAUACUUUUGUAAAUAAAAUUGUAAAAAUUCAUUAUUUUCUAGUAAAAGCAAGUAAAAAUAAUUUUUGUGCCCAAAUUGAAAUUUUGUAAUAAAUUCUUUUGAUACAAUAAGUGUAAAUAACUUUUUUGAAAAUUGAAUAUAACUGAAAUUGAGAAAAUAAAUUGAUUCUUUUUUUGUAAGUAAAUAAAUUGAAAUCAUUAAUUCAAAAUCAUUUUUAAAUAAAAUCCUUUGAAAUUUCUUUAAAACCUUUUUUUAAUAUCUUUUAUUUAUUUAAUUCAAUCAAUCAUUUUGCAUAAUUCUCUUAUUAUUUAUUUUAUGUACUUUUGUAAUUAGAUUUCAUCAUAUUAACUUUCACCAUGACUUGUAUAUUAAUUAUUUUUCUUGGUAUCCAUAAUUAAUUAAUUAAUUGCCACAAUUCCUCAAUUCGUUUAGUAGAGGCAGUACGUAUACGGGCUUAGAGGGGUGCUACGGCUCACCAUCAUACCUUCCCAAUAAGUAACCUGACCCCCGGACCCAGACUUGGUUUUUCACAGACCCAUUUUUUCCUUCAGGAGUCACACUUAGGGUUUUCUUUCUUAUUUGGUUUUUCCCUUAAAAAAAUAAAACAAAAAUAAGUGAUGACUUCAAGUCUUUUUCUAAAAAUCAAAUUUUCAUCAAAUAAAAUAAAAAGCGAGUUUCACUUUCGAAUGGGAACUCAUCGAGCGAAGUGCGAGGUCCACAAAAUGGCGACUCCACUGGGGAUUUUUAGAGGAUCAAACUUGAACUCGAGUUGAGGGGAAUGUAGCGUUUGAUUGGUCGAUUAAUGGAUACCCCUCUCUAUAUGUCUUGGUAUGAUAGGUUAUUAAUUACACGUUGAGAGCUUUGAUAUGUUUGUCUGUAAUAUAUGUUUGGCUGCUAUGUUCAUUUAUGAUGAUUGACAUGUUGAUUACACCGAUUGAUUCUCUUACCUACUUUAGCAUAAUUACUCUUCUUGUUGUAUGAUUAUCUUACUUUCCUUGAUAUGUAUAUUCUCAUUUUUUUAUAUCUUAUUCAUAUUGGCAUGAUUGAUUCUCUUUAUUGUAUAUUAUCCUAUUUAUCUCGACAUAUUAUUUAUUCUUGUUAUAUACUUAUCUUGUUUAUCAUGUUUCUUGCUUAGCUUGUUUGUAGAUAUGGAUGAUAUACCUAUUCUUUGCAUGACUGCUUGGUGUAUGAUUGCUCUCUCUCUCUCUCAUGCAUGUAUUGUUUGUCUGUGUGGGACACACAUCUAUCCCCUUACCUCCAACUCCCUAGUCUCGGUCGAUCUUGUUUUCCUUGAUCUUGUAUUAUGAUAUGAGAUUUGUUGCUUUGUUUGCUCUUCGACCGAGCUAGCGAUUAGGAGUAGGGUUUAGCAAUGGGCUAUAUCAAUGUUUGGGAGCAUUCUGGAGGAGGCCGACACGUUGAUACUGAUUGGAGUUCGAUCUUUGAAGACUUGUAUAGCCUAGAGCUAGGUUUCAUGGAUAUUUGUGUGAUCAGUGUGUUUCUUUUUCUACUUUAGCUUCAUAGGAUUUUCGGAUGCACCCACACCACUCACUACGCACUCUAGCUGACCAUUAAGUGUUGAGAGUUGCUAGAGCUUUCAUUGUAGGAAACCCCCUGGGAUGCCGAGGUAGUGCAUGUGUGGAGGUGAUGACCACCUUGCAUGGAAGCGCCUCGUCUCUUCGGAGGAGUGCAGAGGGUUGCGUAUCGCUGGAGGGUAUGAUCGCUUCUGCUAGGGAUCUUUUAAAGUUCACCCAUAUCUAUUUAAAGCCACCUUGACCUCGUAGGUUGAGCCGUAGAUCCUUCGAUUAGGACUCCCUCCCUACACUUGGGUGCAUCUGAGGGCCUUCAGAGCCUCUUUGAUCAUAGUUGGGAUUCAGUAUUCCCUCUUUUAGUCUCUAGUGAGAGUGCACCGUGAUCAGUACAAGUUUGGGUACUGUCAGACGGUCCAUCUUUGUUUUUGAUGCCUUGCUCAUUCUAGUUCAGACCAACAUUUCUUCCAUGUUUUCCCCAUGCAUACCAUAUCUCAUGUUUCACGCUCUUCAGGAUUGGUUCUUCAUUCUCAGUGUGGAUUUACCAUUUUAGGUCAGAGUAGAUGGGAGCUUAGUUUGCUUUUCUAAGAGAUCAGACAUGGAUCAGCUGGUUGUCAUGGUUGAUUAGUUCACGAUCGCCAUUUGGCUUCUAUUCAAGAGGCCUUGGCUAGUCUCAGACAGGAGAUAGACAGUCAGCAGAGUAGAUAGCUUGUAGUUCAAGAUGAGACGCCUUAUGAUUCAUUGUCACCUUAUCUAUUACAUGGUUAUUCUGAGGUUGCCUCACCUGCAGUAGUCCAGACCACAGUCCUUGAGGAUACUCAUGCAUAUAUGGAUCGUAUUGAGUAACGUAUCAGGCAGUUGAGAGUAUCUAACAGUUCAUCAACUUGGGAUGAUCUUGAUAGUAUACCAGUGGCCAAUCUACCGGCCAAGUUCGGGAUGCUUGACAUUGAGAGGUACAUGGGCGUUGGUUGUCCAUGUAUUCAUCUUUGACUCUACAGUACUGUGAUGAGGGCCCAUGGGUUAGACGAGUCACAAAUGAUCACUAUGUUUCCUUUAUCUCUAAGUGGCGCAGCCCAGCAUUAGUUUGCAUCUUUGGAGUCCUUGCGACAUAGGACAUGGGAUGACCUAGCUUAGGAGUUUCAGUGACAGUUUUCAUUUAGUACUGUCGUAGAUAUGUCGAGGAGAGAGCUUGAGGGAUUCAGACAGAGAUCAGAUGAGUCCAUUUCUUCUUUCAUCUCUUGUUGAUGGGGGAAGAUAGCAGAGAUUGUUGAUCGACCAUUAUAAAGAGGUGACUUAGUCUUGAGGUUUGUCAGAGGAUUGAUUAGAGAUCCUAGAGGGAAGUUCGGACCCAACUAGAGCGGACUUUAUUUUAUCAGGGAGUUGACCCUAGAGGGCGCUGCAUGGUUGAUGGAUCUAGAUGGAAACCGAUUCUCAGAGCUGACCAAUGUGGAUUAGCUAAAGAGGUACCAUGUUUAAGACCAUGGUCGUAGGAUGGGUGACCAUCAUUUCGGUUAGUCAUAUACCCUUUCACCCUUUUGAUACAUAGACCGUUGCUAGCCCAUUAAGCCUCACAUGUGCAUUAUAGUCUUUCUUUCUUAUCGCCUUGCACACAUUUCUACACCGGGAUAGGGGCCUUUUAGUAUGUGCAUGCAUUGUUUGGGAGUCUCAUGAGUCUUGGACCUAUAGGUGCAUCUUUCUCUCAUCAUUUUUUCCUACCAUCACAUUACUACAUUCCAUCGUAUCUCAGUGGUUGUCCUUCAUCUUUUCUUCUUUGUUCUAGCUACUGCUUGUUUUGUUUCAUAUUUUCUCCACCCUGAGUGGUGAUCCUCCUCAGUUCAUUACAUGGAGGAUAGUCACAUCAUUUCCACUAUCUAUUCUAUGGACACUGGUUCAGAGAUUCUUAGUUUGAGAAGGUCAUCUUGUUAGAGAGAGUUUUUGUUACCUUAGUUUUGAAAGUGUGUCUAUCCAUCGUUGAUAUCAUCUUUGGGGCUUAUUUUGUUCAUGUUCAGGGUGUGUACAUUUGUAUAUAUGUAAAAAAAAAAAAAAAAAUGAAUGAAAAAAAAAUUGAAAAAAAAAAAUGAAUGAAAAAAAAUUGAAAAGAAAAAAAAGAAAAGGAAUGAAAAAAAAAAUGAAAAAAAAUGAAAAAAAAAAACUCAUGUGUAUUAAUUUUUAUCAUUGAGUGUGUAUAUUGAUGUUCGAGGGUCACUUGAUUGAGUAUGUUUGUUGAUGGGAGUUCGUAUGUGAAUUUCCGAGGCCCUCCAUGCUUUGUAUUCAUUUUUAUUGUAUAUUUCAAGAGUGAGAUGAGUAACUUUCUCCUAAGAGCUCUGGGUCAUUGUCCCUUCCAUCAUUAUGUUCAUUGUUGAUGUGACUUCACUUCAUGUCUGAUUUGAGUUGAUCACUACUCCUAUUUGUGUUAUUUGUUCCAUCAUCAUCCUCGUUUUCGCUUCUGAUUCAUCAUUUUCACUUCACGUCUUAUUCCUUUCUUACAACAACCCAUCUUGGGUUUGAUACUCUCUUCGCAUCAUCAUUACACAUAUCACUGUCAGUUCAUUUUGCUUCAUUUAUCUCCUUAUCGACAUCAUAUUCAGUUAGGCAUCCUCAGGUCCAUGGCUCACGGGAUUCACUAUACAUGUUGCAUUUCAUAUAUGAGGGCAUGGGUUUUUUAUCAUUGGGUAUUUGAGCCUAGUUUUCCUUCAUUUCUAUCACCCUAUCACCUUGGCCUACAUUACAUCCCUUGUCUUAAGACCACCCUGAGGCCAUGGGAUCAGAUAUCGUCUUCGACAGCCUCUACUUGGACAAGUGUUUGAGAUCUGGUUAAUAUUUAGAUAUCAUCAUGCUUCUUCUUUUGGGAGUCGUCUCUUUGAUGUUUAUAUUUGAUUCAGUCGUGUUUGGAUUACCAAGAUCAUGCGCUUGACGAUGGAUGAUUUGAUGUCACCUGAUUUUUUCUGAUUUAUCACAUAUUUGAUGUCAUACUAGGGCAUAUUCUGUUUCGGGUGAGAUCUACAAAUCUUCAGGGAAUUGCAUGCUUAUCCCCACUUGUGAUAUGUACAUUGAGAUGAUUGAUUGGUUCACUAUUUUAUGAUGAUCCCUCAGUGGAGCCUCUGUGGAGCCUCUAUGGAGCCAUUCAGUCAGACCCACAUUUCUCGGCAUUUGGUUGCCGUCAUGCUUCUUAUCUUGGGAGAUGUUCCCUAGUUGUUUGGACUUGAUUUGGAUCACGGAGUUCACAUGUUCGAUGAUAGAUGAUUCCAUGUCACCUGGUUUCUGACCUACCGUACCUUCGACGCCAUACUGGGGCAUAUUUCUGUCCUGGACAAGAUUUAUAGAUCUUCACGGAGUUACAUGAUCACUCCCACUUGUGAGAUGUACACCGAGAUGAGGACGUGUUUGUUAUCUUAUCAUGAUCUCCCAGGAGAACCUCUCUUAAGUGAUUCAGUCAGGCGUACACUUUUGACAUUUAGAUGUCCUCAUGCUUUUUCUUUUGAGAGACAUCUUUUGAUAUGUGGGUUGGAUUCAGCUAUGGAUUUGGAUGAUUAGGAUCACAUAUUUGAUGACAGAUUAUUUGAUGUUGUCUGAUUUUCGGAUUAUUCCACAUCUAAUUCCAUAUUGGGGCAUAUUUUCAUUUUGAUUGAGAUUUAUAGAUCUCCAUGGAGCUACAUGAUCACUCCUACUUGUGGGAUGCACACCAAGACGAGGAUGUGUUCGUUAUUUUAUCAUGGUCCCUCGGUGGAGCUUCUCUUGAGUCAUCCAGUCAGACCCGUAUUUUUCGGCAUUUGUAUGUCAUCAUGCUCCUUAUUUCGGGAGACAUUUCCUUGAUGUUUGGGUUCGAUUUAGAUUACAGAGAUCGCACAUUUGACAAUUGAUGGUUUCAUGUCACUUGAUUUUCGAUUUACCAUACAUCUGAUGCCAUACUAGGGCAUAUUUCCAUUUCGAUUGAGAUUUAUAGAUCUUCAUGGAGUUGCAUGCUCAUCCCCACUUAUGAGAUACACAUUGAGAUGAUGACCCUCCAGUAGAGUCUCUCUGGAGCUAUCUAGUUAGGUCUGCACCUUUCGGCACUUAUAUGUCAUCAUGCUUCCUCUCAAGAUACGCCUCUUUGAUUUGUGGGUCUGAUUCAGUUAUGGAUUCGGGUGACUAGGAUUGCAUAGUUGAUGAUUUAUGAUUUGAUGUCAGUUGAUCUUUCCGACUUGUCGCACAUUCGAUGCCAUACUGGAGCAUAUUCGCCCUCUCGGUCGAGAUCUAUAGAUCUCCAUGGAUUUGCAUGAUCAUCCCAAGUUAUGAGAUACACGUCAGGUUGAUGAUUCAAUUUCAUUUUGUCCCGAUUCUCUGGUGGAGCCUUUAUUGAGCCUUUCAGUCAAACUCAUAUUUUCCGAUAUUAUCAUAAUUCUUGAGUGGAGUUACUCCAGGCUCAUAGGUUCCCACAUCACCAUUUCAGUGGAGUACACGUCAGAUCUUUUAUGCAUCCCCAUGGAGUUAUUCUUGAGUUAUUAGGGCAGAUCGGGUACAUCUGAUGCCAUGCGGGGGCAUAUUCCUUCAUUUAGCUAUGGAGAUGAUCGUUCUCUCAUAAAUCUGUUACAGUUUUCAUCACUCGGCCAAGGGAUACUGUAUUUGCUUUACUGGUCACUAUUCCUGUGAUUUUCAUUGAGAUGAGCUUUCGGUGGAGAAUGACAUUCAGGUUGUGAUUGUCCCGCUAUCCAUGACCCCGCAGUAGAUUGUUUUGAUGAGAUCGUGGUAGUUACCUUAGCGGAUUAUUCUCUUGAGACUCCCUAGUGGAUUACCCAUUUGAGAUGACGAUGGAUUCCUCUAGCAGAGCAUUUCGAGAUAGAGACGUCUGACUUAUUGUGACAUCUCAUUAGGCCUCGUGAUCCAGAUGGAUGGGUUGCGAGACUUUGUUUAUAGUCGAUUUGAUCAUUCCGACUCGCUAGUAGAGUAUCUUUUGAGGCUCAUGGAGUCUCUUUUAUACAUUCUCAAAGGAUAGAGAGUUGUGGCAGCACGCUACACUGGGGCAUAUUUUCCCCCUUCAUCGUUUCCUUAUCGUUUGGCAUUCAGAGUCGCCAUCCAUUCUCGGAUACGACGUACAGAGUCGUCCAUUUUCAGCUUGGCCUUCAGAGCCACCAUUUCUUCGCAGUUUGACGUUCAAAGCCGUUGAUUAUUUUUCGUUUGGCGUUCAGAGCCACAUGUUUAGUCUGAUGUUCAGAGUUGUUCAUUUUCUACUUGGCAUACAAAGCCGCUUUUUCACCUUGGCGUUCAGAGCUGCGUUUUCAGUUUGAGGUUCAGAGUCGCAUUUUCAGUUUCAGCCUUCAGAGCCAUCAUCAUCGCAUUUUAUGUUUCGGCGUUCAGAGCCCUCAUCAUCACAUUUUUAGUUUGACGUUGAGAGUCGCAUUUUUGGUUUCGGCGUUCAGAGCCAUCAUCAUCACAUUUUCAAUUUGACGUUCAGAGUCGCAUUUUCAGUUUCGGCGUUUAGAGCCAUCAUUAUCGCAUUUUUGGUUUCGACGUUCAGAGCCAUUAUCAUCACAUUUUCAGCUUGGCUUUCAAAGCCAUCACCACCAUUUUUCGAUUUUGGGGUUCAAAGUCAUCAUCAUCACUUCUCAGUUUCGACGUUCAGAGUCAUCACCGCUUCUCAAUUUAGGCGGUCAAAGCCAUCACUUCUCAGUAUCGGCGUUCAGAGUCAUCCUCACCAUCAUUCUCAGUUUCGGUAUUCAAAGCCAUCAUCGGUUUCCAACUUGAUGUUCAAAACCGCAUCUCCCAGUUUGGCGUUCGAAAUCACCAUCUCUUUCCAAUUUGGCAUUUAGAGCCACCCUCUCUUUUCGGUUUAGCAUUCAGAGCCAUGCCUUUAGUUCGGCGUGUAGAGCCCCAUCGUUGCCUUGGCAUUCAGAGUCGUAUCUUCGGUUUAGCGUUCAGAGCCACAUCUUUAUUUUGGCGUUCAGAGCCACAUUUUCAUUUCGACAUCCAGAUCCUUGUUUUUUUGUUCGGCGUUCAGAGUCAUCAUCACUUCUUAGUUUGACGUUCACAGUCACAUCCUCAAUUUUGGCGUUCAGAGCCAUCAUCGAUUUUUAAUCUAACGUUCAGAGUUGCAUUUUUCGGUUUUGGGGUUUAGAGUCAUCAUCAUCACUUCUCAGUAUCGGUGUUCAGAGUCAUCCUCAUCGCAUUCUCAGUUUCGACGUUGAGAGCCAUCAUCACUUCCCAGUUUGACGUUCAGAUGUCGUAUUCUCAAUUUUGGUGUUCAGAGCCAUCAUCGAUUUCCAGCUUGACGUUCAGAGCCGUCAUGAUUUAUCCACAGUUCAGGCGUUCAGAGCCAUCAUUCACAUUCAGGCGUUCAGAGCCAUCGUCCACAUUCAAGUGUUUAAAGCCAUCGUUCACAUUCAGGUGUUCAGAGUCAUCAUCUCUCUAUAGUUUGGUAUUUAGAGUCCAUCGCUCACAGUUUGGCAUUCGGAGUUGUCGUUCACAGUUUGGCAUUCAGAGCCGCCAUGAUUUAUCCACAGUUCAGACGUUCAGAGCCAUCGUCCACAUUCAGGCAUUCAGAGCCAUCAUUUCUCCAUAGUUUGGUAUUCAGAGUCAUUGUUCACAAUUUGGCAUUCAGAGCUGUCAUGAUCUCUCUACAGUUUGGCGUUCAGAGCCAUCGUUCACAUUCAGGCUUUCAGAGCCAUUAUCUCUCCACAGUUUGGUAUUUAGAGCCAUUGUUCACAGUUUGGCAUUCAGACCCAUUAUUCACAGUCAGGCAUACACCAUUUCCCAACAGUUUGGAUUUCAGAGCCAUCGUAUCCUUAGUUUGGCGUUCAAAGCCACCAUUUCUCCAUAGUUUAGCGUUCAGAGCUGUCGUUCAUGGUCAAGCAUUCAGAGCCAUUAGUUAGCUUGGCAUUUAGAGCCAUCAUAUCUUUAGUUUGACAUUUAGAGUAGUCAGCUUGGCAUUUAGAGCCAUUAGUCAGCUUAACAUUCAGAGCUUUGAGCUUACGACCUCGAGUCAUUCUUCUUAUUCACGGUCUAGAGUCAUUCUUAGCAUUCAAAGCCUUGAACUCAUGACCUAGAGUCGUUUUCACCCUUUAGGUGUUCAGAGCCACUACUUUCUUUCAUGGGUGUUUAGAAUUGUAGGCCUUCAGAUCUUCCUUUGGCAUUCAGAGCCACAAUUUUCUUUCCUAAGCGUUCAAAGCCAUCUUUUCCAAUUUUAGGCGUUCAGAGUCUUUCAUUUUAUCAGUUUUAGGCAUUCAGAGUCGUGUCUUCAUUUUGGCAUUCAGAGCCAUUGUCCAGCUUGGCAUUCAAUGUCAUUUUCUUCCUUUAGUUUUGGCGUUCAAAGCUAUCGUGCAUACUCAUUCAGGCACCUAAAGUCACCAUCUUUCCUCCUUUUUGGCGUUCAGAGUCAUUUUUCCCCAGCCUUAUCAUUCGAGAGAGCCCAUGUCAUACUAGGACAAAUUUGGCAAUCUUUCUUGUUCUUCGGCAAAGUUCACUUCGUUUUGUUCGUGUAUACGCUCACUUUACUCGUGAACUCUACCGAAGAGGGGCAUAUUUGUAGACCCCAAAAUUUGUCCUAAUUUUAUCUUUACAUUAAUUUUGAGCCCAGUUUUAAAUUCCAAUUACAUAUAUUUUUUGGCUCACUCACCAUUUAAUAGCUUUUAUUAUUUUGCAUAUCAUUUUAUUUUAUUUUAUUACUAAUACUUUUAUUUUAUUAUUAUUAUUACUAAUACUUUUAUUUUAUUAUUAUUAUUACUAUUAUUUUAUUAUUAUUAUUACUAUUAUUAUUAUUAUUAUAUCUAUUUUAUUUUUAUUUUUUUAUUCUUUUCUCUCUCCUCUCUCCUCUCUCCUCUCUCUUUCCUAUUCCCCAACUACCCCACCAUUUUCUUCUCUCUCUUCCCAUUCUUCCCACACAGCCGGCCCCCCCUCAUUUCCGUUUCCUCCUAUUUUUAUGUUUCUUCCCAUUUUGCCCUCCAGCUUUUCCCUCGAAUUCUCAAGAUUUUCCCUCCAUUUUUUCCUCUUUUCCACCCUUUCUUUGCUGCCCGCUCCACUCCUUCCCCCUCCCUCACUCUUCUACUCUUUUUUCUCCACCCAAAGACACACAUGGCCCCAUGGAUUUUAUUUUAUUUUUUUUCUCUCCAUUUUUUUCCUUCUCUCUCCCCACACUCCACUUCCCUUCCUGGCCGGUUACACACCCACGCUCUCAUCUCUUCCCUCUUUCUCUCUUCUCAUUUCUCCCUUUGGAUUUUGGUUUUUUUUCUUCUUUUCUUUUCUUUUCCAUUUUUUUUAGGUGGUCGAGCCUCUCAUUUCCUCUUCUCCUUCCCUCAUUUUUUCUCUCGCUCCACGACGGUGGCAUGACGCCAGUCGGCAACCCCCUUCCCAUUAUUAUUAUUAUUAUUAUUAUUAUUAUUAUUAUUAUUGUCAUUAUUAUUGUUAGUAUUAUUAUUGUUAUUGUUGUUAUUUUAUUUUAUUUUAAUGGUAAUUGUUGUUUGUGAAAUUUGGAUUAUUGAUUGUGAAAUUUGGAUUGUUGAAUUAAUAUGAAAUUUGGGGUUAAUUUUUUGUUGGUAGAUUAAUACGUAAUUCAAUUUAAUUUAUUGUUAGUGAAUUAAUUUGAAAUUUGUUAAUUUGGGUUUGUGGGGAUAUUGUAUUUGGUGAUUAAUUUGAGGAUAUUUGGAUUACAUCAAUUGCAUAUUGUUUAUUUGGACUUAGGUCUAUCGUUAAGUUGUUAUUUGUUUGGGCUCAUUGGAUUGGGCUUAAAAUAUUAUUUCUCUUGACUAUGUAUUUUUUUUUUAUGUGGGCUUGUUAAUUGAUACGAAUUUUGGAGCCCAUAAUGUGGGUGAGAUUUGUUGGAUUAUUUGAAUAUUUGAUAUGGGUUUGGCCAAUUUGAAUUGUUUAAUUGGGACAUGGGACAAUUAUGGUGUAUAUUAAACUAGGCUUAGAUUAUGAAAUAUUAAAUUUAGGUCUAGUAGAAUUUAUUUUAAUUUAUCCCAUUUUAAGUUUGGUUGAUUGUGUUUGUAUUUUUGGUUAUUAAUUUGGAUGUUCUAGGUUAAAAACUAUAGUAAUUUUGGCUCAUUUUAAUUGACGAAAUUUAUGGGACUAAUUUGAAAUUGGAAUUUGGGUUUGAAUAUUUGUUUGAGAUUUUAUACAUCUCUGGAUAUUUACAUCUGUGCUAUUCUUGUUUUUGCAUGGACCCAUUCUGUAAUCUUGUUGGCUGAGUACGAAUUGAUAACACGUGGAACUUAUUGUAAGUUUAUUUUACAUGUUUUAUUGCCUACUUUUAUCUUAUUUUAAUUUUAUAGGUUUAUGUAAAUAUUCAUUUGUAUAUAUUUAUUGAGUGUGUACAGAAUUGAAUAUCGAGCAAACUAGAAAUUUUGUUUAAAUGAGAGGAAGAAUUCGAUAAAUAGGUUUUAAUAAAAUAAUAAUUUUACAAUAUUUUUUUUUAUAAAAGAAAGUUUUUUAUUUAUUUAUAGAGAUUCAGAAAAAUCCCAAAGAAUUGUUUUUUUUUAUAGAAUUUAAAGAAUUGUUUUUAAUAAAAUUGUCUAACUAUAGAUAUAUAUAUUUCUUUUUUAAUGAAUUCUUUUUCCUUAAUUAAAAUGUGAUUAAAGGUAUUAUUUAGAAAUAGAAGAUUUCAUUUAACCUUUUUUUUGUUAAAAUUUAUUUUGCAAAUAAAGUUAUGUCAUUUUAAAUAAUUUGUAAAAAUCACUUUUUUUUUAAAAAAAAUGAAAUUGAAUCUAAAUACUUUUGUAAAUAAAAUUGUAAAAAUUCAUUAUUUUCUAGUAAAAGCAAGUAAAAAUAAUUUUUGUGCCCAAAUUGAAAUUUUGUAAUAAAUUCUUUUGAUACAAUAAAUGUAAAUAACUUUUUUGAAAAUUGAAUAUAACUGAAAUUGAGAAAAUAAAUUGAUUCUUUUUUUGUAAGUAAAUAAAUUGAAAUCAUUAAUUCAAAAUCAUUUUUAAAUAAAAUCCUUUGAAAUUUCUUUAAAACCUUUUUUUAAUAUCUUUUAUUUAUUUAAUUCAAUCAAUCAUUUUGCAUAAUUCUCUUAUUAUUUAUUUUAUGUACUUUUGUAAUUAGAUUUCAUCAUAUUAACUUUCACCAUAACUUGUAUAUUGAUUAUUUUUCUUGGUAUCCAUAAUUAAUUAAUUAAUUGCCACAAUUCCUCAAUUCGUUUAGUACAGGCCGUGCGUAUACGGGCUUAGAGGGGUGUUACGGCUCACCAUCGUACCUUCCCAAUAAGUAACCUAACCCCCGGACCCAAACUUAGUUUUUCACAUGCCCGUUUUUUCCUUCAGGAGUCACACUUAGGGUUUUCUUUCUUAUUUGGUUUUUCCCUUAAAAUAAUAAAACAAAAAUAAGUGGCGACUCCAAAUCUUUUUCUAAAAAUCAAAUUUUCAUCAAAUAAAAUAAAAAGCGAGUUUCACUUUCGAAUGGGAACGCAUCAAGCGAAGUGCGGGGUCCACACUAUGCUACUAAAUUAUAUAUAUAUUUGACAAUUGGACAUAUUAAAAAUGUUUUGAUUGAAAAUAAAGAUAAUUUUAAUGUAAUAAAAUUAAUUUGGUGUCCCAAUUUUUUUUUAAGGAUCAAUAAAAGUGUGAAACCCAUAUUUAAGAAUUCUAUGUAACUAUGUUUAGAAUUUGUAAAUCACAUAUAAACAUUCAUUGAACCUAAAACUCUCCUUGAGAGGUUUAAUUAAUACUUGAAAUUUCCACCCAAAAAACGUAGCACAAUACCUUGUUUGAGGUAAAUGUAGUGGAGUGCAUUAUGGGAACUGCUCAAUAGUUAAAAUUGAGGGUGUCCCAGUUAAACCCAAAAGAUUAAAUAUGUGGUCCACCUGUGAACUGAUACCAAUUUUUCAUAUGACGAUACAACAACCCAACUAUCAAUUUAUAAAUUUUAUAUAAAUGGGGAGACUUAUUGCUCUUUUGGACCAAGGUAGAUUUUAUUUUUGAGUCUUACGUUAUUUUCUCCAAAAAAAAAAAAGACAUGAUUAGAAAACAAUUAUUUUCUAGAACAAUUUUUUGUUCUCUAGAACAUUUUUUUUUUAUAAUUAUAAAAUUGUUUUCUAUUUUUUAUUCUUAAAAACAAAAAACAUGUAUUUUCAAAAAACAUGUUUUAAUGAUUUUCAAUUGUUUUCACAUAAUUUUUUUAGUGUAGUUUUGAAAAAUGAUUAAAAAUAAAUUAAUAACUAUAAAAAUUAUUUUUAAAAACAUUAAAAAUAGGUUAAAGACAAUUCAGGUUCUUAAAGAGAAUUUUGUUCUAUAAAAUAUUAUAAAAUUAUUUCUAAAAAUUAUUUUUCAUAACUAUUUUAAAAAAUAAUUACCAAAUAGGGCCCUCAAAAUGGAGAAGUGUUAUAUUCGCUAACAAGCUAGAAAGAGAGAUGUGCCAAUAUUCAUUAACCAUUAGAGGAUUAUUAAAGGUUGGAAACCGAUAGAAAUAAUUUUUUCAUGUCAUAGAUUUUAGUUAGGGGAUUCAAAUAUUGUUAACAAUAUUUUAAAAUGUCUUCUUUUGUCACUUCAAAUGAUUGGGUUCAUUAAUCUUAACCAUUCAUUCAAUGCUUGAGUUUGGAUGUCGACAUGAAUCAUUUGUAACUGUUGUCUACAUCCACUGUUUACCUCCAUAUCCACCAUUCUACGUAUUGAUAUAUUUAUUGAAUUUUGUUUUUAUUUCUAAGAUUAACAACUUUGGAACUUAAAAUGAUUAGAGAGUAGAGUGUGAAUGCAAGAACAACUUUUGAACUUAAACAUUAAGAUUGAAAUGGUCUAAAUCAGAUCAAGUGAUUUACUUCUGUGUUGGGAAAAUCCCAGAAGCCCACAUCAAAUGGAAAAUCACCCUCACCUCCCUGGAUUUGUUCUACCAUACCAUCCAUGGGUCCCUUUGUCUGUGUUGCAGUUUCUUCUGUCCAGAGGCUUGCGAGACUUUAUAGCUUUGGUUUUAGAAUGUGUUUGGGGUUUAUCUCUCCCUUCUUCCUGGAACUGAACCUUCUUUUUCAAGUGGUGACCAUGCCAAUAGUUCUUGACAUCAUUAGCAGUCCUCCCUGGAAGCCUACCCGCAAUCAAGGACCAUCUAUACACGCACAACAUCAGACAAAGUAUCAACUGAACAGCUCUUUUGUAAGUUCUGAACAGCUUCAGAACUAAUAUAAUAUCAUUAUCAAGCUAGUACUUGAGUUAUUAUAGACUUGCC